rnacentral:lncRNA from 1 species
UCACAGUUUCUUCAACUCUCGAUUUCGCUUUCUCUUCAAUUCAAUCUCUCUAUCUUAAGAUUUGCUUUUCCAUUUUCACUUUCAAUUCAUUUCUUUGAAUACUUCUUCUGAUUCUUCUUCAAUGGAGUGUAGAACUUUAGAUGUCAACAUCAAGAGAGCCAACGGCCUCAAGAAUGUCAAUCUCUUCUCAAAGAUGGAUGUAUACGCUGUCGUUUCCAUCUCCGGUGAUCCUCGCGGGAAGUCGAAGCAGAAGACUCCUGUAGCUAAAGAAGGCGGUUCGGAUCCUUACUGGAACUAUACCAUGAAGUUCACAAUCGAUGAGGCUGCCUUACAGAGCAAUCGACUCAAUCUGAAGAUCAAAUUCGUUUCCGAUCGGAGUUUAGGCGAUAAGAAGAUCGGGAAGGUUAUUGUUCCGAUUAAGCGAUUGCUCGAUGAAAGUGCUAAUAAAGGAGAUGAGGGAAAAUCUGAGAGAACCGUUAAUUUCAGCGUCAGGACUAUGAGCGGAAAGGAAAAAGGUAACGUCGAAUUAUCGUAUAAAUUUGGGGAAAAAUACACGGUUCAAGCACCGCCGCCACCGCCUCCUGCUAUGAAAUCCGGUGAGCCGAUGACUGCUUAUCCUCAAGGUUAUGCUGGAUCUAGUUCCGGAUAUCCGGCAGGAGGUGCUUAUCCCCCUGCGCCAGGGACUGCUUACGCGUAUCCGCCUCCGCCUCAAGGGUACGGUUAUCCACCGCCUCCACAGGCUGGAUAUGCGUAUGGCGGUUACCCACCGCCGCCGCAGGCAGGGUAUGGAUAUGCGCCGGUGCAUCAGGCACAGAGGCCACAUAAGAGCGGUGGUGGUUUUGGUGGUAUGGCUUUGGGAGCCGGAGCUGGACUUCUGGGUGGUUUACUGAUCGGCGAAGCGAUUUCCGAUGUCGGUGAUAUGGCGGCUUAUGAUGCCGGAUAUGAUGCUGGUUUUGGUGAUGGUUUUGAUUUCUAAAUCCCUCUUCUUCCUCUUCUUCUUGUUUAUGUAUAUGAAACUUUUUGGAGCUUUUCGGGUAUGAUCAGUACUUUGCAAUUAUUUUUUUCUUUGGCUCUUAUGAAUUUAGUAACUAAUCCUCCACUGACUUGAGAUUGAAUCUCUUGUACUUCUUAAUUAUGUGUUAUAUUACUUAUUUUGUUCAACUAUUUGGGGCUCCAUGUUUGAUAUCUAUAAUCAUUCAAGUUCUUUGCUCUAUACACAUGAACUUAGUCAUAAUUUUUUUUAAAAAAAAUCAGAUUACUAUAAUCACAUAGUUCAACUGUCACAUAAUUAGGAAGAACUUGUGCGAGUUAGAAUUGAAAUUCAAAAGAAAGAAAAAAUUGAAUUGAGGGUCUUAAUUGGUAUGAAGCUCUACUUAAUUUGAUAUGUGAUAGAAUAUAGAACAAUUGGUUUGAAGAUUAGGGACUUUGGAAGAAUAAUGAUAUAUUAUUGGAUUUCGAUAUUAAACCAAAGGCAAAAUAUGAUUAAAUCUCCAUGGAAUAUAUUGUAAAUAAAACAACGAUGCAUGAACAACUGGACGGACAUUAAUUUCCAAACAAAACAUUCCUUCCAUUUUGCUUUAUUUUUGUGAACUUUGGAAUCUCAAAUGAUAGACAUUGGCUAUCAAUAACAUUUGGAAUCUCUAUUUUAUUCCAUUCGGCUGUCUUUUCCCUAAUGGUUGUUUUCAUUUUGAUUUCAUAUAGUUUCUAUUCCAAUGAAUUUUUUUUCUUUAAAUCUAUUUUCGUUCAUUUUAAUCUGUUCCUACUAAAAAAGUUUGAAAGAAAAUUUAGAAAAAUCAUCCUGUUUUAUGAUGUAGAAUUCGUAUUUAUAAAAAAAUAUUGGGACUUUCAUCUUUUAAUAUUAAUAUCAAUUUUACACAAUAAAGUUACGUAUGUUACAAAAUUAUAAGUAAAAAAAAAUGAAUUAUUGCGUUUAGGGAGUGAAAGUAUUUUUAUUAUGAAUUAGAUAAAUAAUAAUUCCAAAAGUCAAAUAUAAUGUAGGAUAAAAAUUUAAUUUUUAGCAUUUUCAAAUAUCUAAGAAAUAUAUCACAUACAAAAUUCACAAUUUUUAAAAGAAAAAUCUAACAAACAAUUUUAACUAUGGAACACUUUUCAAAUAUAUAAACUCUAUAGACACAAAUCUAUUCAUGGGAUAAACUUUUAAAAAUAUGGUUUCUUUCACUCACGCUUUUAAAGUUAUUGUUCCUUUCACUAAGACCAAUCAAUUCGAGCAUAGUUUGAGAGACCAAUCAGCUAGAGCAUAGUUUGUUCCUUUCACUAAGACUAAUCAACUCGAGCAUAGUUUUAAAAUGUUUAUAAAAGUAUUAUGCUCUAAAACGUUUUUUAAGAUAGUUUCAUCUCUUAAAACAUGGAUCUAUUUUAAAAACAAUGUAAAAUUUGAAACAUAUAUCAGAAAUAGGGUGGGUGCAAAACUAUUUUUAAAAAUAGGUGAUUUGUUGUGCACGACUUCCAUGCAGUGGAUUCUACAUAUUCUAUUUUUUCCUCAUUUUUAUAUUUAUAAUACAGUCGAUCCCAUAUUUUUUAUUUUCUCAUUAUUUGUAUACGUGAGUUCCACACAUUUCACUUUUUCUCAUUACUUAUAUAUACAUAUCCACAUAUAAUAUAAUAUAUAUAUUAAACAUUCAAAUUCUAAAAAUAUUUUCUUUAUUAAAUAAAUUUAUUUUCUAUUUUUUCUUUAUAUAUAUUUAAAUAUUACAAUCUUCAAUCUUCAAUUUUUCUUAUUAAAUUCAUUUUUCUACUUUAAUUUAAUUCUUUAUUAAUCAAAAAUAAAUGUAUCUUUUUUUUCAAUUUUCAAUUUUUUUAAAAAAACUCAUAUAUUAACAAAAUAUGUUAUUAAAAAUAUAUUAAACAAAUGAAAAUAGAAAUAAUAAUUAUUUAUAUAUAUACAUAUAUAUAUAUUAAAUAUCUCAAUCUUCAAUUUUUCUUAUUAAUUCAUCUUUUCUAAUUUAAUUUAAUUAUUUCUUAACCAAAAUUAUAUAUAUCUUUUUCUAAUUUUCUGUUUAAAAAAACACAUGUAUUAAUCAAAUAUGUUAUUAGAAAAUACAUUAAACAAAGAAAAAUAAUAAUAAUAAUCGAAAGAAGUUGAAGUUUACUCUAAAAAUAAUAACAAAUUUGCAAUUAAAAAUUAUCUAUUAAUUUUUUUAAAUUUAAUUUUAAUCGAACCAAUGUGCAAGUGUUAUUAUUAUUUUUUUAGUAAUUUAACUUCUUUCAAUUAUUAUUAUUACUAUUUUAAUUUGUUUAAUAUAUUUUAAUAACAUGUUUUUUUAAUAUAUGGGAUUUUUUUAAAAAAAUUGAAAAUUGGAAAAAAAAUAUACGUAUAAUUUUGAUUAAGAAAGAAUUAAAUUAAAUUAGAAAAAUGAAUUUAAUAAGAAAAGUUGAAGAUUAAAUAUUGUGAUAUUUAAAUAUAUAUAUAUAUAUAUAAAGAAAAAAUAAAAAAAUAAAUUAAUUUAAUAAAGAAAGAUAUUUUUAGAAUUUGAAUGUUUAAUAUAUAUAUUAUAUUAUAUGUGAGUAUGUAUAUAUAAAUAAUAAGAAAAAGUGAAAUGUGUGGGACUUACGUAUAUAAAUAAUAAGAAAAUAAAAAAAUGUGGAGCGCUAUAGUAUAAAUAUAAAAAUUAAAAAAAAUAGAAUAUGUGGAAUCCAUGGAAGUCGUAUUUUUAAAAUAAUUUUGCACCCACUCUAUUUUUUAUACCUGUUUCAAAUUUUACAUUGUUUAAAAAAAAAAAUUCCUUAAAACUUAAAUACUUUUGUUAUAUAUAUAAAUUUAAAAAAUUUAAAAAUUGAAGAUCUAAAAAGAUGAUUAGGGGUUAACUUUUUAAUUUAACCCAUUAUUUUAAUUUCUUAUCACUAGAUCAGGAGUAAAAUUAAAAACUUAAAAAACGGAAAUCAAAUAUAUGAGUUUUUCAAAUCCCAUUCAAAUUCCAACUUAUUUUCAACUUAUAAAAACACCAAAACCAACUUAUUUUCAAAUCGUAAUCCCAAAAGUUAAAUUAAAAAUUCUCAAUUCACGAAAAUGCUAAUCGAUUAUAGAGUAUUAGAUCUAAACAUCACCAGCGCCGAAGGAAUCAAAGGUGUUCUAAGUUUCACCAAUUUUUUCUUCAAAUCAAAAGUCUACGCCGCGGUCUCCGUCGACGGAACCCCUUCAGCCACCCAAGAAACGCCGCUGGCUAAAUACUUCGGCAAAAAUCCAGUGUGGAAUUGUUCGAUGAGGUUCCAUUUGGAGGAAUCGAAGCUACAAGAAAAUGCACUGACUCUGAAGAUUAAACUAAAGCGAAGGCGAACAUUCGGAAGAGAUGAUGAAGACAUUGCUGAAGCUUCGAUUCCGUUGAGAAAUCUGUUUAAUGGCAAUGAGAAUGUAACAAAUGAAAAUUGCAGUUCCUCUUUUAUGCUAUCGAAGUCCGGCGGCCUGCGUGGUUUGGUGUAUUUUUCGUAUUGUUUCAGCAGGACUUACAAUGCAUCCGAUGCCAGUGACGAUGGUGCCACAGUUGCUCCGCCCUUGGCCUUCGAACGUCCCCCUCUUGCACACCGCAGUGAUCUUAGUUGCGGGGUUUUUGAUUUGUUAUUCCAUUAAGAUGGUACUAUAAGUAUUAACAAAAACAACACACACUCAAUGACUAAACAGUAUUACCAAUUAGUUUGACGAGUUUUGCAAAAAUGUCUCAAUAAUUGAAAAAUAGUUUUGAUGUUUUCACUUAACAAUUAUCUCGAUUUCUAUUAAUCAAAUCAACACGUUACAAAUUUUUAUUUGAACCCAAUCGAAACCAUAUGGAUUUGGCCUGAGUUGACCAAAUCUGGAUAAUAUAAUUUUUUAAACACCCAUAUAUCACUUCUUUUGUUUGUUUGUUUUACUGACAAAAUCAAUUAAAAAAAGAAUCCAAAGUCUUUAUUUAAAACUUAGAAAUAAAAAUAAAACCGGGUGAGAAAACAAAAACAAUUUCAAAAACCAAAUAGUUAUCGAACACAAUCUUACAUUGGUUUUGUAAGGUCGAAAAAUUUGAGCUUUUUUCUUUUAUUCCGUAGUGUAAGACUAGAUAUAAUCCCGAGUUCAGUUUGUCCAAAUUAGUAAUAUAGCAUUUGGGUAUUUCGGAAGAAGAGAACAAGAACAAGACUUAUCUCUCCCAACGAUGAUCUAAUCAAAAUGUGAAGUAAUCUAAAAAAGUUUCCGUAGCUAAUAACCUAUUCAUUGAUAUCUUUAUAUUAUUGAAGUGAGAUGGAACAUUAUAUAUGAAAAAGAAAAUCACAUAUCUGGAUUGGACUCCUCAGGAAGAACAGUUAAGGUAAUGAUAGUAUUAAGUGAUCUUUUCACAACUGCAUUCAAAGGAACCCCAGCUCUGUCUCCCAUAAUUUCAAUAAUCUGCCACAAAAUCAAUACUUGGCUUUAGGGAUAAUGACAUAAUUCAAAAUGGUUAAAGAUGAAAAUAAGAAACCAACACUAAAUCUACCAACUAUAUUGUUCUAUAUAUUUACCAAGAAAUUUAGGGGGAAAUAUGUUUAUGUUCUUAUUGAUUUACUGGAAGCAAACGGUGAAGAAAGGCCUUUUUCCUCAAAAUAAAGACUAAGAAAUUAAAGUUGCUUGAAGAGGAAGCAAAAAGUGAAAAUUUUCUAACCAAAGAUUCCACGAGAAAAUGAUAUAUGAGAAUUACAAACAAAAGUCUAAAUAUACCUCUUUGAUACUUGCAACAGGUUGCUUAUCGAGCUCAAUGACUACGUCGCCAGGUCGAAAUCCAGCAUGACUAGCAGGGGAUCCUGGAGUUACCUAUUGAACCAUUUGACAAUAAUCGAUUUGUUCGUGCUAAAUUUAUUCAACAAAACAUCUAAAAGAUAGCAACUAUAUCUGAUGAUGAACUGAAGAAGAAAAAGAAAGAAUGUAAUGCAGCAAAAAUAACAUUGGUAGAUCGGAUGGUACUGUUACCAUAGCUACAAGAACCCCUUUAGUAACAUCUGGAAACGUUGCAUCUCUUUCUUUCAGUUGUUCAAUUAUCAUUUCAUUGAGAUCGAUCAUUUUCAAUCCGAGCCAAGGCCUAAUUACUCUCCUGCAUGAAUAAUAAUUACCAUCUAUAAGAAAAUAAUCAAUGAAACGGCUAAGCAUUUUCUGAAUCCUAUAGUAGGCUAAAAGUACCAAUUAUCUCAAGUAUUUUCAGCCAGGUGAAAGAUUGUGCACAGUUCAAAACAAAAUCAACCCAUUUUCAGUUCCCAUAAGCAUCAAAAUGCAUCAAACCUAAAAUUGCUCCCAGAAGAUAAAAAUGCAUGUGUAUGUUUAAAAAGGCAGUGUGCUGUUACACUCAACGCCGACAUAUUCAAUGGAUGGAUGAACUAUAUCAACAUUACUAUUAUAUAAAAUUUUCAAUAUCAAAGACCUCCUUAAAAUAAUUUAAAACAUCGUGGAUGUUAUUUUAUGAAUGAGCAAAAAAGUUCCAUUCGCUUGGAUAAGUUAUGAAUUGUUUAGAUUGUAAAACUGAAGUUUCCAUCAAGUAUAAAGGCAUCAAACAAGAACGUGCAUGACCAUAUAUGAGUGAGUCUUGCUUCAGCACACACCACAAUUGUAACUAAUAAAUUUAAACAUCAGAAAUUGGCUUCCGAAGGAAAAAAGGACAACAUAGAUUGACCAUUUAAAACAAGCCAUAGUAAUGGAAAAGAAAAGCAAUGUGUUAGGAUCCCAAGCUAACAAGAGAUACCCAAGAACACAUACCCCUAACCUUUUGAGAGGGAUAGACGCUACAAAAUUCCCACUCAAGGGAAUCCCACUACAAAAUUCUCGAUAUCUUGCUCUCCACCAACCCUCUAAUUAUAACUAAAACCCUAACCAGCUUAUUAACUAAUUGCUAACAUGCCCCUUCUAUUAACAGUACUAAUGACUAAUAUCCCCAUUUAACUCUAAUUAGGUCCCUUACACAAUGAUGUAAAAAUCAAAUGGAACUUUUAAAUUAAGAGCAAGGUGUGACUAGAAAUUAUGAUAACUUCAUUAGACCGACCCCUCAAUUGAACGGAAGAGAAAAGAACAAUAAAGAUAAGUAUUUACAACACACAAAUAGAGACUCCGCGUAUUCAACAAUCCAAUCUACUGGCAAUAUAAAUAGUCUCUAAAAUUGUUGUACCCUCUUUUCUUGAAUUGCUCUGUAAUUUUGGAGACUGAAUCUAUUGGUACAGCAAAACUUAAUCCAGCAGCAUCAUCGACUUUCAUAAUAUUUACACCGACAACUUCUCCAUCAACAUUAACCAGAGGACCCCCAGAAUUUCCCUACAUGACAAAUACUCAUUAAAGGAUGCCAAUUGUUUGUAUAUAGUACAGACCGAUGAAUACCCAACAAGCUUCUACCACAAAGCAUGAAAUGAGGAAAAAAAGAAUGUGUUAAAUACCAUAUUAAUUGCACAAUCUGUUUGUAGAUAUUCCCUUCGCAUUCCACCAAGACCCAAAUCACUACUCUUACGAUCAACACAACUGGAUCAACAGAGGAAAAGUAGACAACCAAAUAUAUAUAUAGUUAAUGCUCAGCACUGCAAACUAAAAAACCUGCACAAACUCUAAUCUGGUCUACAAUGGUAAUUCUGUUUCAAUCUUGGCCAUUUUUUAGCAUCAACAAGUGCAGAUAAACCUUCAGCCCACCAUUGAAGAAAGGAUUGUUCCAUUUAGGUUAAAUCACUUUUGGUCCAAAAAAUAUAUUGUACAGUUUAAUCUGUGAAUAUUGAUUUCUAACGACUGGGUCCUUGUACUUCCAAAUGUUUAAUAAUUUAUUUAACUAUUUAGUCACUAUAUACUUUCAAGUUUGCAAUUAUUUAGUCCUUACACUUUCACAUUUGUAACAAUUUAUUUAGUGACUAUCGUCAAAUAUUUCAUCAAAUAUAACAAUUUUAGUUUUUAUGCCUUUUAAAGAAGCUUGAUCCCUAAUUAAUUGAUCAUUUUACAUUUUUAAGUAAUUCAUUAGAUCUUAAUAGUAUGUUUUAGGAUAAGGAUUAUAUAUUUACACGUUGAAAAGUAUAUAUAAUGAUGACUGAAUUGAUUACUUACUAAAGUAAAUUGUUAAAAUUUUGGAAAUACAUAAACUGUUUUGUUCCAAACUAGGAUUCAAGGACUAAUUUGUUUCUUCCGUGGGGAUGAAAUGAAAGUUCAAGGACCAAAAGUGAUUGAUAACCUUUCAUUUAUGUUUUUCAUUGACAACAAUAUAAAAUGAAUUAAAAGCACAAAUACCGAGGAACCUUUGCCAAUUAACAACCUUACUAUACCAGCUGUGACAGUAUUCUGAAGGGAAAGUGGACAUCCAAUUGCUACAACCCAAUCCCCAGGUCGGAGCUUGCUUGAAGAACCAAGUUUUGCCUUGGGAAGAGGAGUUUUAGAAUUGAUUUUCACAAUGGCAAUAUCAGAGUGAAAAUCAGCAUUCAUUACUGUCCCUUCAAAUGUCCGACCAUCUUGUAAAGUAACCUCCACCUAUAUAAUUUCAUUUCGCGAAUGAAAUUAACAAACAAAUAGUGAAAGAAUAACAAACCAAUUUGUCAGUUUAAGCACCCGAAAGUUUUAAGAAAAACAGAUAAACUUAAUUCGACCAAAUAUGAAUCUUGAAAAGAGCUGUAUAAGAUAGUCCUAGGUUAUUGGGAGUUUGAAGAGCUAGGAUAUUCACCAACAGAGUACAAGUAUCAAACAUAAGUGUAAACAACGCAAAAUCAUAAACUAACAUGAAACUAUUGUGACAGUCAGAUCUUGACCAUGGGAGCAAGUUAAUCCAAUGAUCAAGAAUUAGCAACAACAAAAAUGCAUUCAUUCACACUUCAACAUAUCACAUAAAACAAGAUGGGAUCUCUAAUUUUACCCUUGUUAAGUUCAGAUAAGAAAAUAAACGAGCUGAUAAAUCUGCUUGCCUUUCCUUUAGAUGCAGCUCGUGGACCAUGAAAAUCAGUCACAACAUGUGCACAUGUUAAAAUUGUGCCAUCCUUGUCAAUAAUGGUUCCAGAUCCCAUACUUUUAGCAGAAGCAAUUCCGUAAAUACCUAAGAAAACAAACAAUUACAGCAUUUUGUUUUCACCAACACCAAAUAAGAAGAAUAGAAAUUACUAAUACCAACUCAAGUACCAUAUGAAACUGAUAUAUUCACAACAGCAGGGCCAACAUCUGCUGCUGCAUUUGCAAUUGUAUCUCUACCCAAACAUGGAGUUUCCUUCUUGUCAUCAGGACUGACUCUUGAAGAACAUAAUGAAAUAUCUACAAUUUCACACAAAAUCCCAUUUUAAAUUAAAGCAGAAACCAUAUACAGAAAACUUGCCUAAAAUCAAGAUAGUCAGAUAGACAGACCCAAUAGCCGAUGAUCGAACGUGCCAAGGGGGCGAGGACGGACUCCGUGUGUUGUCUGCCAUGGAAGAAACAGUGGAUCACUCCACGCAGCAGGAAUUGACAACACAAUAGAGGGUUCUUCAAUGAAGAAACAUGCAGAAUACUUGAAAGAAUAAGCAAAACAAAUGAACAGACAUUUUCAAGAUAUUAAUACAAGAUUUACAUUCAUCUACACCAAAUUUUCUUAUAACCAUUAAAAGAGCUCAAGAACUCACUAGAAUAAUCUAGAUCGCUUCUGGCAUACAAGUAACAAGAACCCGCAGCAGCAACUGCGGCGAACCGUCUGAAAGUUUUGUAUGAACUCGAAACAUUUCUCUGUAUAAAUCAAAUACGCCGAUGAGUACGAAUCCAUAAAAACAAACUUCAAAAAAGAAAAAUCUUUUUAUGACUGAAAACACAAGAGUAAUUAAGAUAACUAUCACCAGAAAUGGAAUCAUCCGGCGCUGUAUUUCGAUUGAAAAUUCUUGUCCUUAAAACCUCGCCUCGACUGUACCCUUACACUCCGGUAUAAUUCCGACAAGGAAGACGAACAAUAUUGGGCCCAGAUUCACGUUCGGCCCAUGGGCUUAAGAGUGCCAUCGAAUCUAAUGGCCCACAAAAAUAUACCAAUUGAUCAUUUCUACUGAUAGUUCUAAACGAUCGCUGAAUUUAUAUUCAUCGUUAAGAAAAAACAGUUCGAUCCUCAAAGUUUUACGGAAUGAUCAUUGAAAUCAUUGUCCGCAAACUGUGUAGUCAAGUUACGUUUUGUUAUUCUGUGGAUUGAAAAUUUACGAUAAUUGCACUUAGAACUUUAAGAAAUUUGAGAUUAAAAGCAAAAAAGAUGAGACAGAAGAACUAGUAAACGAUAAGAUUUCCAUUAGACAUUGUGAAAUGGAUACGUACAUCAUACGCAAACCAGAGAUCAAAACCAUCGGUUAAUCUAAUAAACUAGGGAUUCAAGGAGAAUUCUAAUUUAUACAAAAGAGAAAAACAGUUUAAAUCAUUCUCUGAAACUUAUACUUAAUUUAAGCCUUCUUUGGUGAUUUCUGAGCCUUUUCAGCAGUGGGAGUGGAAUUCGACGCGGUCUUCUUGGGAAGCAGAACCGGAUUGAUGUUCGGAAGAACUCCACCACUUGCAAUGGUCACUCCUUGAAGCAAUUUACCAAGCUCCUCAUCGUUCCUCACAGCCAAAAGAACAUGCCUCGGGUUUAUCCUGUUCUUCUUAUUAUCACGCGCUGCAUUCCCAGCCAAUUCCAAAACCUACAUUACGAAACAUCACAAAUCUCAGAAAUCGGAAACACAUUGCAUACAGAGAGUUCGAAUGAACACUCAAAUCGGAUCUGGAUUGAAUAAUUACCUCAGCAGCGAGAUAUUCAAGGACGGCAGCCAGGUAGAUCGGAGCACCAGCGGCAGUGCGCUGAGCGUAGCGGCCUUUUUUGAGGUACCGGCCGAUUCUACCGACGGGGAAUUGGAGUCCGGCCUUGACGGACUUGGAGACCUUGGUUCUAUCGCCACCCUUUCUUCCUCCAGCACCCUUGGUUCCUUCCAUUGUAGAAUUGUUGGAAUCUGAAAUGAAAGUUCACUUGGGAUUUAACUGACGAUUGAGAUGGCUGAAUUGAACUCGAUGUUGAAUAUAUAGGAACUGUGAUGGCGGGAUGGUUGUUUGGUUCGAAAAGCGAUCGGACGGUCGCAACUGUUACACGUUGGCAAUCUGUGUGAUUCGAUCGGGCGGAUUGAAAUGGAGUUUUGCAAUGAGGAUUUGACGUGGGAGUUGUGCAUUUUGUUUUAUUAGAUCUGACGGCUGACGUUCGUGCCACGCUGGCAAUCCCGGGCAUGGGAAAGUUCGUGGGUUUGAUAUAAACCCACCCUGAUAGCCAAAUUUUCAAGAUUAAUGAAAAUACUGUGAACAUGAUUUCUUUUUCCUUACACAAUUAAUUUAGGAUUACCAAUGAAUUUGAGGAAUUUUCUUUGUGUCCAACGGAACUUAAAUUGGAAUGUUUCCUUGGAAGAUAAUAUUUUACUAGUUGUAGAUUUUAUGAUUGCAUGAACUUGUUAUUUUGGUUUCUACUGUACUAAGGUUUAAUUAUAAAUGUUAUAUAACUUUAUUAUAUUUAUAUUUCAGUAACUACAUAUUCAAUAAUUUAAUUUUGUAUUGUUUUAUCUUUUAAAACAUGUUCGCGAUUUGAAGGAUUGUAAGUCUAACCUAAUUUCAAACACGAUCAUCUAAACAAAUGAGAAAGUUAUUUUAGGGAGAUUGUAGUAUGAACAACAUAACUAACAAAAUUAAAUAAAUAAAAAGUUGGAAACAUGUAUGUGUUGCAACAAAAAAUAGUGAAAAAAAUCACUUUUUAUAUAACUCAUAUUAUAUUAAUAUGUACCUCAAACACAAAUUAUAAUAAUCUGCACUCCAAAUAAAUUAUAAUAACUCACUACAUGUCCCAAAUGCUCCCUUCAAGUGUUGAAGAGAGAGAUUGUUUGGUUUGCUUUGUUUAGAAAACUAUUGAACUUCACCUACUCGCAUUGAUAUAGUGCUUGAAAUGCUAUUGAGUUUACUCAUUGAUCGUUUAUGUUUGUGUUAUAAACACUCUUCAUCUAUCCCAUGCAACAAGCUAAAGUGUGGUGUCUUUAUUGUUCGUAAACAUUUGGUUGAUUCGUUAUCCUAACAUCUUCUCUCAUUUUAUGUUAAUUGAAACUCUUCACUGCCUUUGAUAUCACAAUUUUUGCGCUCGAUGUUUCUAUGGUCUAGCAACAACUCACUUUUUUUGUUCUUGAGCCCAACACCUCAUUAAUUUGGGUAUAUUUAGCGUGUAAUUAACUUAGUUGAGUUCCUUAGUUGUUGGGUUGUCUAUUCUCAACUUUUUAAUCUUCUUUUGAUUCCUAAGGACCACGUUGCUUGGUUUUGGUCCUGUUCGUAGUUCUUUCAAGGUAAAUUUCAAACGUGAAAACUUUAAUCGAUGAGUGAAAGGCAUUGUUUUGUGGUUCGAAGGGGAUGUUGUGUUGGUCAUGGAGAGAUGUUCCCUUUUGACAGUUUUGUUGAGCUUGCUAAGAUCAUUGCUUUGUUUGUCCCCAUGCAUUAAGGUGGCAUGUCCUAUUUGGGCCAACAAUGAACAAAGUGUUAAAGUAGAGAGUGCUAGAGUUCUAAAAUAUGUCAUUCGAGCCAGUAGCUAUAAUUGUGAGAUUUCUCAAAAAGUCUUGUUUAUGGUAAGAAGGUCUUUUUAGAGUUCUUAAAGCCAACGUUCUACGGUUUUGGGCCAAAACUAAUUUAUAAAUCAUUUGAAACCUUUAGAUGGAAAAUUUUAGACGUGAUAAUGAGGAGCAGGUGUUCAUUGACCACAUGUGUGAUAUCUAUCACUAUGGUUAUGCUCACAUUUUUAUAUUAAUUAAUUCCAACAAUAUCUCUUUUUGUACAUGCCUUAGUUGUAUACAAAUUUCAACAAUCUGAUUUGAAGAUAUUCCUUCAUAAGGGACUCGUGCUCUCCUCUCCUAUUUAAUUUAUACUAAAAAAAUAUAUGGAUUUUUAUGGGUGUAUAAUAGGUUUUUAACUCGUGUUCUAGUAGGGCUGACGAAUGUUAUAUAAAUGAAUUUAAAAAAAAUAUAAAAUGUGAUAGGGACUCAUCAUAUACAAAACAUUCAUCAAAAGAAACAUAAUUCAAUAACAUACUAACAUGCAAAAGGCUAAAAGUUGUGGUUCAAGUCUCAUAUUUUUAUAAUUUACUAGUUAGAGAAAAAAGCCAACAUAAAUAAAAUAUAAAACUUUAAGACAAAUUAAGAAACUUUAAGACACAUCAUAUUAUUAUAAUAAUAAUAACAACUAUAAAAGCGAGAGGUAAACCCAAGUACGAAUAUCGAUAAAAUAUAAUACAUAAAAAAACAACAAAACUUGGAAAAUCUUAAAAUUUCUUCACGUUUCCCAAAUAAUUUAAAAUUAGUUAACAAAAUAAACAAAGAAUAAUAAAUGCGCAUCCGGGGAAUCGAACCCCGGUCAGUACCGUGGGAGGGUACUAUGAUACCACUACACUAGAUGCGCUAUUUAUGAACACAAAAGUAAAUAAAUUAAAUUAUAGUGUAUAUAGGUAUGAAAUAUGAAAGAUAAUUGUGUUAAAUGACAAAACUGUUUAAAAUAUAUUUUAAAAAAUAUAAAAAGGGUAUUAUUCUCUAUCAACAAUGAUAACCAUAUAUAUAAGUAUCUAUCAAUAUCUUAAAAAAUUGUUUAUUAAUGCUAGAUGAUAUUAUUCUAUUAGUACUAUCAUUGAUAAACAAUCAUAUUUUGUUAUACUUAUAAAUAUUAAAUAGGUUGGAUUAUUUUAUUAUAUUUGAUCAACGAUCAGUAUGAAGUGAAAACAUACAAAAACAAAUGUUUUAAUUGGAUAGUUAAUUACAGAGGCAUUUUCAAAUAUAGCAUAAUCAACUAAAAUGUUGAUAAAUAAUAAUAAAAGUUUAUUAAUGUCAACUAUAGAUAAAAUAUGACAUUUUGUUAUAUUUUAUAAAUAUUUACAAUAAUUUUAUUGAGUUUUUAAAGAAACUUAUUUCUCAAAUAAAAUACUUAAAAUGUAUUCCUCUCCCAGUUCCACUUUUGGUAAAAAAUCCUCUUGCAUUCCAACAAACAGCCAAAACUAAAAAUCAUUUUUCCUAAAUAGUUUCCAACUAGCUCGUUUUGGCCAGGUUUUUAAUAAGAAAAGAAUGCAAUCUUAAUCUAAUUGGCUAAUUUUCACCCCUUAGUUCCCUCCCUCUUCAUUUAACUAAUGAAGUAAAGCUAAAAAAAAAAUAGCCAAUAAGCACAUUCUGAUAGAAUUCAUAUCAAAGGAUAAAUAUCUCUUGAAAAUUGUGAACAUGGAAACUAAAAAUUUUGAACUUAUUUCUUUAUUGACAAUUUAGCAGUUAAUCUACCUCGAACCGUUUUCGAAUCAAAGUUUUGUUUACGUGAUUUCCUUUUUCUUGGCUUCCGUGACCGUGACCGUGGUCCUUGUGACUUGUCAACAAACUGUCUCCUACGUUUGAGUCGUUCACGACGAAUGGCAGGAUCAGCCCAGCCUUUGCCCCAUUCCGAGAAGGAUGAGAAGGAUUUAGGUUUGGCUAUUGAGAGAAGCAUGUCUGAUUCAGGGUAAACAUUGAACGUUUGGUCACUUCUUGACAGAAACUCCAAUCCCAACUUGGUAAGCUCAGGGAAUUUUAUCUGAACAUGGAUCUGCACAAAAAUUCAUACUUCGAAUGUGCAUGAAAAUAGAAGGAAACAAGUAUAAAAGAGCAAAUAUGAGGACAGUAUAUUUAUGAUUAGCCACGUCAAAGGUUCAAAUUCUCAUAUCUUCUUAGAAGGAAAAACAUUUAGAGAUAAAAUGAUAAUUUAUACAAACAAGUAAUUGUGUAUUUGGAAUACAUUUUCAAGUGUUUAAUUUAAAAGAUAAGUCAUUCUAGAAAAAAAUAGAGUAUUUAGCAAUCAUUCAAAUACAAUUAAAACGAACUCUAAAUAAUGCCUAUGGGUAGCAUGUAUUUAAAGCAAGAGACAGAAUUAUUCUUAACUGAACAAAAAUUACCAUUGUUGAUUCCAAUACCUUGUGAUCUCCUUCUUUCAAGUAACCUUUAUAUUCCAGGAUUCUUGCAAGACCUCGCCACCAGAGGAUAUCAGUUGCUGCGAAUUUGAGGGUCUGCAUGGUGCACACCCGUUUAAUGAAAAUUAUCAAACUGGCAUUAAUUUGGAAUCUUGGAGAACAGUUUUAACAUUUAAUAUGGAAAACCAAACAUAAAAAUGCAAACAGGUUAACUAGCAUCACCUGCUCUCUUACUUUACUGACAAAAAACCUCAAAUUUGGUUUCUCCCUGGAUCUGUGUUUGACAUCGCUGUAUGAGAAAUUAUCGUAUGAUGCCUCCUCUAAAUAUCGCUGUACGUCAAAAUGAACACCAGCUUAUUGUGAGUUUAUUUGGAAACAUGAGAUUGUGAAAUCAUCCAAUAUCUUGUGGAACUUCUCGAACACAAAAAACAAAUAUUAAACUGCAAACCAUAAGUUUCAGAACUAUAAACAUACGUAGAGUUUGAAAAACAAAAAGAGAGAGAAGUUGGACAAAACCACAAUCAGCACACAGCAAACUAAAUAAUAUAGAUAUGUAUAUAUCAAAGUAUAAGAUAUAUAUGUAUAUAUCAAAAUACUUACAUGAUGUGCAGCAAUGGCCUGCAUUAAUAUAUCUGAUUCCUCCUUCAAAUUCUGCAUAUUUGGAGGUCCCUUCACACAAACAUCACACCUACGAAAAAGUUCCAUCAACGAAUGUGGGAGAAGUAGAGUCCGGUCAAGUUGCAUAUCUAUUACUUAUGAGAUGUAUAAACUACAAUGGCUUGUUUUAGCAAAUAUAUUUACGAUUAUGACUGGCAGGGAUCUAAAGAUAAUAGAAAAAAACCAAACUUUGGACAGUUCUAUCCAGAAAGUAAACUGGAAACUGAUUUUAAAGUUGAAAGUGUUACAUACAUUAGACACUUCUCACGAUCAAAAGUUUCACCAAAGUACUCCACUAGCUUCUGUGCUCGACAAUUUGAAGUGUUCAUCCCAUAUCUGCGUGGACGUGAAAAAUAGAAUCACCUCUGAGCAAAUACUCAAUUUUGGGGGAAGUAAAACUGCAAAGAGAAGUACAUACCUGAAGCAAUCAGAUAGCAUUCUGUAUGCUUGAUUAGUUUGUUCUUCACUUCUUCGACUUGGCAAAAGGGAUGGUAUUCUUGUCAGAUUUGCAUACAGAACUGUUUUACAGAGGGAAAAGAUUGUCCCAAGUUAGCAUGGAACUGUAUUAAGCCUAACUAUUACGUAGUAGUAUCACAAUAGUCAGAAAAAUCCAUCGGCAUAGGCAGUAUCCAAGUCAAGAUACAGUAGCGGGAUAAGACCAAAUAAAAUAAAAAAGAAGUCCCAAAAAGAAACUAUCCUCUGAUGGAAAAUAGAAUUCUUAAGAAGCUACAAUUUCCACACAAAUUUGCACCUUGUAUUAGCAAGCUACCAAUAUAUUGAAUAAGCACAAAAUAUAAUAAUAGUUGUUUCCAAACUAAUUCUAGAUGGUCCCCUUCCAUGGUUGGAGGAUCAAAUUUUACUUUGAUAAGUGAACACAAACUAUAAAUAUUGCUACAGGAUGGUUUAAGGAUAUAAAUAAAGACCCGUGGAAUCCUUCUAAUGUACGUAAUAUCAUGACACAUACUAAUCCCAAAAAUCUAAAGUUAAAAAUCAAGAUAAAUUAUUUCUUGCUUUAAUCUAAACAAUUAAGAAUACUUCCAAAAUGUUAAUGAACUUACUGCAAUCUGCUAAUUUUCCAUCCCUUCCAGCACGACCAGCUUCUUGAUAAUAAGCUUCCAAACUCUAAAACAAAAACAGUAGUUAAAAAGUCCCGUAAGAUAAUAAGUGACAAUAAUAUGCACAGAAAAGCUCACAUUAGAAUGCUUGCACGAAUUUCGCAAGGCAGACCACAGUUAGAUAGCUGUGUGCAAACAAACUAAUUUCACAAGUUUUCUGCUUUUCGAACAGCAAAAAUAAGCAUGCUAACAAAGAAUUAUUAUAUCUAGUACAUUUAUAAAUUGAGUGCUCACCUGCGGCCAACCGUAGUGAAUAAUUCUUCGGACGUUUGACUUGUCAAUCCCCAUUCCAAAUGCUAUUGUUGCAACUACAACCUAGAGAAUUAGAGAAGAUGUCAACAAAUAGUAAAGAUUCUUUUUCCUUAAACAAACAAAAUAAAAUCUCUAGUGGAUUCAUAAAAUACCAAACUUUCAAAAAACUGGAAUGCAGAUGUUGUGUUGCUAAGAAAUUAAAUUGGAGGUUUAACUUCAUUUUAAUAACAAAUCAAUGGAAGAAAAAAAAUAAAAUUCCUUAGCUAAUAGCUCCCCAAUCAAUAUUUGUUUUGAUGACACACAUUCCAAAAAGAAUAUAUACACACACAUACAUACUCAUUCGUAUUAAUAUAAAUGAACGGAAAUUAUGUAAGAUUGCCAGCUUUGGUUAAACUGCUAAAAGACUGAUCAAAAUCUGAAAAUAGUAAGGUUUAAAAAAUGAUUCAUAUCCCAAGUUAUGUACAAGGUCAAAUCUAAAAAAAAUUAUAAUGGCUCCAGUUUUGGUGGUAAUUGUUGACAUUGAGUCACUGUAAAUGAUCAGUUUAUCACUAAUGCACUAAAUCCAAAAAUCUCUCCCUUUCUAGAGGAAGGGGGUAUUAGCCUAAAUAGGUUAUGCAGGAUUUCUCUUGUAAUGUACAAAUGGCAGUACUCCAAAGAAAAAUGCAGAGGGGUUAAAACACGUACAGUAUAAUCUCAACUAUGUUCUUAUUAGAAGAAGCUAACCAUAAACCUACUAAUUGCUUAGAGAAAUGGUUGUAAUUCGCACAUACUGGAAAUGUGUCCACUUAACCUAUCUGCCAUAUGCUUAAAUCGGAAGAUAGAGUUCUAAAUAAUUGCUUGCUUAUUACAAUUCAGGAAAAUAAAAUAAAAAGUUGACCAAAUUUGAGAGGUGAAGAACAGACCUCUACAUUAUUCUCGUGAAAAUCCUUGUGAACCAUCCUUAAAUGAGAUUUUGGAAGCUGGAAAGAAAAAAAGAUUGCAUUUAGUUUUAUUCUGAGACCUGUAGGCAGCUCCAAGAACGAGAAUAUUUUGAUACAGCAUUAUCAAAAAUUUCGCAUGUGAAAUAAAGUAAGAGAAUAUAAGCAAUCCAUAGUUAAUACUUGGCAAGAACUUAAGGCAAAGGAGUUCUAAUCCAUAGUUAAUACUCAGCAAGAACUAAAGGCGAGGGAGUACUAUGUCACACAUAAAAACGAAUAGUUAGCAAUGCAUGGAAAAUUUUCUACUUCAAAGAUAAAAGGCACCUAAAACACUUUCAAAUCCUGGCAUGUAUGUGAAGAAAGUCUGAAAAAAAAUGAUAAAACUAAAAUAAACAAACUUUUAAUCGCAUGAUGUGCAGUAGGUGGACCACAAAAAUAAAAUCAACUUGAAAGAUUCAUAAACCUGGCACCAUGUAUUAGAGAACAAACCGAUGCAUUGUAAGCAGCAGCCUUCACACCACAUUGACAAAGAAACUUUGAGAUGCUUAAAGUUUCUUUUCUAGUAGGAACAUAGAUAAUAGUUGGCCCUUGAUCUAAACUCUCUUGACUACUUUUUUGUCUUUCAUCUGCUUUAUCCAGCAGAUUAAUCUUCUCCGUGUCUACAUCAGUGUCCUCACAAACUAAUUGCCCACAAAACUCUCCAUAUGCAACUGCACAAGGUGAAAAAAUCAGUUUACAAAUUAAGUAUUUUUUGUUUGUCUUGAAGCCCAUACAUGAUCACCCACUCAUUGCUACAGGUUUCUAAAGUUCAGAAAAAUACAGUAUAAUGGCAAGAAUUUAAAUAAUGUCAGUACCGUCCCAAUCAUCUACACUCUGAAAGACAUCAACCUCAUUCUCCAAGUACUCAACAGACAUUGUCCUUUCUUUUGAGGGGCUUGGUAAACACUCUUCUGAAGAAUCUACCUCAUCAUCUUUAUCUGAGUCAGAAUCAUCAGUGUCCUCUAAGUCAUUUGGAGAGAUUUUGUCUACCUCAUACAAGCCACAGUCAGUUGAGCAAUCUAAUACACUGUCUGGUUUGUGAGAGAUUAUAGUUUGUUUCUUGUUUCCGAAUCUUCUAUUUCCAGCAUAUACAUCUAUAAGGUUGCUGAAAUCCUUCCUAUAUGAGGAUGGUGAAGAUGUUCUACUAUGUUUUACCUGAGAAGAUGAAUAAUAUGAUUUGACAAUGGGAACAAGAAUGAAAACAAGGAUGUAAGUUUGAACGUAAUGUGUGAUGUACUUUAAACAAUGCAUAAACAAAAGUCAGUAAGAUAUCAAUUACUUAAAGAAAAUAAAAAACCAAAAGAAAAGGAAACCCAAGUUUUCUUUACUUGGGGGAAAAACAAAAAAGGGCUUACAGAUUAAUUGUUGUUUGAAUGAAAAAUUUGUUAAGUUUCUAUAAAAGGAAAUAUUGUACUCACAGAGAAGCGAAGAUUAGGCCUAAAAAAUGAAGUUAGAAUGAUCUUUGUUUCCUUUGACAUACAUAAUGACUUUAAAAUGUCUUCUCGAACUUGAACUGUGGCAGUCGCAGUCAACGCCAUCAAAGGCACGUUAUAUUUCAAAAAAUUUAGAGUUGAGGAGCUGAAAUUCUCUCGCAGAAUUGACAAGCGCCUGCAAUUUUGAAGCGAUGAAAAUAAGAAGUUGUAAAAGCUCAUCGCAAGUAGUGUGUUAAAAAGAAAUGGGGCACAAAUUGAAAAAUCAGUAGAGAGGAACUUAUAACUCCAAAUUUCAGCGUCAUUUUAGAAUCUCUUCUAGUCAUUUACUCUAAGGUUGGUAAAUAUAAAACAGACCCACAUUGCGUAAUUAAGACUUUUUGUCAGUGCAAGAAAAACAUUAUCCACAGAGAUCAAAAUGGAUGAAAAACAAUGAAUGGAAAGGGGGAAAACAGUUAUCCAGUCCAGGAAGAAAAUAACCUGUAGUCAGGACGAAAGUCAUGGCCCCAUUUAGAAACACAGUGUACUUCAUCAAUUGCAAACAAUGCAAUUCCACGAGUUUCAGCCAACUUUUGAAGUGGUUGAAUCAAUCUGCAAAUAAUAAGAUUAACCUUUCAGCUUUCACUUGCAAGAGAACAAAUAAUCCCUUCAACAUUAGGCAUUGACUUUUACGUGGAAAAUACCUUAGAACUGUCUCUGGGCAAACAUAGAUGAUGCUAUAUGCACCUCCCAUUGCUUUCUUUUCCACGGAACUGUCAGGUUGCCCAGAUCCAAGAAAGCAGGCAGAAACCCCAUGCUUUGCAAGUUUUAAGCAUUGAUCGUGCAUCAAGCUUAUCAAUGGUGAAAUAACAACCACCACCUUGCCUGUCAAUAAAGCUGGAAUCUGAAAACAGAUGGAUUUCCCUGAAACAAUAAUAAAAACAAUGCAAGAGAAAUUAUCCUUCCAUCCACUGCAGUUCUAACUUGUCGACCACAUAAAUGUGGAAGAAAAAUCUAGGAAGCAAAGUCGUACCAGAUCCAGUUGCAGCAAGAACCAGACAAUCUUGGUGAUUUAACCAUGCUUCUAGAGCUUCCUUUUGGAACUUCUUCAAGAACGGAUAACCAAAAUGCUUUUUCAGAACCCUAUUCAAUUUCUUCUCCCAGUCUAACAGGGUAUCUGGUUCUUGUGGCCCAUCAAUCAGAUAGGAAUCUGAUUCAUUUUGAAGAACACGUCUUUGAUGUUCCUGAGUAUCUUCCACGGGAUAGUGGGACACUUCUGGUUCAGAAAAUGGAACAACUGGUUCAGCUUCAGUCUUACUCCGUUUACCUCUAUUGGUAAGAGAAAAGUGAUCCAGAAUGGAAGACUGUCGCAUUAGAACCUGAGACUGUGUUCUUUUUCCGCUUCGCUGAAGCAUGGUGGGGAUUUCCUUCCCCGUAUUUCUCUCCUACAAUCCAGCUGAAGACGUGGUAUGAUAUAGUUGCAACAUGUAAACUUUAUUAAAUCCAGCGCAAGACUGCAAAACAUUCAGCAGCAGAAAUAUAAAUCCCGAUGUCUUUCAUUGGCAAUCUACGACCGCAACCAAAAAAUCGACUGCCUAACAAAAGGCUACAAUUAAAGCAUGCAAAUCGACAGUAACUACACAAGUAUCAGACAAUCACUAAUGCAAUCGUAUGAAAAAAUUCCAAAAAACCCCAUAUAAACUUAAUUCUGUUUUGACAAGCAAUCAGAUUCAUGGAGCGUUUCUAUCCAACAUGACGAUUAAAACAAACGCUUGGCGAAUGUAAUUAAAAAUGGCAAGAACGUUGAAAGAUACUCGAGAUAUACCGAAAUGUAGGUGAUUCAGACGAAAUUCUGAUGCGACUUCGAAAUUACAAUUAAGAAUAACGGGUUAUGGCGAGAGAUUGGACCGGAAAUUCUCAAGUGUCAGAAUUUGAAGCAAAUUCGUUCGUUUGUACACUGUGGCGCGCGAAAAAAAUUGAGUGGGAAAAUUUUUGGAGCGUUCGUGGUUUUGAUCCGAGUAAUAGUAAAACCUUGACCUCUCUAAUUGUUAAAAUCGUAUACUUCUUUACGGUGUCGUUUUACAACAAAACAAUGUCCCUCAAAAUUAAACUAAAUCUAAAAAAAACCUUCCCAUACUUAUAAUAAUAAUACUACUUUAUUAAUCAUUCUACAUUAGAAAGUUCGAGAUUUAAAUCGAUAAAAUUUAAAGUCUAUAGUUAAAGUUUUUAAAGACCUUUAAAUUUAUGAUUAAAAUUUCUAACACGUUGUGGUACUUUCUUAACAUUUAAACAUAUGAAUUAGGGCAUAUUUGCUCGUUUUAUUUUAUCAUGUAACUAGUAACAUCUUUUCACUUGUGUUUGUUUGGUGAGGAAAUUAUCAUCGUCACUUAAUAAGAACGACUAUGUCACUGUGUUUUAUUCAUAACUCUUUAACAAAUGUGUUCGUAUUGUCUACAUUCUUAUAAGCAUAUCUUAUGCUAAACGAGUAUUUGCCACAAGCCAAAACUAGUAGUUUCAUCAAAUUUCAAAAUCAAUAUUUUAUACUCUCGUAAAGCUCAACACACAUGCUUAGUUCAUAGCAACCCAACAAAAUUGCAAACAAUAAUAUACAUUGUUUGCAACAUUGCAUAUAUUGUUUCAAUAGUUAUUUUAUGAGGUGGCAUUUUAGACAAUGCUUCGACCAUAUAACAUAUUCACCAUUUAUGAAACUACAAACCUAAUAAUUCGAUAGCACGUGUUGAGUGGAUGGAAAAAAACCUCGAACUAUUGUUGCAUGAAUAAGCAGAAAAAUAACGUAUAUCAAUUAAAAUAAAACAAUAAAAUGAACGUAAUAAUUUACGUGUGGAAACUUCAACACUAGAGAAAAAACCACAAAAUUAUACAAAGUUUGCUAUGUGGCAAUUUUAUUACAACCACACGUAAAAUCUAUACUUAUAUGAAAAGUGUUGUAUGAGCUCCUAUUUUAAACUUUAUCUAUAAAUUGGGAUGAUUGGGAACCAAACACAUGAGUUAUUUGUUUAGCGUUGGGAGUCCAUAAUUUAACCGAACAUUCCAUGUGUGGUAAAUUACCCUUAUGGUAUUUUGCCAAAAACUUAACACUUAACUGUUGUAUCAAAGUUUAUCAUUAAAGGUAGUUGCAUGGACGAGGUUGGACGCGCAAAAGUUCAAUCGAAGUUGGUGAUCACCACAAUGUGCCAAAACGAGUGAGGCAACAUUUGGUUCGUGGGUGGAAGCAACGUAAACAUGAAAAGGGCAGACGAUUAAGGUGAGUUAGAGUUAGGGGGUGACCAUAAUAAACUGAAAAACCUAACCGACCAACCAAACCAAAGUUGGUCGAUUGGAGAAAGAGAAGAAUCGGUCGAUGUCAGUUUUGGAAAGUUUCAAAUCAAUAAUUUUUUUUUAAAAAAAUCUCAAUGUUAAACCGACCGACCAACAUUUAUGCAUUGAUGGUUGAGGUCGGUUUGGACAUUUACCAAACCGACUAGUGACAGUAUGCUUGUAAAACAACUAAUAACCAUUUCUAGCUAGAGUGAGUUGUUUAAACUAACCUAACUAAAUUCCAUCAGUAUUUUAGAUUGAUAUUUGUUAUCAAUUUAUUCUAACUCAAGUCGAUGGUAAGCCAAAGACUCUUUAGAUAAACAACAUAGAUUCAUUUUGAGUAUUGUAGUAUACAAUCUUAUUAUCAUCACAUUUAAACAUAUACACACAAUCAGUAUAACAACUGCAUUUUAAAAACAUUUAAAUUAAAAUGUUUACAAUAACCGUUUUAAUUUAUGCCACAAUUUUGAUAUUAGUAGUUUUAAUUACUACAUUUUUUCGCUAGUAUCACAACUAUAUACAAUAUUGUAUCUCACAUAUAUCAACAUAUCAAUGCACGAUUUACAACGAAAUUUAAAUCGUUAAAAUCAAAUUUGUCAUAACACUAAACAUGCGUUUUUUUUUUUUUUACCCUCCCAAAUAUGCCAUUGUUUAUUCUUUUAUCACAUCACAACAUGAUUUUUCUCUUAUUCUACAUCAAGUAUGAUUCUCCAUAUUAGAUUACAAAAAUACCCCUCAAACGGUGGCUUACAAUACGCCAUCUACCAUAGAAAUCGUUGACAAUGAGGGUUAAUAUAGUAAAUAACCAAAAUAAUUUAUUUAUUUGGUCCAACAAUUUCUAAAGACCAUUGAUUUCUUUUUCUCCUAUCUCUUUCGUUUUUUUUUACAAUAUUUGAAUUGAUUUAACUUUGAUUUGGAACCAAUAUCAUGUGAUAAUCCUUAUAGUAAUGUAUUAACAAAAAUCAAAUAAAGAUGGAAUAAAAGCAUAAAGAAUAAUACUUUUAAAUGUUAAGAGUCCACGCUAGUAUAUAUGUUCAUGUUCGAUUUCUAAUUUUUAAUCUAUUGAUUUUAGAAGAACUUAAAAAGUUUCUUAAGAUAUUUAUUUUUAUUGUUUUAAAUAAUUGUUCGACAUUUGAAAAUAAAAAAUGGAUCAUUCUCAAAUAUAACAAAAAAAAACUAUUUACAAAAUAUAGUAAAAUCUAUUCAAUUUUCUAUAACCCAUUUAAGAUUAUUUUGGAAUGGGUGAAUAUUUUUUUUUUUCUAUUUGUAACAACUUCUGGUAAGAAAUUUUAGAUACUAGAAAACUAACAUAAAAAAUUUGCUUCAAAAGCAUAUUUUGAAACUUAAUGAAGCUGGUUAUUGUACUAUAAAGUUACAAGAUUGUGUUUUUUAGGGGUAGAUUAUUUAGUGUAAGUAUGAAACAGUGUAACAAAAGGAUGAGAGGUUGAAUAACGAGUUCUUUUUAUUUUAUUUCACCUUAAAGGGGCAAAUGAUUUGGUAAGUAGUGGUGAGUAUUGAUCGAUCAAAGUGAUAUUUUGACAAAAUCACCAUCGAAUCGAAUAUAUCAAUUUAGAAAAUGUUCAAAUCGACUCUAACAUGGUCAAAAAUAAUAUCGUUAGUUGGUCAACUUUGUGAUUUGUUAUUUUUGAAAAUUCUUCUAACAUAAGCCAAUUGAAAAACUUCAAUUUGGUAAUUCAACUCAAUUUUUUCUUACUGAUAAGUCACAAUAUAUAUAACAUCCAAUUCAUAAAGUUGGGAAAUUCAAUCCACCCGACAUAUUUAAUAGAAGAACUAGAAAAACCCACAGAAUUUGCACAUCAACCCUAUUAGUCACCGAAGACAAAUCGAGAAGAAACAAAACUUCUCCAUCUUAUAUCAACAUCAACAGUGUCAUUUUACCUCAAUAACAUAAAUUAAUAUUACUAUAACGAAUCAUGAUUUAACAAUAGUUAUAAAAAUCGAGUAUGAUAAUUAAAGAGUGAAUCACCCAUUGAGUUAUAAUAGCUCACUCAAUCCAAUUAGUUCAAAUUCACUUAUUAUUCGAAUUUGAAAAGAAAAAAACAAUUUUUUGAAGCAUAAAUAACAAUAUUCCCACCAAAUAUUGCCUUCAUUUCAGUAUUUGAUUCUCCUUCUUUAUGUAGAAACUGCUUUUUUUCAAAUUAUUUUCACUUAUUCCUCUUUCAAAGGCGUCUCCAUUCAUUCCAAAAAGAAAAAAAAAGAAAUGCUUGAAUUACCCUCAAAAGCAUCUAAUCCUCCACAAUCUCUCCCGAGAACAGAGCAGCUGAUCAAAGCUUCAGUGCCUUUAAUGGCAGAACAAGAACCCAAGCCUGAGCCUAAAGAAGUUGAAGAAAAUCUGGACCCUCCUCUCAUUUACAAGGUACUCCAACAUUUUUUCGUCUUCUUCCUUCACUCACUAUAUGCCUUGAUUUUCUUGACGCUUUGUGUAAUUUGUCAUGUUCUUGUUCUGUUUUACAGACGUGGGUUUUGAAAGUCUCCAUUCAUUGCGAAGCCUGCAAGAGGAAAGUUAAACGAGUUCUCAAGGACAUUGAAGGUUAAUUUCGAUGUUUUUUUUUUUUUUGUCCUUCCUCUGUAUCUAUCUCGAUUCGUGUUCGUACUGCGAUUUUCUGUUUUGCGAAUUCGGUAAUAUUCUUUUGGUAAUGAAUUCAAAUAAGUUUUUUUUUACUAUCUGCUCUGGCGUUCUUAACAUUCUGGUUUUUGUUCAGUUUCUUGUAUUGUUCUCUCUAUGUAACUCGCUGUUUUCUAUUUGCUAGGAUUUAAUCUACUAUUUCUUUGUAGAAUCGUUACCUUCUUCAUGAUUUUUCUUUGGAACAUGGACUGGAGAAUAUCUGUUUAAUUAUGAAUGUGACUUUUCAGGAGUAUAUGAAACGGAUAUCGAUUUAAAGCAACAGAAAGUUGUUGUGAAAGGUAACGUCGAAUCAGAAACUUUGAUAAAGAAAUUGUUGAAGACAGGGAAGCACGCGGAGCUAUGGCCGGAAAAAGGAAAAAGUAAAGGAAAGUCGAAGAAGAAAGAGAAACAUAGCGAUUCCGAAAGCUCCGAUGAAAGCAGCGGCCAUGAAGACGAAAAAGACAGAGUGAAAUUCGAUGUACAGGAUCCGAAGAAAAAUGGAGACCCGACUGGGAAGAUCAUCGACGGCGGCGGUGACAGUCAAGCCAAACAGCCUGGUCCUGCACCGGCCGGUGAUGGCCAGACCGGCGGCAGUGCAGGUAAGAAAAAGAAGAAGAAAAAGAAGAAGAAGAGCGGCGGAGGUGGCGGCGGCAAUGCCGGCGGUGAAGCUCCCGUCGAUCCUCCAGCAAAUGGAGCGCCACCGUCCGAACCAAAUCCGGGUCAUUCGGAUACCGGUCCACAUCCUGUAGCCGGUCCGGUUCCGGUUCCGAUUGUAGUGAAUGAGAGCCCUACACGUCACUAUGUGACUCAAUAUCAACCGCAUUACAUUCCGCACCCAGUUUAUUCAGUGCGGUACAGUACAGCAUACGCCAUGAGUUCUCAGCCACGGCGCGAAUCAUAUUAUGCCACGCCGCAACAACAUUCGUAUGCGUACGUGCAUCCAGGUGUACGGCCUGAGACUGAUUCUCCACCGUCUGAUUUUGAGCCAUAUUCAUCACAGCCGUCUGAUUCUCUGGAGAUAUUCAGUGAUGAAAAUCCGAAUGGGUGCUCAAUCGUGUGAGGCAAUUUAAAAUUUUUGCUCCGAAAUGACCAUAUUGGACAGCGUAAGUGCAAGGUCUUUUAAACUAAUUUAGGAGUAUUUAGAGGGGUAAUUAUGUAAUGUACAGGUGGCUUUUGUUUUGAUAUCAAACACAUUUUGUAAUGCUAUUGCUUAUGCUACAUUUUCAAAGGGUUUGAAUUUGAGCGUAUCCGAAGCUACAUGCCUACACCUAUAUAUAUAUAUAGAAAAUAAUUACACUUUGUUCUAUAUCCAUACAGAAAAUAAUUUCAAUUUCCAAAAACGAAGAUAGUUGUUUAAUGAAGUUAAUAUGUGAGUGUCUCUUCCUAAAUGUAACUAAAUUUGUGUGUUUUUGUUUUACAAUAUGAGAAUAUGAGAAUGGAGUGUUUUCUCAAUUUAUCCAGGUUUGUUUUGACAAAUUUAUAUGUCAUUAAUUACUCUUGAGCUAUUUUUAGUCAAAACUUAUAAGAUUUAUCUAAAUGAAUCAUAAUUGAGCUGAGUUAGAUGAAUAAACAAAAAAAUUCAUUCAUUGUUUGCUAGGGAUGUAUAUAAGUCGAGUUAAUUAGGUUGCCAUAUUGGUUUUUUUGUUUCAUCUUUCUACGAUUCAGAUAAAUUUUCAUAUUGUUUUUCAAUAUACAAAAGUGUACAAAUUCUCAUUUAAGGUGUAAGGUGACAUAUAUAUGUUAUACAUUCACAUCCUAAGUUUACAAUAUUUGUUCAAAUUCUAAGUAUUUGUACACAUAUACAUAAUAGUUGGGUUGGGUCAUAUGGUAAAUUACUAAAUGUAGGAUUUAAUAAGUCCAAUAAUACUUUCUAAAGGCCAUUGUUCUUUUCCAUUUUUCCCCUAAUAUUUUGAUUUGAUUCAUUUUGAGUUGGACCAAUAUCUAAUGAUUAUAGAGUAAUGGUAAGAUAUUAACAAAAAGAUAUAAAAUAAAGAGAGAACAAUACCCACUAAAAUUGCCUUUUCCUUUCAAAUUCCAAAGAGUUUUCCCCUUUUCUUGUUUUCUUUUAUAGGGAAAAGAAACUCAUAUUAUUCUCUUGGUCAUUGAAGAUUCCCAUUUUCAUAUCCGUAGUCUUGUAAUGGAGAAUCUAAUUCCUUUGUAUUUAUCUACUUCUUUUGUCUAUCAAACUUGUGAACAAAUAUAGUUUCAUGUCAUUCUUUUAAAAGAUAGCUAAGUAAGUAUUUUGAAGUAAAACCAUUUGCAUUUUGGUGGGUUAGGUGUCGAGUGUCGAGUUGUGUUUGGUUAGAUGGUAAUAUUUUCUAAAAAAAGUUAGAGUUUAUUGUUGUUAUUUAGUUUGAAAAAUGGUGAUGGUAAUUUCGAAGGAAACUUACGUUUUUAGUCUUUAUGUUUGAACAAUCAACUUUCAAAAUGUAAACUUUUUCUAAACUUCCUUAGGUAAUUAUUUUGACUAUAUAUUUUGUCUUUGUCCUUCAAACCUAAGCUUCUAUGCAUUUUUUUCACAUCCAAAAUUCUUCAUUUACUGUUUACUUUAUCAAUGGUUUAAAAAGACCAAUCUAACAUUUGAAAACUAAACAAAAUAAUUUUUAAAAAGGGGAAUUUACAUAAAUAGAAAAAAAAAACUUUAGGCUUGUAUUAAAAGUUUGUUAUUGACCGUAAAUAAUUUGUCAAUUAUUCUCUUUUUAAAAUUAUCCCUUCUAAAAACUUGUUUAUGUUUUUUAAAUUACUUAAAAAUUCAACAAUUAUAUUUAAAUAACAUUAUUUUAAGAAAUCAGAAAUAAAUACAAUAUAAUUUUUUAAAAGUUAAAUAGUUACUAAAGAGGGCUUUUAUAUUUUGUUUUUGGUUUUUUAAAAUUAUGCCUAUAUUUUCAUGAUUAUUACAAUGGUUCUUAACUAUAACUAUUGAAUUCUCGUAGUCUUAUAAAAAAAACUAGUAUUUGAAAGCUAUUCAUUUAUAGUUUUCAAAUUUUGACUUUUUCUAACACUAUGGUAAAAUGUAGGUAACAAAAUAAUAACAAAAUUUAAAGGUAAAAGUAAUAUAGUGUUUAUAGACUUAAUUAAUUUGUAGGAAUGGUAACAAAAAGGCAAAAUAAUUACCAUUCAAGGCUUAUUGUUGAAUGACAUUUUAAAUUAGAACGACAAAUUUUACAAACUGUAUUGUCUCUCUAAAAUUAUUUGUUUUCUAUAAUCUAAACGACUUUCCAUCGUUUUAAAAAGUAACUCCAAAUACUUAUUUAAAUAUAGUUAUUGGAAAACUCAGUAUCCAUACAAUAUUUUAAAACUUAUUAACCAAAUGCACAUAAUUUUAAGGAUUUGAUGAAUGAGAAGUUGCAGUAUAACUUAUUCUUCAAAAUUCGAUAACUAACCAAAUGUAUUUUACCUAACUUUAUCUAUUAUUAUUAUUUUAUUAUUAUUACAACAAUUAUGAGAAUGAAAAUCGAACCUCAAAUCUUCCAUAAAUUAUGUGAGUUUGAUUAGUUGGUUUUAGUUUGCAAUUAUCACGGUACUUUAUUUUAGUGGUUCAUAUGCUCGAAUAUUGUGUAAAUACAUGCACACAUGUUGUUUUUACCCGUAUAUACAACAACUUCAAUUACACACAUAUUGCAGUAACAAACACUAUAUAUAUACAUGUAUUACGAUAGACAAUAAAACCAUCAAUUAGUUGGUCAAUAUAUUUGUAAAUCAAAUGAUUCAACAUUAAUAUCAUUGUUUAAUAGAUAUCUUCAACAUCUCGUAUAAAAUAUCUAAGAGAUUCACGAUUUACUUAAAUGUCAAUUAAGUUAUUAAACUUCAAAAAACAUCCUCGCUCAAUACGUUGUUUAAUCCGUAUAUUUGAAAUAUGAAAAAAAAAAACAUAUUGAUGACAUCACAUACCAUUUGUCAACGAUGAGCACGAGUGUAAGAGAGGAAGGAGAAGAUUGAUCAAGGAGGUGCCAUAGCGUGCAAUAACAAGUACAUUGUCAAAUGUCAACUUAUUAUUUUAGUGUGAAGUGCACGAGUGUGAGAGAGGAAGGAGAAGAGUGAACAAGAAGGUGCCACAACGUGCAAUAACAAGUACAUUGUAUAAUCUGUAUUGGAAUAAUUAAACACAACACCUACGAGAAAAAGGUGAAUUAACAAAAUAUCAUAUACCUAUAUUUUUAACAUUCAAGUGCAACUACGUUCUCAUGUUAAAAUUUGAAUCAUCCGUACAAAAGUUCUUCAAUACUAUUUAACAAAAUAUUAGGGAUAAUUCUAAAUCUAAUCGAUAGAUUCAAAAUAUUAUCAUACAUAGCAACAUUUUAUAAAGAUUGUAAAUAUAACAUAAAUAACAUUUGAAAGUUUAUCAACUAUAAUAAUCUACAAUAAACCAUAUAGAAAAGAUUUGUAAUUUACAAAACUUUAGAAAUAUUGUUAUAUACUUAUUACAAUAUUUGAUAUCUACCGUAAUUACAUAAGAAUUAAUUCUAUUAGUAACACAUAAUUAAUUAUUCACCAACCUCGAAACUUCGCGGGGUCUUCUUUACUUCUUCCCGCCAACACAAAAUCAGUGCGAUUCCCUCUCGCUUUCUCUCGUUCUGUCACCGGACGGCGAGGGUGUGACAACGAUGGAGUUUAGUUUAAGCGGAAAUGCUCUCAAGACCUUUGCUCGCUCAGUCACAUGCCUUGCUCGAAUCGGAAACGAGCUCGUCAUCCAAGCUUCUCCAUCGCAGGUAUUCCAUAUUUUUCAAUUCGCUCUCCAUUGUUCUUUCCAUUUCCCCUCCGAAUCCGUUUCCCUACAACAACUUCAUCACCGAUUCUCACAUCUUUUGCAUCUGACGUAUUUAGUUUGAUCGAUCAGUUGAGUUGUUUGUAAGGUUAAUUAUAGUGCUAUGUUUUGACGAGUCCAAGAUUAGGUGGAAUAUCAGUAUCUGUUUAAACGGAUUCUGGAAAUUGUAUUUUAGCCAGUGAUUCUGUAUCCAAUAUAGGUAACAUAUGUUUGCAGAAUGUGGUCAUUGGUUAGCGAGUUCGAGUGAAAAUAACUUUUGAACAUGUAAAAUGUCGUUGGUUGGUGAAAAGCGAGCCGGAAUACCCGUUCCUUCUACUAGUGAACUGGGAAUCUGUGAAAGGGAGGUAACAGGUAUCGCAUUGAAACUCUAGGAUUGAUGCAAAGGCUACUAUCUUAGCUUAUAAGACUCAUCUCACCUCCCCACAAAAAACCUUUGUCCUACUUAUUUUGAAUAAGGCUUUGAGAAAUUCAAAAACCUCCUCAAUCAUAUGUUCCUGUAAAAGACCUACUACUUCACCUCAGAUAGUUUUAGCCAAAAAACUAUUCCCUUUUCCAGCUGCCUAAACCUGUGGAAAAAACAAUUCAUCCUCUUCUUUCAACAAUUUGAUGUUGACCAUUUGAAAUGAUCUCAUCUCUCUCUCUCUCUCCCCCCCCCAAAGAGAACCCAGUGAAUUUUAGUAAUGAACACAUCCAGUCUUUCUUUUUCCUUUGUCAUCUCCGUGAACCCUAACAACUUAUAACCAUGGCUUUUAUUUUCGAUAUCAACUCUUUUUUGAAACAGAAAAACUUAUCAUUGAUAUGCCAGGAGUUGCAAGUGUAGUUAGCAUUGAGCCGGUAUAUCCCAAACCUUUAUCCUAUACAAGGACUUUUUAUUGUCACUGAAAAUUGAGUGAACUGUGCGAUUUGAAAUUGUAAAAUAGCUAAAAUCUUGAAGCCUGCUUUGCUUGUUGAAUUGUUUUGGCACGGGCAUGCAUGGCUCAAAUAUAUGAAAAAAGCAAUCUUAUAGCCAAUUAAUUUUCUAUCAAGUGCAGCUUGCUUUUUACACUCUCAAUGCAUCACGGUCUGCCUAUCAAGCUAUAACAUUUGAGACUGGGUUUUUUGAUCACUAUGCUGUUUCUGGUAAUCAAGUGCAGUGCAGUGUUCUUUUGAAGGUAUGCAUGAUAUUAUGUUAUAUUGCACUCACGAUCUUAUGUUGUAUUGCACUCACCAUCAGUACUUUACUGCGCUCCAAUCCUUACAUAUUAUGGCAUGCCAGGCUGUCUGCUCUGUUCUCAGAACACCAAUUGUCAGUAUAGACCAUCUGAAAGUGCAGUUACCAGAUCCUGAUGCAUUGAAAGUGCGAUGGAGUUUGGAAUGUUUCAACGGUCAGUUGCGUUUUUAUGAAUACACACACAUUUGUGUAAAGCCAUGUUCAAAUGAUCUAAGAUCAUUGAUAAAUGCAGAUGCUGACUACUUAAAAAUGUCACUCAAUGAUGUCUAACUUACGUUGGUCCAAUGUGACUUUCAUUGAUUAUAAAUCAUCUGAUAACUAAAAAUGUAGAUUGCAUCUAAAGCUACAAGGAUCAUUGGUCUUACGAAAUGCUUUUGUGUUUUUAAUACCACUAGAUCAUAUGGUUUUAUGAUGAAUAAACUUUAAAUACACCAAUGUUAUCUGUUAUGCAGGGAUGAAGAAAACAUACUUUAUUUCUUGCAACAUUGAGCCAGACAUACAACACUUGUCUCUUGACAGGAGGCAAUUCCCAAGCGACUUAGUUGUAAGACCUCGAGAUCUGAACAGAUUACUCUCUAAUUUUCAGUCAUCCUUGCAGGAGAUCACUGUUAUUGCAACAGAACCAACUUCGUUACCUUCUGAAGCUGCAAGUGAGAUUGAAGGAAAGGCUGUUGAACUUAGAAGCUACAUAGACCCAACAAAAGGUGAAAAAUGAUACAUGCAAGCCUAGAUCAAUUAAUAUUUAAUACUAUAAAUUCCCUCUCAAUAAACUUAAGUUAAAUGUUGAUGCCUGAAAACUUGAUACUUUUCAUGGAUAUACCAAAAUUUAGGUUAUGCUUCAUUGUUUAACUGCAGACAAUGAUGCACUGCUUCAUACUCAACUCUGGAUAGAUCCUAUGGAAGAGUUUGUCCAUUAUUCUCACAGUGGAGAUCCAGUGGACAUAACAUUUGGAGUAAAAGAAUUGAAGGUACUUUGAUUUAACCUCUGGAAUCUCCCUUGUGCAUUCAAUUUUCAUUAUAGAGUUGAGAAUGCUGCUCCUCUGGUGGUGCUACUAGCCAUUUCUUCUAUAUGCUCUGUAGUCUGUGGUUAGUUGAUGUUAUUGUUGUUAUUUUUGAUGACAUGGAACUAUAUAUAGGAAGAGCUAUUAAUUCAUAGCUCUUUCGUGGAUACUUGUGGUCAAGGCAUUUCCUUUAAGCUACUUUCAUCAUCAAAUUUCAGGCAUUUCUUUCUUUUUGUGAGGGCUGUGAAGUUGACAUCCACCUGUAUUUUGAGAAAGCUGGGGAGUAAGAACUCCGACUCUUUUCUUUGUUAUUUAUUCUUUUUGCUUCCUCUUUUACCUUCUUCUUAGCAUUUUCUCAAUCCUUAAUAGUUGAGGACCUCCGACUUAUAAUUAUCAUAAUGGUGCUAAAUUACCACGGAUGAUCUUCUAACUGCUUGACUUAGCUUCAUAAUACUUUGUUCAAUUUUCUGGUUAGAACUUAGUAACUAUGGUUCUGAACGAAAUACAAAGUUAACUCUUGUUAUCUAGUGUGAUAGGAUUUCAUAUUUGGAUGCAGGCCAAUUCUAAUGGCACCGAAAUUUGGUCUGGAUGAUGGUUCCAGUUCAAACUUUGAUGCUACACUUGUACUUGCUACCAUGCUUAUAUCACAGCUCCAUGCGGGAAACCAAUCACAGCCUCCACAAGAAGCUGCUAGUGUGCAUGGUGAAUCUGAUCGCAGAGCUGGCUCCCAAGCACAAGCACAAGCACAGCAAGAUACAUCUAGACCUAAUGUCUCUGGGCAUCCAUCUGAUCAUACCAGAAUGUGGUCUGACCUCUCAGGUCAUUGUUUUUAUUGAGGCCCAAAUCUAGUUUUUUUGUAUCCCCAUCACAUUUUCUUUGGCUUUCUCAUCCAAGAUACGAUUUCUUAGAAAUAAACUGUUUUGUAUUUUGAAUCAUUCUUCAACUCAUUUUCAGGAAGUGCACCAAGAAGUGGUAACGGUGCUGAAGGACAGGUACAAGGUGAGAGAAAUUUGAGUUCUUCCGAGCAGAUGGAGAUUCAAAGGAUUAGUACAAUACAGAUUUCAAAAGCUGGGUGUGCUCAAGAAAAUGACCAAGUUGGUCGUGCUGGGUAUCCUUUACAAUGCAACUUGUUUCCAUAUUGAUCAGUUUUGAAGUGAUCUUUUGGUUAUGAUUCUUAUAUGAAGAUGUCUAUUACUGUUCCGAUGAAUUUUGCACCAAUAAAUAAAGAUUAGUUUACGGAGAAAAUUGGGUACAGUGACACAAUCUUUGCGGUUAGGAUUGAACAUCUACUUCCCUUCAAGAAUAUUCAUAGCAUGGGAAGGUGAUUUGGAGCUAACUCUAAUUUAGAGUCUUCAGCCUAGCUAUCUGACUAAAUUUCUUCCUUUUUUGAUUUUUUGCUCUGGACAAAGGUUUUGUAAAUGGAGUAAUGAUAUCCAUCCUGUCACUAGCUGUAUUAGAAAAAUAAAGCAAUUCGUAUUAAAAAAUAAAGUGAUUCAUGUUUAAUAAAAAACUUCACAUAUUUAGUGAUUGGAAGAAGUGAACACUGAGAAAAACAUGAACUUGUAUAUGCAUAGUUUAAACUGAAAUUCUAAUAGACAAUAGCCAAAGAAGUGGACAACAGUCGAGUAAAGUAUGCAAAACAUUAACAAACCACAGGGUUUUCACUUGGUGCAUAUUAAGUGACUGUUGUAACCUACACUUUGUAACUGCGGUCACCUUAGAGUCCUUUUCCAGUGCUUGGAUUGAUAUACGUGACCAAGUUUACUUGACUGAUUAAUGUAGUGACUAUUCUAUGGGAAGGGAUCAGGGAAGAGAACGUCAAGGUCAGUAGUAGAUACCACAUUAGUCAUUUGCUUAACCUAGCAUAUAUUGUUACACCGGCUGCUAGUAGUAACAUUUUCCUGUUCGGCUGCUUGAUGCUCUCAGAGAAGUCUGAUAUUAAUGGUCCUCCUGUGUCCCAACAUCACCCCAGUAACUGGGUGGAUGAAGAAGACGACGACGACGACGACGGGGACGACAACGAAUUGUGUGUUCAGUCAACUCCACCAUACUAUGAAGAACAAUAGAAAGGUAUUUUAUUUUAUUUUUUGUCUACAUUGCAUGUAUUCUUGUCUGCAUUGCAUGUUGUAUCUACUUUCUUUCUCGUUGACUCAUUAAUCUAAUUUGAAUAUUGCGCCUUCUUGUUUUUUCUUUCCAUCUAGUAUAUCUUUUUUACUGCUCAUUGAUUGUAAAUUUAGCAAUUUGUGGUCCCUGUUUGUUUUGAAAUUAUCUGAACCAUGUUAUUGUCUGAGGUGUGAUAUGUACCUUUCCUAGCAACGGCAUAAUAAACUUUAUCUGCCACUUAGUGCUCAAGGUAGAUUAUGAGCUCCUAUAACGGUGCUUUUUCCAUAUGGAUUAUUUUUUGUUUUCCCGGUCCUUUUAUUUAUCUAAUUGGAGAGGUUUUGUUUUUUCUUUUUCUAAUAAUCUUCUAAAAAAUAUACUUUCAAAGAGAGUUAAAAAAUACCCUCAAUGUUGUUUUGGAUGGAAAUAGUAAUUUUUGCUUUAAAAAUACUCUUGAACAAAAAUCCUAUUGUGUUUUGAAUCGUUUUAAAUAAAACACUAAUGGUUUCAUUCAAAUCUAACACCAAUGAUAUUUUGAACCGUUUUACAAAGUUUUAAUGGUAUUAUAUUGAAACUUUGGUAGUUUUAAGGGUAUUUUUGAUAAAGUACAAAGUCUAGGGACAUUUCUUGUAAUUUAACCUAUAGGUUAAAUCAUAAAAGUAUUCUUUUUUAUAUGGAAAUUCGAACAUACUGAGAAGAAAAAGAAUAUAAAUAUUUUUGAAAUAUAUAGGCGGGCUGAGCAAUGUUUCCGUUUCCGCUGCAUUAUUGAAUCACGUUUUUAUACUGUUUGACACAUUACCAGUUGUCUGCUUUCUACACUCUACUCAUGCGUGCUUGGCUGCAGAUGGCAGCGUAAACACAAACCUACUUGAUUUACUCCUCAAACUUUGGCAUAUCAAACUUGUACGACGUUAAACAGUAGGACCAACAUCUCGAAGAUACUACCGCAUGUGCUCGGCUCUCGUGUGAAAAGUGUGAUGUAAUGUCAACCUGGGGGGUUAGAAGAUGCCAACUUUCUCAAUUAGCUGGUGGUAUCUGUAUCCUUGGCUUGAUCAUAGGGUCAUUCUGGUCAUAAAUUGUUAAUGUUUUAGCAUCCAGUCCACUUUACUGUUCUAGUAUAUAGUUGUGAACAGAAUCAGCUAUUGGUUUGGGGUCCUUUGCUUUGUUACUGUGUUCAUUUGCAUUAAUUUCAGGUAUUUUCUAAUGUCUAUGUUGUUUAUAGAUAUGAUGAUGAGUCCCAGAAUGCUGGAGUUUUCAAAUCUCAUGUGAGGUGAAAGAGCAAAAGCUUUUUACUGAGGGGGCAAAGCCUAGUAAGCCCUUCUCUCUCAGAACUUUUUGAAAAGUUUUCCAUUUAUUAAUUGACGCAGAAGUAAAAUUUAAAAAAUGUGCGGGCCCAUGAAUAAAUGAAUAAAUUUAAUAUAUCAUUUGAUGACGGUCAAAUUAUAAAGGAUGGUAGUGGGUAUUACAACAAAUACUAGAAAUAUUAUCUCCCUCAAAAAUGCAUAAUGAACUCUCCUUUAAUUCUCACUUUAUAAAUUACUCAAUUUGUAUUUGAUUUCUAUUCCUUGGAGUAAUUUGAAAAUCUAACUUUGGUCAUUAAUUGAGUAGUACUCAUGUUAGUUUCUUAAGUCACACUUAUUACACUUUUGAAUAUGGUUAAAAAAUAUUAUUUUGGUAACUUAAACUUUUCUUUUCUUUCUAGAAAAUUCAAAUUAGAAAUCAAUGGUUAAAUGAUCUUAGGAAAUAAAUAUUUGAAAAUAAACCCUAUAAGAAAAGAAAAUAAUCCAAAGGCAGAAGAGUGGGUUGUUAGAUUUUAAGAAAAUUGGAGUCCUACAGAUGAUGUGGGGGAAGAAAGAAUAUUUAAAAAAACUAUAUUUAGCUUCCAGAGGAAAUAAUACUCCAAAAGAAAAAAAAGCUUGUACAGGAACAUGCCACAAUUCAUCCUCAAUAAUUUAAUGUUUAUAUGCAUUUAUGGUAAUGGAAAAAAGUUAUCCAUAGUAGUCAUGCUUGUGUAUGUAUGGGAGAUGGCAACCUCCAUGAUGACAAUGAUAAUGAUUUUGUUUUUUUGUUUCUAAAAUUUAUUUUAUUUCAAAAUUUUGCCACAAUUUUUUUAAAAAAGAAAACAAAAAUUGGUAGUUCUAAAAUUUGAAAAUGGAGCGUAUGUAUAUAUAUAUCAAUAAAUUUUAAUUUCUGUCUAUUAAUGUUAGGCAUUUAUUAAUAGAAUUUUAAAAUUUGUUAUAUUUUAUAAAUAUUCUAUUAAAUUUGUUACUUUUUCAAUUCUCACACAUAUACUUAGGUUGGUGUAAAUAGUUUUGUUAAGUUUGAUUUUGAAAUGGGUUCAAACUAUAAAAGAUACCCACUAUUUGAAUUAUGCACUAAACUUUGAAUUUUUUUUUUCUUUUCAUGAUUGAACUUUGAAUUUUGUAUUUUGAAAAAGUUCCAUGUGACAAUUUUUUUCUAUGAAAAUUUUAAAAAAAAUGAUGUGGCAGGUAAUGUAAAAAUUAAUGGUCAUUUAUGAUAUUAUUUACAUCGUUCACAUGGAUUUAUGAGAUGGAAUAAAUAGUAACAACUAUCUUUACUUUCUGUAUAGUUGUAAAUAAUAAAAUAAAACAUACAACUAAUUGCUACUCAUCAUUUGUCACAUCAAUUCUAUUCUUUAUCAUACUAGAAAAGACAUCUGCUUGGAAUAAUUUUAAAAUCAAGGGUAAAGAAGAAUAUUCUAUUUGGUAGUCAUUUAAGACUUGUUUAGAGAGUUAAAAUGUAAUCUGAAUUACUAGAAAUUAGAUAUGUGUUGAAAAAUUGAGUCUAAACAUCUCUCCCACAUCUCUUGUUGUCAACUUUCUAUAGAUAUAUACAAAAAUAUCAAGCUUGGUUUUGAAAACUUUUUUUUAUGUAAGAAAACUCUAUAAGAAAUUGAGAGUAAAUAAGUCUAAUUUUUAAAAACUAAAAGUCAAGUAGUUACUAGGUAUAAUUCAAAGACUAAAAACACAAUCAAAACGAAACAAAACUCAAAGUUUAGCCGUAUUGUGCCUUUUUAACCCAUAAAGGAUAAGACUAUAAAAAACAAUUGUUAUAGGUUUAAGUCAUAGGAGAUAAAAUGAGAGGAGCAUCUAAGUGUUGGAAGGGUGCUAAGUUAUGAUAAAUGUUGGUUCAAAAUUCCCUAAUUGUAAAAUUAAAAUUUGUUUUUUUGUGACUUUCUAUUACUCAACAUAAUUAUAUUCAUGUUAUAUACACCCUCUAAGAAAAAGUUAAUAUAUUCUUGGCUUGUCAAUGUCCAUUUCCGUUAGAAUAAAACACAAACUUUUGAAUUUGAUAAUAAACUAAAGAAUGAAGAAAAACAAAAGGUAUAGCUUGCAAUAGAAAGAUGACAGCCAAAGAAUAAUGUUUGGAAGGUCAUUCGAAUUAAAUUGAUGACCAAUUUCAAUUCCAAAUGACUCAUUUUUCUCCACUUUUUAGUUAGCCAAGCAUUUGAAUUCAUUUUUCAAAGUUAUUAAUUUAUUUGUGGUUGAGUUGGCACAACAUUUUGUGUUUGCUCCUUGCAUUUUCGUUUCAUUUUUGUCAUUUGUUUGUAUGGGUUUAUAUUGGAAAAGUCUUUUAUGAUUAUUCUUCAUAUUCAUAGUUUUGUCUUUUCCAAAAUUUUGAAACUCUCUUUCACAUCAUUAUUUAUUUGGUAACUCUUUUAUUUUUUAUCCUUGAAAUUUAUGUUUUUUCCUCUCAUUUUUUUAAAAUUAUGAAUUUACAUUGUUAAAAAAAGUACUUGAAUUCCUAAUCGUUCUUUUUUACUUUUUAUUUUAAAUUUGGCUUGAUUCUUAUAAGCAUGAGUAGACAUUAAACAACAAAACAAAAAACUUGUGGGCAAAAAUAGUGCUUAUAACUUGAAAAAUAUAACAAAUAGCACAACGAGGAAAACAAUAUCAAGAUGUAGUACAAUUGUGAAUCAUUUGCAAAUAUAGAAAAGAUUGACCCAUCAUAUCGUGAUUUUUUUAGAAUUUCAAGUUUACUCUUCGGUGGACCUUCAUCAAUGAUUGGAGCUAUUUAUUUAUGAUAUUGCUUAAUAGCAUAUUUUUCAAAUUGAAUGUUAUCACUUAUAGCAAGAUGAAAUUUAUUGAUAGCAGUUGAUAACACAUUUAUUAAAAUGAAAGUUAUCAUUUAUAGCAGCAUCACUAGUAGAAGUUAUUAGUAAUAAUAAUAUAUAGUACAUUUCUUUAAUUGAAAGUUAUUGAUGAUAUAACUUUCAGUGAUAUUACCUGAUAAUAGUUAUCAGUUUUUGUGUUAGACCUGUGUUUUUCGUCUUUUACUUUUUUUUUUGUCAUAUAUGUAAUUAUUUUAUUCUUGUACUACAUAUUAGUUUAAAUAUCAUUCUUGAAACUAUCAUCUUUACUAAACAAUUAUCAAACGGAACUUAUUUUCCACCACGGAAUAUUAUAAAGUUAGAAAUUUGAACUUAUAUUGAUAUGCAAUCAACUUUAAUAAAUUUACACAACACCACAAACUUUUUAUAUAAGUUGCAAUUUAAAAUUUUAAGUCUUUCACUUUUACGAAAUUGCUUUAUUCUUGAAAACAAAAUUCAAAAUAUAAUGAACUAAAAACUCAUUAAAAUAUACGUUUAUACCACACUUAAAUUAAAUUGGUUGGUUCAAUUUCUUUUCAAUUUCAAUUAAGCUAUUGUGUUAGCCUCAUAAAUAAAAUCUUCCUUUAAAUGUAAUUUGUAUAAUUUGUAUUACAUUCACAAUUAUGUGAAGAACAAUAAAGAAACCAACUUUCAUAAAUAUGUAUAAAUAAAAAAUAUAUACACACAAUAGUUGGGAUUUGACGGUGACGGAGAGAACGGAGUAAUUGGUGGGAAGUUUGGUGAAAAAAAGAGUCGGAAAGGAAAAAAGAAAAGAAAAGAAUGGAAUAAACGCGUUUCGGGUAACAGAUUCUUUGACGGACUUUUAAAAAACAAUUCCCUUUGUUUUCCCUUUUUUUUUUCUUUCUUAUCAAAUAAUUAAUAAUUAAUAAGUUUGUAUUUAUUUAUAUUUUAAAAAAUAAUUUGUUCUCACCAACCAUUGAAGGAAGACAGCAGGUCAACUACAUGAUGUGUUCGGUGGAACUCAAAAUGUCUCUAAUACCCUCCCAAUCAUGUUUUAGUUACUAAAUUGCCAUUGGAAGGUGGUUAUCUAUUAUCCUAAUUACUAAUCUCAACAUUGUUCUUAAUCUCCAUCAAGAAUAUAAGAGUGACUAAGAAGGUCGUAUCGGUAAGUUUUCGAACUUCAUGAAGGUCAAGAACUAGGGUUUGUUGCCGUAGACGAAUUGUGACCUGAUAUUUGUUUAUGUAGUGAUCAAUAGUGUGUUUUGGGUCAUUUGUAACAAUUGUACUAAGUUAGUAACAGUUGAAUUAAUUAUUCGAAAGGAUAGUUAGGUUAGUAGAAAACAACUUGAAUAUUUUGUUUUUUAGCACUGAUCUCUCUAGAUGGUUACAAAUUUGAUUGCCAAAAUGUUGAUGGUAGAUUAAACGUUCUUGGUGCAAGGUUCUUUGUUGUGUAGGACAAUUGUUUAAUUCUUAAUCGUGAAUUCAAAGAUUUAAUUUUUCUUUCUUUAAGAUUAACAGUAUAAGAAUGGUUAAAAUAGCCGUAUAGGUUAGUUUCUGAAAUUUAUCAAGGUCAAUUCCUAGGGUUUGUUGUAGUAGACAAAUUAUGACCUAGCAUCUGUCUAUCUAGUCAAUAACAUGCUUUAGUUCAUUGAUGGUUGGGUUAAUUAUUUGAAAUGAUAGUUAAGUUAGUAGAAAACAAUAAGUUGAAUAACUUGCUUUUUAACGCUUUUUCUAGACAAUUACAAACUUGAUUGUAAAAUAUUUACGAUCAGUCAAGCACCCCAAUGCAAGGUUCUCUGUUCUGUAGGACAAUCGUUUGAGUUUUCUAAAAUAUUAAACAAUUGAAACUACAAGAACCAUAAUGGUAUUUUAGUAACAAAAAGCCACUCUUCUAAGUCUUGAUUAUAUUUAAACAAGAAACAAUAAUAAAUAAUAUUUAUAAAGAAAUAAUGUAUUAAAUAACAAAGAUAUUUAGAAAAAAAUAGUUCACGACACCUAUUUUUAAAUAUUGUAAAUAUGACAAAAUUAGUGAUAUCAUAUGACUGUCAAAAUGUUAUCGACUUUUAAAUUUGCUACUUUUUCAAUUUGAAAAAUAUAGUGACUAUUGUCGUAAUAUUUUUUAUUUUUUUUGGUUAUUGGUGACAAAUUAGUGUGCAAAAUUGCAACAAAAUAUGGGGAUUCACCAUAAAACGUCGGCGUUUUGAAAGAGAUUUAAUUUUCGAGAAAUUGGUAUUAUUUAGUGGGAGUGGUUGUUUUGUUAUUUCUCCAUGACGUUUCCAAAAAAAGGAAUCUCAAAGAAUGGCAUAUUCGUAAUUAAGUAACAAAAUAAAGGGCAUGUUUAUAGACCACGUUCUAAAUAAGUCUUUCAAUUCUCCUUCUUCACACUGUGAACUUCAAAAGCAAAGAGACGAAGCACAACCCACCGACGAUUCGCCGGAGCCACCGCCGGAGCUGAAUAAACUCUCAAUUCUGACUACAAUACACUGACAAACGAAGUCAGACAAACUACGACCUUUUUCUUGCAUGGCAAUGGCCGGAUUCAAUUCUCCGACCUUCUUCCUGAUCUGCGCCGCCGUGUUUCUUAUCUUCAGCUGUUCCUCAACCACCGUCCACGCCGGUCUAGGGAUCCAACACAGUCUUGCAUGGAUUCCUAAUCAAUCUACCUGUAAGGGCUCCAUAGCGGAGUGUUUCGGGGGAGAGGAGUUCGAAUUUGAUUCAGAAAUCAACCGCCGUAUCUUGGCAACUAGCCAGUACAUCAGCUACGGCGCUCUACGAAGGAACAACGUGCCGUGCUCAAGACGUGGUGCAUCUUAUUACAAUUGUCAGCCCGGAGCUCAGGCCAAUCCCUAUAGCCGUGGAUGCAACGCCAUUACGAGGUGCAGGAGUUGAGUAAUUUGUUUGUACUCUUUGUUUAAUAAUCCCUCUCUCCUUUUCAAUGUUCAUUGAUCUUUUUCCCCCCUUUCUUUAUCUUUUCUUUGAUAUGGCUAUUGGCUUUGAUUGUUAUACAAAUUGAAAAAGGGGAUAUUGAUCAUAUAGUGUCGUUCUUGUUGUUGUAAGUGUUGAAAGUUGUCGUGUGUUAAUUAAUUAUAUAUCUCUGCUCAAUAAUUUGGUAGUCUUUUAGUGGCUUGAUUGUUCAUCCUUCUUUCUGUUCCUUUUUCCAUGGAAGGGAAAAGGAGGAAUCGGCAAAGAAAAUGAGGAAGAAAACAGACUGUAAUUAGUUGAAAUUAGGGAGAAUCAUGAGGAUGAAUUGAUUGUUAUUUUGAGUAUAGUUCUCUCCUAGAAAAUCUCAAUGAUUGUGUUUCGGGUCUUGUUUUUGGGUUUAGAUGAACUUCACAUGGUCAUUUCUUUCCAUUUUCUUGUUUUCUGUUUCUCUUUCAUCUUAUAUUUGCGGCAAAGAAUCUUGAACUCUUUAGGGAAAGUAUUUAGAGAAAAAAAAUUCUAGGAGAAAGCAUACUGCCAUUUUCAUUUUUGGUGCUCUUGAAUGAGCUAUACUGUUUAGGUUAUGUAUUUUACUUUAAACCCAUCCUGCAUUAUUAGGAUAUGUAUAUAUCUGUCAAUUGAUUGUGGUCUACUUAGUUUGAGUACGUUACCGAUGAUGAUUAUGCAUUCUAUAUGUAUAACUUCUUCUGGGUCUUGAAUGUUUUCGGGCAACGGUUUCAAACUCAGUGGUGUCGUGGUGGCCAUCUAUGUAGGAUGUUGAAUGUUCUUCUACUACACUAAUUUUUGGUUGGUUGUUUUAUGAGAUCAGUGGAGUUGUACAUUAUGUGGAUUGGAAACUAUAUACAUCUAUGAUCUAUCUAUUUGAGUAAAGGUAAAGAUAUGUUUUUCUGAAUUGUUAAGACUUGAAAGGUGGAGAUUUUAAAGUUAAAAGUGUGCCCUCUUGAAUACAAAUGAGAGUCCCAAAUAAUUGAGGGUAUGAUUAGGCUUCUUGGUGAAGGGAAUUGAAUUUGGCUGAGAUUUGAGAAGUGGUUGUGAUGUCCUGUUUGUUGUUUGAUUUGACACGCUGAGGAAGAAAGCUAGAUGUUGGAUGGAUAUUAUAUCUUUUUUGAGUUUGGUAUGAUUUUGACAUGCCAAUUUCCCAUUUCCCCUUUUUCAUAGUUUAGAUGUCAGUUAUGUAUAUGUAUAUAAACCAUGGGUUAGGAAUAUUUCUGAAGAAAGAAAAUCCAAAAUUAGAAAACCUCACACGACCUUACUUGAACAUGAUAGGUUGUAGAGAUGAAAGCGCCACCAUAUUUGACAGCUACUAUUUCCUACUUUACCAACCAAACUCUACCAACUGAUCGUAUGAUAGCUUACAAAACAAUAUCUCCUUAUCCUUUCCCUUUCCCCCUCCUUAAGUUCAGUUCAGAUCUAAUACAAGAACGUUUUGAGAAGGCUAUGUUGAUCGAUCUCGAAAACAAGGGAAGAAAGGAGGAAGCAACCCUAAUUCUUUAUAGCCCUUUUCAGAUCUUAGACAUUACAUCCUGUAGGAUUUGAAUCUGCUGCAUAAUCUUUUUGAUUUUGAUUCAAAUAGAUUACACAACACAUUUAACUUAUUCUGCUGGGAUCUGUUCGUUGUUGUAUGCUCAGGGGAGAAUCUAUUUCUCUCUUUUUUUUUUCAUGUAAUGUUUUGUUUGGUUGGUUCAUGACUAAGUUAAUUAAUGGUUGGGGGGGCCAUGACAGCCUAGCAGUCCACCUAACUGUUGCACAUUGUGAUUCCUUUUACAACUAGAAGCUGUACGAUUCGUCACUUAUAAGCAUCUCUCUUUUUCUCUAUGUUCCUUGUCUAUAAACAAAAAGGCAUUGAAGGUCCUCUUUUCUCGGUCGUCUUGUUUAGGGUCGUUUUUACAUGUAGUCAAAGUGAGUUUGACACGACUUUCAUGUACGACGAAGGCUCUCGAAAUUAUCAUUUUUUUUUGGGUCUUAGUCUCAAAAUUAGUAUUCUCGGGUUAAACUAUUGCAAAUACUUAUGAUACAAUAUUAUGAUAUCCUUGAAGUGAAUUUCAAAUGACAAUUUAGAUUGCUAGAGAGAUGGAAUUCAUUUUGUUUCACAUUCUAAUUUCUAGCCAAUUCAAUUGAACUCUUAUAUGUAUGUAUAUAUAUAAUAUAUUUAUAACGUAAAAAUACUUAAUGGUGUCUAUUAGUUAUGGUCUAAAAUAUUUAUUCAAAUAGACAUAGACUUAUAAUGGAUAAGUGAAUAAUGUUGGUUGAAGUUGAUCAUAGUGUUAUGUAAUAAAAUAAUGUGGUAGGGACCCUAAAAUAUGGUUGGUUUGUAAUGUAUUAUGUACAUAUGGUUGAUCAAAUUUAUUGGUUUCUUCAUCAACAUCUACACUUCUAGACCUACUCAUUCCUUUAUUAUUUAGAUAUGUUAAAUCAUCAUAUGCUAGCUACUACUCUUUGGGUUCGGGUUCGGGUUCGGUUGUUUGAUAAUCAUUUGAUUUUUUAUUUUUAAAUUUAAGCUUAUACACACAGCUCGUUUCACUUUUAUAUUUAUUGCUAUUUUUUUAAAAAUCUAUUUUUUACCGAUAUUUAAAAAUCAAGUUAAAAUUUGAAAAAGAUUAAUCUUGUUUUUAUUUUUGUUAAAAUUUGAAAAAGAUUAAUCUUGUUUUUAUUUUUGGAGAUUGCUAACAAUUCAAUGACUGUGUUUAAGAAAUAUGCAAAUUAUUGUAAGGAGUUGAGGGGAAAUCGACCUAAUUUAAAAAAUAUAUAUAUAUAAAAAAAAUGUUUAUCAAACUAUGCCUAAAUAGUUGUGUGUUAAUUUUUUAUUAUACAAAAGUGCAAAUUUUGCUCUUGAAGUAAGAAACUAUAUUGUUGGUAGAGAUAUAUUGGUUAUAAAGCCUAUUAUUGAUAGCUUUUGCUAUAUUUAUGAUUAUUUAAAAAUUUUCCAUAACAUAUUAUCUCUAAAAAUGUUAUUCGUUGCAAUUAUUCUAUAUGUGUGUAUAUAUAUGGAGAGUAGAUUGCACACGUGAUAUAUUUUUUUAAAAAAUUAUUUUAAGUGAUAGAAUUUCUAAAAGUACUCACAAAUAUAGCUGUGAUAGAUCACGAUUAACUAUAUAAUACAAAUAAUCAAUACAAAUAAACAUACAUACAAAUAUAUAUUGAUUUAUUGCAAUAUUUCAUAUCAUUUUACUAAAUUUAAAAGUGACUCAUUUUCUUCCCUAGUUUGUUGAUGGAUAACUAUACGAAUGUUUUUAACUAAAAAUGGAUCGUUUUUGGUUAAAAUGUAGUGGUAGAAACGAUUUUAACUAAUAAAAAACUCUAAAUAGGUAACUAAAUUAGUUUACAAAAUUAUAACAAAAAAAUGUAUGCUUUUAUUUAUAUACAUAGAGUUAGAUACACACCCAAUACGUUUCUUUUAAAAGAGCUAAAUAAAAUUUCAAUUUAAAAACAUUUUUUUCGAUGAAUCAUCCAUGAAACCGUUUUUGGAAGGUUUGAAUUUAUAUGUUUGGGUUUGAGUUUGUAUGGAUUUUAAUCAUAAACUUCUAUUACAAAUGUAUCAAUUUAGAUUAAAAAUUUAUAUAAAUGUGUAUUGAUUUAAAUCCUCGUUAUGUUUUACUUGGAUAUACUUAUAAAAAUUGAAAAAGUUGAUGAGUUUAAACUGAUACAACUAUUAAUAUAGAGCUUAAAUUGAUAUAACCUCUAAAAUUCAAGGUUUAUACCGAUACAAUUGUUAGUUUAGAACUUAUGUUGAUACAAUCCUCAAAGUUGAGGAGUAUAAAUUGAUAUUUGUCCUUUUUUUCUCUCUCUCAAUAAUAUGAAACUAAAUUUGUAAAUCAAACAUUUCUUUUUAACAAGUUGUAAUGUUAAAAUUGUACAUCAAUUCGUGAUAGACUGCUAUCGUUGAUAGAUGUAUUAAUAAAAAAUUUAUAUUAUUGAUAGAUGUAUAUAAUUUAUCGAAAAUAGACCACUAAAAAUAAGAUUCAAAUAUUGCAAUAUAUGACAUAUUUUGAAUAUGAUUGCUACACGUGUAAUCGUUAAAAAUAAAAAGAUAAACAAAGUUCGAGUAAUUAUAUUGAAUAGAAAUUUUAAAAACAAUAAUCAAGUAUGUAUCGACAUUUUAAAAAAUUACAAAUAUAUAGUAAAAUCUAUACUUUUAUAAAUGAUAGAUUUUUAUGGUCGAUGAGUGAUCGACCAAUAAUUCCAAUAUGAUCUACCACUUCUAUCGUUAAUAAAAUUUAAUCAAUUUUGUUUUAUUUAUAAUUUUUUAAAAAUAAUUAUUAAUAUUUUAAAUCUAAUCCUUAUAGGGAGAGGGAAAAAAAAAAUCCUUUGAUGAAACUGGGCCUCUCUCAUAUAGUUCGGCCCAAGAGUCGGCCCUUUCAAACAUUUCUCUUCUACGAAAUCAAACUGUAAUUCUUCUCCUUACAUUUCUCAUUUCUCUGAGAAACUUUGAGAAGAAGCUGAAGAAAUCCAAGAAAAAUGGCCACUGGGAUGAAGCUCCCCAUGACCGUUACCUUGCAGAAGCCCAUGGCUAUGGCGGCUCCAUCUUCCUCGUUUUCUCUCCAUAGAGCCAUCAAUUUCAGGACUGUUUCCUGCUUAAACGCUACAAGCAAUGCUAAAGUUCCUUUGCCUCCAAUUAACCCCAAGGAUCCAUUUCUUUCGAAGCUCGCUUCAGUAGCUUCAACCUCACCUGAAACGUUGCUAAACCGCCCUGCAAAUUCCGAGUCUCCUCCUUAUUUGGAUAUUUUUGAUGCUCCUCGCCUUAUGGCUGCACCUGCCCAAGUAAGUUAGCUGUCUCUCGCCUCGCUUAAUUUCGCGUUACUUUCUUUUGUUCCCGCUUGUGUUGGUAUGAAUUUCUGUAAAAGAACGGAGUCUUGUUAGAUUGCUAAUGUUGUGAGUUUGGUGAUUUUCUUAUUGGAUAAGGUCGAAAGAUCAAUUUCCUAUAAUGAACAUAGGUCGAGGAGGCCGCCGCCGGACUUGCCGUCUCUGUUACUUCAUGGAAGAAUUGUUUACAUCGGAAUGCCUGUAAGUUCUUGAAUUAGAGUUUUUCUAGUGUUGUACGAUUUAACUUGAUACUCGAGGAACUAUUCAACUAAUAGCAUGGGAGAAUUUACAAUGAUUUUUUCAAUUUCGUUUCGUCGAGUAGUUUCAUUAAAGGAAAAAAAAAAAAAACGAACUAUGCUAUACAGAAUUAUACAAAAUUAGAGCGUUUUUAACUAACUAGUGCACGCCGGAAAGGUGCUUCUCAUGAUUAUCGCAUAUCUUUGACAUCACUGAUUCUAGUUGAUUAAUGAGUGAUGUCGAGGUGUCUCAGGAGCCUUGUUGGUUGAACUGAAAGUGUUAGUUAAGUUCUCUUUUGGUGCUUCGGUACCAAAAUCAUAUUAGAACAGAAUUUGUGAUUAUAUUCAGCUACUGAUUUUGAAGUUUGGCAAGUUCUUUUUCCAAGUUCUCUUUUCUUGUAUGCUGAUUUUCAUUUCUUUCCUCUCAAGUUGCAUUAACCUGACUGAAAUAGCCAUUCACAAUAUAAGUGUAACAUGGUCUUUUCAUCUCAAGGCAUAGUUGAUUCGGAAUGAUUGAGAAACUUUUAUGUCAACGCUAUGAGUAGUUUUUUACUCCGUUUUUUUUAAUUUAAAGAGGUUUUCAGCUUCUUGUGUAUCUGAUCACUGAUCGCUCUUCAUUCAAUUAUUUCUACUCUCAGUUGGUUCCAGCUGUUACAGAGCUAGUUAUUGCUCAAAUAAUGUACUUGCAAUGGAUGGAUCCAAAAGAACCAAUGUAUCUUUACAUAAACUCCACAGGGACAACUCGUGAUGAUGGCGAAGUGGUAAGUCUUGACUUUGAAUUUAUUCAGUUACGUGAAGGGAGUGAAAUUAAGCUGUUAGGAGCAUGCACAUCCUCUCCUUCCUUUCUGAAAUCUUCUGCCUACCAUGGGGGUUUUCAGGGCUUGUUUUCAGGCUAUACAUCUUGCUUUAAAUCGAAGUGUUGAUUUGAAUAUUGUUAAGUUUGAUAAAAAAUUUAACUUACCACAAUUAUUAUAUUUACACGGUUGAAGAGUUCGAUCUUGUGCCUUAGUUAUGAUUCAACAAUAGAAGUAUAUGAUUUUUUCCCCUAAUAAGUAAAUACUUUUGUUUGUAAAUACUACAUAUUUGAUAUGAUUCCUUUCAUAACCUUUUUUUCUAUCUUAAGGGUGAUUUAACAUAGUAUUAGAGGAGGAGGUUUUGUAUUCAAACUCCAAUAAUGUCAUUUCCUCCUUAAUUUAUAUUGAUUUUUGCUUGAUAGGUAUUUAAAAUAUUUUUCAACCCUUGAUGAAGAGAGUUAAAUUAUUGAUAUAAAUUUAAUUUACCAUACUCCAUUCGUGUAUGUUUUUGGUUUCCGAGAUGGUUUAACAAAUAUCUGCUUGUUUGACUUGACUAGAAGUUCUUUUGUUUGAGAUGCUUCAACAUUCAUUUUGUCUCCAUUCAAAAUCAAGAAAAUCAAUGUUCUAAACGCUCUAUUGUUCCUCACUCCAAAUGAAAUUUUAGCCAUCUUCUCUCCUUUUGGAAUUAGUUCUUUUUGUAUGCCUCAUGUAUUCUUUAAAUUUUUACCCUCAAUGGAAGCAAAAUUUCUAUACUAAAAAUAAUCAAGAAAAACAGUUGAAAAUGUGAUUGUAGUUUUUAGAUUCUGCAUUUCCAGAAAUAUGUUUAAUUGUAAUUCGUAAGACAGCUUCUUGAUCACAAAUAUGUGAAAUUUGGUGAGCUAGAUUUAUGAACACUUUUAUUCUUGAGUGUCUACUGUGAGUAGUUUAUUAAAACCAAAAUCUGUUUAUUCCCGUGCUAAUUACUGCAGCAGUAAACUAAUAGUAAAAUCUAUUCCUUCGUUAUUUAGCUAGAGAAUGAAUCUAUUCCGUGUCAUCAGAACUGAAGGCAUAUAACUAGGAUGACCAUAAUACCAUGGAAUGGUCAUUCAGGUAGUUUCCUUCAAUUAGUACCUAACACAAAAAGCAUUGUAAUAAUAAGAAAAGAGGGACAGGGGUUCAUUUGUCUCAGGACAAGAAUGAUAGAACAGGUUUUUCUAAUUCUUCCUGACAUAGUACACUCCACCAGCAAUAGUUUGGAAAUGGAGAUGGAACUUUUACAAUCUCUGCCAGUGGGGUUACACGAGUUGACAAGUCUUUCAGAAUGUUGUGUGAUCUGAUCGUGAGAAGAUAUAAAUCUUUCACAAGAUUAUCAAGUAGGAGAGGGGUUGGGUCUUCCUCUAGCUAGCUCACUAUUUCAAUAUAGGAAAGUGGGUUUGAAACAAUAUGGAUGGUUUAAAUGAAUAUUGCAAAGUAUGGUAACCGAGAGAGACCGAGAGUGGUCUUUCUGUCCACGAGCUAGCUUAUUAAUUUGAAGAUGAAAAUGGGUUUGAAUCAUAUUGGACUUAUCUUUUCUGAAAAUUGUGCUUUAGGUUUCUGUUGAUUUUGAAAAUGGAAAAGGCAAAGAUGUUAAAAUGAUCUUUUUGUUUUUCCUCGAAUUAACUCAAUUGCAAAAUGAUUUUCAAAUUUUGGCUUCCAGAAACCUUUUUCUUGUAUUUACUAAUCCCCUUAUUUUCAAAAGCAUAAAAAACGAGAAUGAAUCUUAUGACGAACAGGCCCCACAAUAUUUUAUAUUUGCUUACCUUUGUAACCAAUCACUUGAUAAAUUUACAAUACUCUUCGUAGGUUUAUAAUUGCAUGCAUUCAUUUGUCAGUCUUCUUUCAACAUGCUUAAAUUAUUUGACAUUCAGGUUGCGAUGGAGUCAGAGGGUUUUGCUAUCUAUGAUGCUCUGAUGCAGUCAAAAAAUGAGGUAUGUUUUCUUCUCCAAACCAUUUGGUACAUUCCUACUAUUCUUUUAGUGGCAAGAUGAUAACUAGAUGCAUUUUGGAGUUUGGAAUUACUAUGACAUUGAUUGAUACCUUGGUGUAAGUUUAACACUGCACCAACGGCGUGAAUUCUGGUGGUAAGUACACUGUUUUCAUGAAGUGGUAAACACUUAAAAUUUCUAGGGUUGUAGAUGCAACAACUGACCUGAGAAGUGACGUGCGGAUUGAUCUCUUUUGCUCCUGUAAUCUGAAUGGAAUAAUAAUUAUAAUUUUGUAAAAUAAGAUUAAAGAAAUUAUUUUCUUUAAUGUAAGCAGUGUGGGAAAUAAUUAUGCCCUGUUGUUUAAAUGUCUCAUACAGAUACACACAGUAAAUGUUGGAGCUGCCGUAGGUCAUGCUUGUUUAUUACUUGCUGCAGGAACUAAAGGCAGACGUUAUUCGAUGCCACAUGCCAAAGGUUUGAUGCGUUUGACACGUUAAUAUCUGUUUACUUGUUUAUUUGCUCAUAUAGAAUGAUCAAAUUCCCCUUGAAUUCAUUUCCAGCGAUGAUACAGCAGCCCAGUGUCCCUUCAUAUGGUUUGAUGCCUGCUAGUGACGUUAUAAUUCGUGCAAAAGAGGUCAAGACCCUUCCAUAGCUUGAUAAUUUAUUUUGAAGAGAACUCAGUUUCUAUAACACUGAUUUUCGCUGGAACUCUUACCACUUCGAUGCAAGAAGUGAAAAGGGGAAAUUUUGUUCAAAAUCUCACUCAAGUAAUCGUAAUUAGAAAAUCUUUUUGCAUCUUCAUACAUUGAUGGUAGGGGUGAACACUAAAACAAAUCAAACCAAAACAAAAUUUUAGAUGUUAUUGAAGCCGUUGGUUUGGUCCAGUUUAAAAUUAUAAGGAAAUUGAAAUUUUCGGUUUGGUUUAGUUUUGUAAAUCAGAUCCAAAACCAAACCAAAAUGUUUAUAGUUUAUACAUAUACUAGAUAUUAUAAAACCGAAUGGAACUCUUAUUGUAUAUGUAAAACCGAAAAAUCAAAUUUAACCGUUUAUACACACAAAAUAAAAAAUCAAACCGAAUUGAAUAUUUGCUGUUAGGAUCUAUUUGGAUUAUAUAUCCAAGAGUUAAACUAACCCGAACCAUGAACGUCCUUAAAGGUAGAUUUGUACCUUUGUUCCCAAAUUUUUUCCAGGAAAUUAUGUUUUUCUCAGCCCUUCAGUUCUCCCCCCUCCCGCUCUAUAAGGAUAAGUUGAGCUUUAUAUAUUUCAUCUCGUUUUUCAGGUGCUAACAAACAGGGACACAUUAGUGAAACUCCUAGCAAAGCACACUGAAAAUGUAAGCCUAGACAACGUUUAUUUUUUACUCUUUUUCUAUUAACUCACGACGUAGGACAUACCAUAUAAUUCAUCAUACAACUUUAAUAUUUUCAGUCAGUAGAGACAGUAGCAAAUGUGAUGAAAGGAGGACCGUACUACAUGGACUCAGUAAAGGCCAAAGAAUUUGGAGUUAUUGACAAGGUAAAUUAAUGCACAGAUUUUUCGGGCAAUAAGUAUAAUCAAGGUUUAAAAUACUAAUAUGAUAAUAUUGAUAAUGGUAUUUCAUUUUCACCGAUAUAUUGAUAGAGUAUUGUUUUCGAUGGAGAUAUAUUGAUAGAGUAUUGUUUUCGAUGGAGAUAUAUUGAUAGAGUAUUGUUUUCGAUGGAUAUUUAUGAAAAUCAAAAUAUUUAUAAAAAUGAUAUAAAUUUAGUUUUGUUUCUACCUUUAAGGGAGCCUUUGAGGUAAGCAAUGAAUUAUUAUAGUUUGUGUUUGAGAUGUAGAUUAUUUAAGUUUGGGUUAUAAUAUUAUGUGUUUGGGUUAAGCAUAUCGACAAUCCUCGCAAGAAAUUCUAAAAAAAAAGAGUAUGUUUUCAAAAAUGAAAAAACCAAACCAAAUUCCUCUUAUUAGUAACCCAUAUUCCAUAUUAGAACAAAUACAUUUAUUGAUUUAUCAAUAUUAUUUUUAUGUGUGUAUAUAAAAAAAGAUGUCGAUUAAUCUUUAAUCUCGACGAUGAACUCUAUCAACAAAUAUUUUAGGCCAUGUUUAUAACAUGAUGCACAUGUCAUGUUGCUUAGUUAUGCCAGUAAAUUAUAAUUUCUAAUUUGACAAGUUGGCUCCAGAUUCUUUGGCGCGGUCAGGAGAAGAUUAUGGCUGAUAUGGCUUCCCCGGAGGAUUGGGACAAAGGAGCUGGCAUCAAAGUUCAAGAUGAAUUCUAAAUCUCCUCUCAAAUCUACUCUCCAUUCAUAGCAAGUAAGCCAAUUAUUUCACCCUUUUUGCCAACUCAAAACACUUUAUUCUUUCUUCAAUAUUCAACAUGACGGUGUCUAAGAGAGCCAAUAGAAUUCUAUUUUUUUUUUUUUUCUUAUCCCCGCAGGGGUUUUACUCAUAAUUCGUUGUUCCAAAGUGUCUCCAUCUCUCUAGGUUCAUAGAUUUGUAAUUCCUUUGAGUCCAUUUAGUCGUUGAAUUGAGGGAAAAAAAUAAAACCAUCCCAAUGAUGUUUAGUACGAAGCCUCCAGCACACAUUCUUUCCCAAUACUAUAUAAAUGUGUGUCUAUGUAUUGUAUUUGGUUCAGUCAACUUAGUUCGAGCUUUUUUGGUCUUUGAACUCUAUAAGUGUUUAAGUGUUUAAUAGGUUACUAAGAACUUAGUUCAAGUUUGUUUGUUCUUCAAAUCUUUGAACUUUAAAAGCAAUAGACUCUAGAAUUUUCAAUAUUGUGCCUCAAUAGUUUUUUUUCAGGGGUUUUUUAAAAAAUUGAAAAAAUAGACAAAAUGUCAAAUGUUUUAUUUUUGACCAUUUAAUUUUUUUAUUGACAUACUACGGACAAAACUCAAUAUGUAAUAGACAAUACACAUUUGGUAAUAAUUUUACUUUAAAAUUUUGAAAUUUAGGCUUGUAUCUCCUAAAUUCCAUUUUAUGGUUUUCACAUUAGAAUUAUUUAAAUUCGGGUUCAAAUUUUAAAAACAAAAUCAAGUUUUUGAAUUUUUUUUUUCUAGUUUUUAAAUCUUUGGCUUUGUUUAUGAAAAUAUUGGUGUAAAUUGCAUAAUAAUACAAAGAAAAAAGAAAGGAGAAAAAUAUAGGUAGAAGUAGUGUUUAUAAUUAUCGUUUUCAAUAACCAAUUACCAAAUAAAAGACCAAGGGAUUAUGAAUUCUAUUUAUUGUGACCACCUACCUAAAAUUUAAUAUCUCACAAGUUCUCUUACAUCCAAAUGUUAUAGGAUUAAGUAAGCUAACUCGAACCCUUAGUAAAAAGAACCAAAUACUAAAUGGUUACUAGACAAAUCUUAAGACUUAUUUGUAGUAACCCUUUGGGUUGUGUUUUUAUUUUCUUAGAAAUUUAUUUGACAAUCUAAGGCCAAAUUCUAAACUUGGAAGGUUUGUGCAAGUUGAUAUAUUUAUUUAUUGGGUUUGCCAGUUAAUUGUGUCCCAACUCGUCUCAUGCAUUGUUGGAUCCAAGUAGUUCUCACCAACAUGGUUUCGUGCUUAGAGUGUUUGAAAAAAAGAAUAUUGAAAUUAUCUCUCUUUUUUUUUUUGUGUAGCUUUGAAAUAUAUUUGUAGUUUGCAGCAGAUCAAGGGGAAUGCUUUGAAUUUAGUUCAAUAUUCCCACGUUGGAUUGCACAACAGAGUCAACAUCAAGGGAUCCAUUAUUAUUCUGCUGCAAAUUUAAUCUCCACCCUCCUCAUACCUUACUCAUCAAACGUACAUCUGGGGUUUGUGUAACAUUUACAAACUUUCCUUCCUUAAAUAAAAAUCUUAGAUUAGAUCACAAAUGAAUGGCUCACUUCUUUUACAUGUUUUUUCUUUCUCUAACUGCUGUAGGUUAAUCGAAUGAUCGUGGAAAAAGUCCUAUAGUAUUCUAAGAAUAUAGGUAUGUGAUUGUUUACGAGUGAUUUUGAAAUGGUAAAAAUCACUUUUGACUAUCACAUUUACCAUAUUUAAAAUCAUUUUAAAACACAUUUUUAAUAUAAUUGAUUUUGAGAAUCAUUUGGAUGAAAUUGAUUUUGAGAAAAUAAAAGCACUUUUCAAGGGAUGUUGAAAGCCACCAAAAAAAAGUACUUUUGAAUAUUAGAUAAAAUCAAUACAUCAUAUUAUAAAGUAAAAUUUUAAUAAAAUAAUAUGAACUCAACCACAACACGUCAAAAAGAAUAUGCAACAAAAAUCACUUUAUUAUGGUUAUCUUUGACUCGUACAAAACAAUCCAUAAUAUUCUAGAGGAGUUUUUCUCAUCGUUUUCUUUUUCUUACUCUACCUUGUUUGUUUCACUUGUUGUAAUGUGUUUGUUGUUUUGACGAUUUCUAUAGAAAAGAAAAAAGGAUUUAAAAUUUUCAAACCAAUUAUUUGAUACUUGGGUCAAAGUGAUUGAGAACUGUGGAAUCCAUUUCUUAAAAAAUAAAAAAGGUAAUCCUUUUAUCAUUUUCUUUAAAGUCAGAGCUCAAUAAUGUAUGUAUGCAAUAUACAAAUGUACUUGAAGAUCUAGAUUUUGGCAUUUAGUUUGAAAACUUUUAGUUUACCAAAAAGAGGAGGAAAGUCUUUUAAUUAAUUUAUUACAAACUUGAUUAAGGUAUUAAAUGCGAAUCUUAUGAAUCUUCUACUAUAUACUUAAUAUCAAUCAAAUCAUAUAGUGCUAGAUGUAAAACAUUUUUUAAAACAUCGUUAAAUUACUGCUUGAUAGAUCUCAAUGUUUUUCUUUUGUAGUAUAAUGAAUUUUUUGGGUCAAUUGAGCGUUGCUUGUUAAAAACAUCGAUGUUACGUGGAUAUUCAAUUCGAGUAUUACACGUUAGCAUGUUUCACCUUCGAAACUUCUAAAUAUUUUCUUAUUAGUUAUUGACUUCUAAAUUUUAUUUUUAAUUUUUAAAUAUUAAAAUUUUACAAUGUUUAGAAAACUAUAUGUGUUUGUUAAUUUGUCAACAAUUAUUUCUUUUUUAAAAAUUAAUUCUUCUAGUAACCAAACUACAGGUACAUAACUCUCAUUCAUUUUAAAAGUUUAAAACGUUUAACGAUGAUGACUUUUCAAUCGUUCUAUCAACGACGUUUUGUUCUAGAUUCUUUAUUUCAAAGGCAACUGUGAUUUUACUGCCACGAUCUUACAAAAAAAUGUAAAACAAAUCAAACUAUUAAAUAUUUCGACCGAAGAUUAAUCUCUGCUUUUUUUUUUUUUUUUGCUUCUAUUUAAAGAAAAGGAAAAAUAAAAUAAAAUAAAAGACAUGUUUAUAUGGGUAUGAAAGGAAAUCUUAGUAUAAUUUUAUAAAAAUGUUAUUAUAACUAAAGAUCCCAAUUCAAAUCUAUCUCUCUUAUAUUUAAAUAGACUUUGCAAGGAUUGAGUUGGCCAUGAGAAAAUAUAAAAUUAUAUAUGGAGUAAAAUAUCUCUCCUUUGUGUUAAAUUAAUUCAAAAAUAAACUAUUUGAAUUAUUAAUAUAUAAUUCUUUCAUUUACAUUGAAAGCCAAAUUGGAUAAUAUAUAAAGAUUCAACUCAUCGUAGCUUAUUUUGAAAUCAUCACUCUCUUUUUUUCUUCUCUAAACAUGGAGCCUCUUCCUAUCUUUGUUGGAGUCAUAGGUAAAACAGAAAGAAAAAUGAAAAAAACAAACAAACAAAAACUUGAUUUUAGUUUGUAUUAAUGUAAUCUAAUUUUUGUUUUCAAUCUUUUGUUCAUAGUUCAAAUUUUCUCUCUUCAUUUUAUGCAUUUCAGUAGGGCUAAUACAAUUCGUUUUUUGCUUUUCAGGAAAUAUCAUUUCAGUAUUGUUCUUCAUUUCUCCGAUGUAAGUUCACUCCAUAAAUUCUCUUUCCGUUUUGUAACGAUUUUGUUCAUUUCUCUUAACCCCUCUUGGUGAGAUUGUUUUUUUCUUCUUCAAUCAGAUUAGUUAAAUUUUUGUCAACAUAGUUGAAUGUUUGUUUAAUUAAAAUCUCUCUACUUUCAAAUCUAAUCUUAGUUAUGAUAUAUUUAAUUUAUAGUCUCUGUUAGGUUUUUUUGGUUUAUUUUUCUUAAUUAGUAUUUUCAUUAUAGAAUUUGAAAUUAUAUUCUUAUAUUAUAUUCAAAUGCAUGAAAAAUUGUUGUUGUAGUUAUUUAACCCAAUUUAGAUAAGAAUCGAUUUUGAGGGACUCACUCACCCUAAAGAAAGUUUACCUCUAAAAGCAUAGUUUUAAUAAACUUAGAUUACUAUUUCGAGUUUGAUGUACUGUUACUCCCUGGAUUCAAAGUUUGAUCAUUAAGUUAAUGGAUAUUAAUGUGAUGAAUUUUGUGCAGAAAAACAUUUUGGAGAGUGUUGAAGAAAAGAUCAACAGAAGAGUUUGAUAGUCUUCCAUAUGUUUCGACAUUCCUCACAGCUUCUUUAUGGGCUUAUUAUGGUCUCAUUAAGCCUGAUGGCUUUCUCAUUGUUACUGUCAACAUCUUUGGACUUUCCCUCCAGAUCUGUUACCUCACCAUCUUCCUUCUCUUUUCACCUCCACACAUGAAAGUAUGUCGUAACUCGUCCACACCGUACCUGUUUCUCAUCGUUGCCCUACUUUCGUAACUUUUGAUUUGGUUUUCGACAUCCUUGAACAUGACUUUUAACCAUUUCCAUCUCUAAACUUACAACACUCGACUGCUAGCUGAAUCACAUCUAAUCAUUUUUUGCAGAACAACCAAUUAAAAAACAUAUUUUUCAGAAAAGAAAGGUAACCCAACUAGUAGAUAAGUGUCAAAACUCACACGACUAAAGAUACGAUCCAAACAUACAUUACGAAUUUUGAAGAACAUGUGUGCAUCUAAAGUUAGACCUUUUUGUUUUUAGAUUUUAAGAAUAUAAUUAAACAUUUGUUCUUUGAGUUUUCAAAAGGAAUUCUUUUUUUUUUCUUGAAUUUCGAUUGUGUGUAUAUAUAUUGAUUUAUUAACGUCGUUUCGUCAUAUCAUUUGUUUACUAAUCAUGUUUGUAUAUAUUUUCGUAGGUUAGAACAACAACUUUAGUGGCAAUUUUUGACGUUGGAUUCGUGGGAGGAACAAUAUCGAUAUCGUAUUUCAUGUUACAUGGAAACUCUCGAAUCAAUGUGAUUGGAUUCAUUUGUGCUGCUCUUAACAUUAUAAAUUGCGGUUCACCCCUAGGAAUAGCGGUUAGUAUAAUUCUCUCCAAUUAAACUCUACCAAAGUUAAUUAAUGUCUAGUUUGAUUACUAUUCAUUAUUUGGAUCUCAAAGUUUUUUUUUUGAAAAUCCAUUCUUAAGUGUUGAAAUAUUAUUAAUAAUGAAAAUGAAAAUAAUGCAGAGGAAAGUGGUGAGAAGUAAAAGUGUGGAGUAUAUGCCAUUCCUUCUGACUUUGUGCAUAUUCUUAAACUCUGGGGUUUGGACUUUCUAUGCUCUUCUUGUCAAAGAUCCCUUCAUUGGAGUAAGUUUUCUUUUUCUCUCAUAAUUAUAUACAUGUAUAUGUGUGUGUAUGUAUUUGUUUGUGUUUGUGUGCGCUACAUUGGUUUUGUUGCGAUGUUCAUGUCGAUAUUUAGUAUAUUGUUAAUUGUUAAUCUAGUAUGCACUAAAAUGAUCCUUGUAUUUAAUGUUUGAUGAUAACCUAUUAGUCACAAUACGUUUUAUUAAUCUUUGUCUAUAUGCUAGCUAAAUUUGAAUUUUAAUGACAACGAUAUAACAACGAAAGUUGUUUUUUAUAAGUUUUUCUAGGGUAUUGUAAUUAGUAGCACUUAGACUAACAAAAUCAAUAAGUUCGUUGAUGUCUAUCAACACUAUGAGAUGUUGAACCUACUGAUAAGUAUCUUAAUCUCGACUUCAACAAAACCAUCUUUAUUAUAUCAAUUUAAACUUUAAGUGUCACUCACAUUAAAAAUUGAUAUUCUUUUCCGUUUUUGAUAAUAUAUUUGUGUUGAAUUGCAUAUGUAAUUGAUAAUGCCAUAUAAUGACUUUCUUUUGUAGGUACCAAAUUUUAUUGGAUUCCUUCUAGGAUUGAUGCAAUUGGUAAUCUAUGUCAUUUACAUGAAUGGACCUCAACCUUCCCACAUCCCCAUCUCAUACAACAAAGAGGACACUUCUUUGUUACAUGAACAUCUUCUUCCACCACCUUCCGAAACCACGCUAUCUUCAAAAAUCAACCAAUCCUAAUCUCUUGCCCGAAUCAAUAUUUUAAAUUUAAACGAACCAAGAGGUAUCAGUUGAUCACAAUACAUUGUAAAUUCAAACCAAGAGCAACUCUAAUCUCUUUUGGCCGUACAAUAUGAGGUAUAACAUAUUUAUAGAGAUCAAGCUUAUAUCAAGUUUUGAGUUUUAUGUACUUUGUAUGAUCAAAUGAUAAUUUUCUAAUUGGUUGCAUAUCAAUAAAUUUUGUUUACCAUGAACGGACAUUUCUAUUUGUAAAAGUUCUUAUUGACGAUAGUUAUAUAAGUUUUAUAUAUAUGAGGUAGGAAAAUGAAAUCGAUCUCUCUCUAAACUCGAAGUCGAUAGUUAUAUAAGUUUUAUAUAUAUACCAACAAACUAAAUUAUAUUAACAAAACUAAUAAAAGAAUAACAAACUUUGUUGAUUGCCCCUCCAAACUUAUACUUAACUCCAAUAUUAUUUUUGAAGAGGAGGUUGAAACAGUUAAACUCUAUGAUUAUUUUUGUAAUUCAAAAUUUCCUAUAUUAUUAAUAAUAAAAAUAGUUUAAAGAUUCCCUUAAAUAUGUACCCUUAGUAGAAUUAGAGAUCAAAUAUGUACAUAAUGUUAAGAAAAAAAAAAUCAAUUUACAACAAGAACUAUAUAAAUUGUAACCUUAAACUUUUACGAGUGUGUUAAUUUAAACCUCGAACUUACACCAUCGUAUGAAUUUAAAACCUCAAUUAUGUUUUAUUUAGAUACACUUGUGAAAGUUUAAAAAUUUACAUUGAUAUAUUCAAAUUCAAUGUUUAAGUAGAUAAAUUUAUUAAUUUAGAGUCUAAAUUAAUACCACCGUUCUUAGUAUACGGUAUAAAUUGAUAUUUGCGUAUUAUUAGGAUUGAAACAUUAAAGUUAGUUUUUCCUUUAGCAUUAAAAAAACCAAAAAAAAGUAGACAUCCAUGAGGGAAGGAAAAAGGCAGCAUUAAUAAAAGGCACGUGGAAUAUGUUGAUUUGUUAUUUGAUACAAACAACCAUGGCCACGCCAUCGCCAUUGACGAACGCUUCAAAGCACGCGAUUCUCCCAAUUUGCAAAAACAAAGAGAAAUGAUAUUUUCUAUAUAUAUAUAUAUAUAAAUGACACCCUUUCUAAAGAAAAAAUAUAAAUGAAUUUACAUUGAAAAAUCAAAAUAAUUAUAAAAGAGAAUUUAGUGUAAAUAAAAAUAAAAUAUUUUAUAUGAAUAUUUUAAAAAAUAACAAAAUAAAUUAAAAUAUUAACAAGUUGUAUAGCAAAUUUUUGGAUUAUAUUAAUGAUUGUCUUCUAUCAUUAUAACAUAUUAAUAUGACUAUUGGUGAUAGAAUUUGCUAUAGAAUGUAAUUAUUUUUUAAAAUUUGAUAUUUUUUAAAAUUUCUCUAUUUUAUAUUCCAACAUUUUAACUCACUUAAAAUAAAGUAUUUAUUUAAGAUUUUUUUUAAAAUAUUGAAAAAAUUAACUAACUAUUUACCAAAAUCACUAAAAAAAAUAAAGUUCAUUCAACUUGAUUUUGAUUAUGUUAUACACAUAUAUUUUUUAAUUUUUUUUGUUAUUUAUUUAUUUUAGUUUUAAUAAUAUUUUAAAAAUAAUUAUUAAAAUAAUCUCUACAUUUUGAUUGAAUAUAUAUGGCUUUUUUUUUCCUCAUUUUUUUUUUGAUCUUUUGACCCAAGGUGAUCAUAAUCACACGUAUCUUUUAUCUUUUAUUUGAAGAAUCAAUAUAACAUGAUUAGAAAGAAUCUUCCAAUAAGAAUUGAGUAUCAAUAAAGAUUUAAUUUUUAAAUCUUCCAAUUAAUAAAUUAAACCACUACCCAAAUAACCUAUUUUUUAUAUUGGUUAUUUAUAUGUUUAGAUAUAUUUUAGCUUAAUUAAUUUGACAUUGACUUAGACAUGUCUAUUUCUCGACACAAAUCUCAAAUACUUAAAACAUCAUCAUAACAUCAAUAGAAGACACGACCAUUUACCUUCGAAAUAGUCGAUCCUAUAAAACUCCUGUCAAUUCUAUAUAGCCACAAAGUAAUGAGUUCCUUAAACAACGAAAAUAAAAGUAUUUUUUAGUACAACAAUCGCGAAUUGAGAAAUUAAACUUUCGACCUCGGUGAACAUACAAGUCAAUAUUACUUAACUUUUUAAAAUGAAAAUAAAAGUUAAAACAUUGAUAUUGUGAUUGUGUAUGUCGAACUACUCUUCCGAUGGAACGUAUGAUAUGCAUAUAUAAUUAAUAUUAUUGGAUUGUUUUGUGAUGUUUUAAUUCUCCUAUUAUAAAUCAUUAUUAGGGAUAUAUAUAUAUAUAUAUAUUCUAAUGUGAUAAUGGUCCAAACUCUCAACUACUCAAAGGUACUCUCAAAUAACCAUUACCUCACUCUUACUAUCUAUUCAAUUUUUCAUUAUCAUAAUGGUCCCUUACAACUUAUAAAUACUAUACAUUUUUUAUGCAAUAAAUGAAUCAAUAUUAGCAUAUAUAAUACUCCUUAAUUUCUAAGUUUAUUUUUGGAGAAAAUAAGUUAUAAAGAUUGAGUCAUCUAACCUGUAUUUUUAAAAUUGUAAAAAUAACAAAUUUAAAAAUAGAUUAUCAUCAGAUUAUUACCGUCGUAUUUGUCAAAUUUGCAAUAUAAAAAAAAAGUGUUAUGAGCUGUUUUUUUUCUAAAUUUUUUAUCAUCUAAUGCAAUUUUUCUUUAUUUUUCAUCUACCUUUUAAAUUAUUCAAAAUACUUUUAGUUCUUAAAUUUCAAAAUUGCCAACAUUAUUUGAGUUUGUUUCAAUUUAGUCACCAUAUUUCAAGAUUUCACUUUUAUCUUUAUUUUUAGUCUUUAGUAUAGAUGCCGAUUAAUUAAUCAAAAUUAUGAUUGAUUAAUUAAUUUUAUUAAUUUUUACUAUAUUUCAUCGUUAUUAAAAUUAAAUUUAAAAUUUCGUUUCAUAAUUAUUUUAAAUGAAGGAACAUAUACAAAUACCAAAUAGUGAAGUAUGAGUAUAUAGUAAAAAAUUAAUAAAUUGAGAUAAAAACUAAACAUUUGUAAUCACUAAACUAAACUAUAUCCAUACCAAAUUGAAAUCAAAACUCAAAGUUUAAAAGGUAAUUUAAAACCUAAAGACAAAACAAAAUUGGACUGAAACAUAGAAAGAUAAAUAAAUAAACCAAUGAAGUAUAAUGUUUAGGAUGAGAACAAGGACUUGAUUAAAUUCAAAUUGAGAUAAAGAUUACCUUUUUAAUUAUUAUUAUUUUGGUUCUUUAUAAAAACAAUAAAUUAGUGUGAUAAUUUUAUUCAUUCAUAUUUCUUGUCCUAUUCCAAAUAUUAUUUUAGAUAGAAUCAAAAGAAAAGUUAGAAUGUUCCCUUUAACUACUUAUAUUAAAAGCCCUAAUCCCUUCCUUCCCUUCAUGGUUUUAUAUUGUAAAAUUGAUUGAACCCUUAUUUUCUAAAAAUAAUAAAUGAAAGAAAAUGAUUGAAGUUAGUGGGAAAAAUAUGUAUAUAUGUAUAUAGGAAACAACUUAAGUACUUUCAUUUUUAAAGUGUAAGAAUAUAAUUCAUUAUUAUUUAGUUUUGAAUUGAAUGAAAUUUUAUCAAUUACUUACAUUGCAAAUAACAUUUAAUUAUCAUUAUAUAUAUAAUAGACACACUUACAUAGAUCAUUAAUAUUUAUCUUUAACAGUAGUUUAGUUUAGGCUGAAAAAGUACACAAUAAGUUAGAUUACUUAUAGUAAAUUGUUUGUCAUGGACUCAACUUUCUUUUCAUCUUAGUUAUAUUUUAAAAUGCAUUGUGAUAAAAAAUGAUAAUGACGACUCUUAAGUUAAAUUAUAAAAACUAGUAAAGUUGAAUUUAAAAAAUAGUUCUAUAUUUUGAAAAGUGGAAUGUUACGUAAGAAUUGAAUUUUAUUGACCUAAUUUUUACUAUUGAAAAUUUGAGGUAUAAUUGUAAUUAACAAUAAUUUUUUAUAUAAAUAAUCGUAAUUCCAUCGAUUAUAAAGUAAAAGAGAAAAAAAAAAGUAAACAUUUUUUAAAACUUUCAAUUAUAAAUUUGUAAUCAACUAAACUUUAGCGUCAAGAUUUAUACAAGAGGAAGAGGCCGAAUCAUGACCAUUUUCCUAUCAAGUUCUCCUUUUUCAAUGAAGAUUCUUCAUAAGUUGGAAUCUUUCCAAAAAAGAAGCUUAAUCAAUGGAUUUGUAUAUGAACUGUGAACAAUUGAACAUCUGUUCCUUGUGGGAAAUUCUUGUAAAUUGCAACAAUAAUAAUAAUGGAAACCAAUUCAAAACAGAAGACUUCCAUUCAUGAUUGUCCAAAUUCUCAAAUGAAAUCUUCUUACAUGCGCCAUUUUGCUAUCAUACGCGGGUCAGCUCUCGUUUGAAGAUUUCAACCAGAGAAACCAAAUGUAAGAUAACAAGAAUUUCCCUUCUCUCUCAUUAUCGACUCAUCUUCAGAGCUUGAUUCUCUCAAAUUUGUUUGUAAAUAUCUUUCUCUCAUGUGGGUUUUCUUCCUUUUUCCUACCCGAGAUUUUGUGAAUCGGAAUCAUUACGUGUAAUUGUUGCUUGGCUUCUUUGUGUUGACUUGUUUCUGAAAACUCUUUCCUGUUCUUUCAUCUGAAAACUUUUUGGAGGGUUUUUUUUUGUGCUUCUUGUUCUUGUUGUUUUGUUGUGUGAAUUCACUGUAUCUACUUUGAUUUGGUUCUCUGCCUCUUUUGAAGACUUGGGUGUUUACUUUUCUCCAAUUUGGAAGAUACCCUUUUGAUCUUUCUUCAAUUUGAAGCAGCCAAGCUGAUUUUCCCUUUUUGAAGAGUCAUUAGGGCAAGUUCUACGGCAGAGUAGUUGAUAUUCUGGUGUGAAUCUUGGAGGAAACUGUUUAGAAGAAGAAGAAUUAGAGGAGGAUGAUGACAAUGGAAGGGAUUGAAAAAGGGGUUUUGGAUGAUAUAAUUAGAAGGCUUCUGGAAGGGAGAGGAGGGAAACAGGUUCAGCUUUCAGAAGCUGAAAUCCGCCAUCUCUGUGUUAACGCCAAGCACAUUUUCCUCUCUCAGCCAAAUCUACUCCGCCUUAGUGCUCCUAUUCGCAUCUGUGGUCAGUAUUGACUCUCUCUCUUUCUGCUUCUUUUUCAUCUGUGGAUUAUAAUGUUUUCUAAUUCUGUUUUGAACAAUCUUAGCGAAGUCUACGGUUAAUUGUUGUUUGAAUGUUUGGCUUGGAGUUCUUAUAAGCUUGCGUUUGUGGAGCUGGGAGCUUUGGAAUUGUGUAGCUUGAAGAUAGUGCAUUAGACUCGAGUUUUAUAUAGUCUACGUUUGGUUUAUGGUACUAUGAUUUGUAAAGGAUAGUGUGUCGUUUGGUGGGUUUUAAGGGUUUUGGUGUGUGGAGUUGGUAGAAUAGACAAAUUUGUAGUUUGUAAUUGGAUGAAAAAACCUAUGUAUUAUGUUGGCUUGAUUUUAUAAGAGUCAAUGGAGUUGGUGGAUUUUAAGGGUUUUGGGGUAUAUAGGGACGAUGUUGUGACCAAGCUAUAUGAACUCAAUCUGCAAGAUAAACAUUAAACAUUCCCUCAGGGUAUUUGCCAGUGUUCUAAAUGAAUCGAGCUCUUGUGUGUCCCUGAAUGCCGAAGUUUUGAUACAUUUUUCUUCUUUUGGUUUGAUAUUUGAGCUUUCUUUCAUAAAUCAGGAAAUGAGGUUGAAAUGCUAAAUAAAAGGCAUCCAAUUCUGUUGAAUUAUAACUUUGUUUCAUAGUUGUUUAAUCUUGUCUCUGCUGGCUUUGUCCAGGUGAUAUACACGGUCAAUACAAGGAUCUUCUUAGACUAUUUGAGUAUGGCGGGUACCCUCCUUCUGCAAAUUAUCUCUUUCUUGGUGAUUAUGUCGACCGCGGGAAGCAAAGUUUGGAAACGAUAUGUUUACUUUUGGCGUAUAAAAUAAGACACCCAAAUAAAGUAUUUCUCUUGAGAGGGAACCACGAAGAUGCAAAGAUCAACCGAAUCUAUGGUUUCUAUGAUGAAUGUAAAAGGAGGUUUAACGUUAGGCUUUGGAAAAUAUUUACUGAUUGUUUCAACUGCAUGCCUGUGGCUGGACUUAUUGAUGAUAAAAUCCUUUGUAUGCAUGGAGGAAUAUCUCCAGAUUUGAAAAGCUUGGAUCAGAUUACGCAACUGCCGAGACCUACUGAGAUUCCUGACAAUGGUCUUCUCUGUGAUCUGCUUUGGUCCGAUCCUGAUCCUAGUAUUCAGGGAUGGGCAGACAGUGAUCGAGGUGUUUCUUGUACAUUUGGACCAGAUCGAGUGGCUGACUUCUUAGAUAAGAAUGACCUUGAUCUCAUUUGUCGUGGUCAUCAGGUAAACAUGCUUUUUCCUGAAGUUUAAUACCAAUUACUAACUCCGUAUGGAAUGUUCCCAUAGACUGUCAAUCUGCAUAUGUCGACUAGGAGUAUAAAUUGCAAAUAUUUUUAUCUUUCAUUUUGUAAUCACCAUUAUGGGAAGCCGUUAUGAAAUUCUGUAUUAGGUUGAAACAAGGAUAUGAAAAUUUGGGUUUUGAUAGUCUUUUAUAAUGCUUUUGGAUUUUGUGGCAUCGAUGAGAAAAGUCGAAUGGUUUCAAACAUUUUGGUUCUCUGAUGUGUUUUCUACUUCUUUGUUCUGAUCCAGCCAUUUAGAUUUUUGAGCUUGUUUCAUUUUAUUACUCAGGUGGUGGAAGAUGGAUAUGAAUUCUUCGCCAAAAGACGGUUGGUCACCAUAUUUUCUGCUCCGAACUAUGGUGGAGAGUUUGACAAUGCAGGUGCUUUAUUGAGUGUUGAUGAAUCAUUAGUUUGUUCUUUCGAGAUAUUGAAACCCGAGCAAAUAGCAUCAGGAAGUAGUUCGGGAGUAAUUCUUAAAAAGGUACGAUAACAAACAGGCCAACAUCUUCAUCUGACAUUUUACUUUCAAGUCGGUCUAGCAUUGCCAAAUUGAGAGCUUAUUAAGACUGUUUUCUUAAGAUGGUUCUCUAUCUUUUCUUGAGCAGCCUCCCAAAAUUGGAAGAUCUUGAUUACUUUGAGGAACGUUCCUUUUCAAUCUCUGGAAGAUGAAAAUCAAGCUCGAGUUGGUUUGGAGACGGCAGAGUUGUUCGUGCCCUGUACUUCAUAGUUUUGAAGCUUGUAAUGACCUUGCCGGAGGUAUGUCAAUCGAAGCUGUAAAAAUUCGAGUAUGUCCUUGUCCCGGUAGCCGAAUAGGUGGUAGAUUUCAGUGGUCUCCAAUGGGUUGGCUAAUUGGAGUGCAAAAGUUGUGUGUAAAGAUGAAAGGCAAUGGUUCAGAGUUAUUUUGAAAUGACUUGAAAGAGAUUUGCUUCUUCCAUGGUGAUUAUAAGUGAUUGAGUGAAUUUCUAAUUUUAUAAAUAACCUCUUGAAACCUCUCCUUUUUCCUUUUCCUCUUUUAAUUUGAUUAACUUCCACUUAUGACCAAAACCAUAGUUUCAAAGAAUUGAAAAAUAUCUUUACACUAAGUUUGUGUUUAAUGUGCUGAGAUGUAAUUUGUCGUUAAACGUGGCAAGUAAAGAUAAAAGAGAAAAAUACAAACUUUCGAUAAAUACACAAAUUUCAAUAGUGUUAAUUAUUGAGGUAUUUACGUCAAUACGAGAAGUUGGUGUGUCAAACCAUACGUUCAUGUGUAACAAUUUUGGCCAUAAUGUUGUCCUUGUAUCAAUAAUCAAAACUUUAUAUAGUCUGUUUGAGGUUUAUUUACGCAACAGUUAUGAUCAAUCUCUAUAAUGGGUGCUUUUGCUAUGAUCAAUCUCUAUAAUGGGUGCUUAUUUUGUUGUUACGAAAUUUCGAUCUAAUAGAUUUCUGAAUUUUGAGAAAUUCAAUAUUCUUUUUGAACAUUUAGUUUAUUUUAAAAAUAAGGAGCCUAUCAAAUUAGAAAAGAAAUAAAUUAAGAUUUAUCUGUUUCCUAGCCGUUUUAACUCUCAGGUAGUUUUUUUUAUUUGGAAAAAUGGUUUCUCAAAUGGCAUUCUCAUUCAUUCAUGAUGGAAUGGUUAAUAGAGUAGCAGAUUUAGGUGUUAUUAUUUGUUGACUAAAAAAGAAAAAACCUAUUAAACAAUUUUAAAGUUUAGAAAGCAAAUAUAAUUUAUUGAACGAACUCAUAAAGUAGUGAAGAAUUCUCAUCAAAACUCUAACAAACAAACUUUGUGUUGGGUGAAGGGUCAUUUUCACUUCAUCACUUGAGCAACAUCCCACCACCCAAACCUCAUUCCCUUCUCUAAUCAACACAACCCCGAAGAAAGCAAUAAAUAUCAAAACUAAGGUGAUGUUUAUUCUAGUGAAAACGUAAUAAAAAAGGAAUCCCAUCAUUUGAUCACUUUUGAGGUUUUUGUUAUGUAAUAAUUUGAAUUUUAUUGUUACCAUUACUUGUUACCAUUACCAACAAAUAUAACUUUAAGUUUUAUAUAAAAUUCAUAAUUUCUAUGCAUACUUGAUCAAAAACAAUCAAAUUACGUUUGUGAUUUAAGCUCAUUAUCGUUGAUCUGUCAAUAGUUACAAUUACAUCAGAUUUCAUUACAGUUUGGUACACAUGUAAAAGUUAAAAAAAUUAUCAAGUUAAUGAAAGCUGCUUCAUCAGUUCAGUACACAUCAACAAACUGUUAUUCUCACCAAAAAUUAAUCUAUGAGCAAAAUCCCUCUCUACAAAAGGAUAAAACUGAAUAUGGCUGAUUUUGACAAGAGAUUUAUCUUAAAUACACAAUUCAAUAGUAAUUAUCACAAUGUCCAGUACUUCCUACAAUUGUACAGCUACAUCAUAACUCAUUUUUUUUAGUCUUCUAUAUUUCAUUGAAAUGGAAGAACAACCAUGGGUGCCACUUUUCAAGCAUCAGAACUGUUGGAGAACAGAGUCAAUUUUUCUGCAAAAGUGAACUUCAAUGAAUAUAAAAGUGAGAGGAAAAGAGUACGACGAAGAGGCAGAUUGAGAAAAGCAUUAAGAGGUCAGAUAGUUGAUAGAAAAGAGGUAUAGCUUUACCUCAGAAAUAGGCCAAACAAAAUGUCUUUAGAUGUAAGGUAUCAGGUCAUCUUCUACUUCCUUUCCUGAUUCCUUGGGUAGCAAGAGAAUUUUGAUUCAUGGUCACUUCAAUUUUCUUCGUUGCUCGUUGAAUGGCAGCAUAUUUCUGGCGCUGGCUAUGGCUUUGCCUUUUGCUGAAUUAAAAACAGCAUAAAAAUAUAACAGAUGAAACACAAGGAAAAAAAUAUUAGAACAUUUUGAGUCUUCAACAUCAAGCACUACAUGGUUUUAACAUUUAACUUGAUCGAGUAUGAACAUAAGCAAGUUCUUUUUAUAUUUCUAACUACACUUCGAGUUUUACACAUUAAAUGACCGGUUCCCGUCUUAUAGAAGGUAAAACCUAAAGCAUAGCCAUCGAGAAACUUAUAAGAAUGGAGGACAGUUUUUUCUCUCUCAAGAGUUGUAAAAUAAAAGACCAUGUAAUGAAAAUGUUUAGCUUCCCCAACCUUGCAAACAGAAGCCCUGCUGAAAGCACCAUGGACCCGAUCAGCCACGAAACCUGUUCAUGAAAACUCAUUUCUUUUACCCAUUGCUGGAAAUCCUCCAAGAUGCCCAAGUAACCUGUUCUUUGGGAUGACAUUACUGAUGGUGAAGUCUUCCAUGAAUUAGCAAUGGAGUCUAGUCUGGCUUUACUACCAUAGCAAGAGGAUUCUUCAUCAGAGAUCUUAAUUGUAAAACCUGCAGCGUUGCAAAGGUCUGUACCAUUUGAGACCCACUCGGAAGCCCUGCCACACACAAAGUCAUUCACUCCGCAGGGUGCUAGAACCUGAAUCAUAAAGUCUAAUCAGGAAGUAUAUUUAAUCUCACGUGGUGGCCAAGGUUCAAGAUUAUGCUUUUACUUCUCAUUGUGUUGGUUGAAAGCACAUCAUGCAUGUGGAAAAAUGGAAGAAACAAACUAAUAUAAUUUUAAUGAAGUUCCAAUUGUAUCAUAAAUUACAGCAAAAAUAACCCGGCAUAACAAAUUUAAAAUUUACAAGGCUAAAGUAUUUCUCAACUUUGAACAUUGUGUUUAUAAUGUCCUUAAGUUAAUAAUGUUAGUGAAAUUCUAAUACCGCAUGCUCAUCAUAUAAACUCUUCCUUGAGUUGGAAUGAUAUGCUCUAAGAAACAAGAACACUUUAGUUUUGAUGUGCUCUAAGAAACACAAAAGCUUAAGUUUGACUUACAUGUCCAAGUACAACACAUGUUGGACUUGGACACUUCAACACAUGUUUCAUGCUUAUUGGACACUUAGUAGCACAAUAGAUACGCGUUUGACACUAGUUGUACAAAGUCAAUUUAAAUUUUAAUGCAACAUUUGUAGGCAUAUAUAGAACACAUACACUAAAUUGGCUCAUAAUAAUAUAGAACAAAAUAAUAAAUAUUGAAUGUGAAAAAUACAUCAAACUCACUUUUUAUGCAUAAAAUAAAUUUCAUACAGUAUACAGAUGAUAUAUAUUAUUAAAAAUGUGUCCUAGUCAAAUUGUUCUAGAUUGGGAAGAAAUGACGUGUUCUGUGUUCAUAUCAUGUUGUAUCCAUGUAUCACAUCUUUAUUCAUGCUUUUUACGAUGUACUAUAGUCUGUCGUAUGUCAUAUUAAUGUUUUGUUGACGACCUUCAUAGCAAAUACUAAAUAGAAGCAUAAUCUUACAUUCAAGAAUUAAAUACACCUUCUUUGUGCUUAGAGACUAAAUUUAUAACUAAACCAAAGUUUUACUAGUAAUGAGACACUAUUUUUCUUUUUCAUUCUAAGAUGAGUAUCAAGAUCUAUGUUUCAAGAAGCGAACCGGCUUUAGAAAACUUAUACAGUUAAAAUUUUUAUGGUUUGGUCACACUCGAAACCUGUUUAGGACACAAAAUCAGCCAAAUAAAUAAAUAAAAUAAAAGAAUCACCAGGUCAUUAUCAUCUGCUCACCUGCGUUUUAGCAUCAACAGAAAAGUAAGCAUCAGAACAAGCUUUGAAGACUCUGUCGCAGAAAGAGGCACAUAUUAGAGGAGGUCCGGGUUGAACACCAACUUGUGGAUCACAUAUUGAGCACUCCAGAAGUUCCCAUAAUUGCAAGCAUUCAUGGUUGGCUUCCCCUGUUGAAGCUAGCCUCCUAACAGAAAGCAAAGCCGGGUGUGUUUGUGCUACACCACAGCAAGUCCUCUUUCGGAAAACUCGGCAAAGUGUCAAAUCUUGUACUUUGCUAACCUUGCUAGGAGGUUUUCCUUCCAAUGAGAAGGGUGCGAAACGACCACCUUUCGAAAUACAGACAUCGUUUGAUUCACCUACAAGAAAAAAACACAAUUCUGUAAAAACAAAUCCUACUUGCAACAGAAAGAACAAAGAGGUCAAUUAGUAUUCCUCAUAAUCCAAACUUUUACUAUAAAUGUGAAACGUGAUACAAGUCAUUCAGUAAAUAAAAUGGAAAAAACAACGAAAAAUACUACAUAGCUAUGUUCACCUUCCAUGUAAACCAAAUCACAAAUACGCAUGGAAGUACAACCUUGAACAAUAAAUUCUUAGUUCAAUAUGAUGAAAGAAUCUAUUUAUUCAACUAAGAAAUCAGAUAGAUAUAACGCCAAAGUUCAUCCAUACUGACACAACCAAGCCAACCAAUAGAUUCACAAGAAAGAAGAAACUGCCACAAGUUUUUUUUUUGUCAUAGAACAAAAGAAAAUUCUCUACUCAUCGAGUAAUACUCAUUGAUAGAAGGAUGAUUCCAGGGAUUUAAAAUAAAAAAUAUUUCACCAUAUAUGAAACAAAAGAGUCAACAAAUUGGAAAGACCAUAAUCUAAAUUCCAGAAAAUUACACCCAUGAAGUGUCAAAAAAUUCUUUAGAUGCAAAACCCAGGUGUAAUCUCCAGAAAUCAGCCACAAUCAGUAAAAAUAUCACCAAAUACAUUACAAUUCGACACAAUAAGAAAACAUUUAGUAAUGAAUCUAACAUGAACACAAGACUGAUAUAGAGAUCAUGUUGCAGAAGAGGCGAGGGAGGAAAUGAAGCAAAUAAUAGAGUCAGUUUACCAGAUGAAAAGGGAAACAGGAGAUUAAAAUUAAGCAGCAUGAACAAGUGCCAAAUAUUUAUAUUCUUGGUCCUUUCCGCCAUUUUUGAAGACCUUCCGUGAAAAUUUUCAGUUUCGCUAAAACGGAGAAAGAAGACGAUGCUUUGGAUUUGUAGAGGGACGGACAUUUUGGUAUCAAUGGAUACUCCACAACCAAGAGUUCUUUCCUAUCCAUUGGGUCCAUUGGGCCAAGGCCCAACUAAGUAUAUUCUGGGGUUAAUUGAUUUGAAGCCCAUUAGAUUUGGGUUUUCAGUAUUAAUGGGCCUUAAUCUUACUCAUGAAUUGACAUUCGUAAUGGUUACCAUAUUUAAGGGUUAAUUUCCCAAAUAAAUAAAUAAAAGGUCAUAAAGCCAAAAAAAAAGGAAAGAAAUGCUUAGCACAUAAGAGCUCAAUAAUUUGAUAAUGGAAGAGAAUGAAUAGUUAGAAGUAGUUUUAAAUGAAAUGGUUUAGUGAUACAUCAAAUAUGAGAAAAUGACAAAGUUGGAUGAAAUCAAUAAUUGAUUGGAAUCCACAAAUAGUUUUAUGGAGUUGAAAUAAGUAAAUCCGUAAUGGCAAUAGAAAAGAAAAUGUGGUGCCCAAUGCCCAUUUUAAUACAAUACUCCAAAAAGUGUUUCAAAUGCCAAAGAAAAGUACAAGAAUUGGCUAUACCAUAAACAUCAAAACAUACAUUCAAAAAUCAAAACUAUAUUCAUUAGGACCUUCACUAAAUUUAUUUUCUUUUUGCUCCACUUAUCCUUUCAAAUUCUACCUUUCUUUUUUAGUUAUUCUAAAUGUUUGAGAUUUUUCACCUAUAUAUACUAAUUAUAAAAUUAUCACUAAAAUGUUAAACUUUUUUAUAGAUAUUUUUUAUUAAUCUAUUUUCAGGUUAAUUUUUAUAAAUAUAACAAACACUCGAAUAUUUACGACACCUAUAACAAAAUAAAAAAAUUCUAUGAAGUUGACUAUUUUGAAAAAAAAAUAUUUCAAAUUUGUUCUUCAUUUUCAUCCUCUUUCUUCUAUAUUUUUCUUUUUCUUUUUUUUUUAUCAUUUUCUUUUUUAAACUAUUAUUUGGUUCGUAUUGUUUAAUUAUUUUUCAAACUUUUAUUUGGUUGUUUAAAAUUGUGUGCAAAAUAUAAAAAUCAUUGGGAUGUUGGUAGCCAAAUCUAAACGACCAUACAAAAAAUUCUGGAAAAAAAAUCAAAUCUAAGGGCUAAGCAAUUGUCUACAAAAAUAUCAAAAUUUAAACAAUGGUAUAAAUAAAUCUUGAAAAAAGACAAUCAUUUAGAUUUAGGUUGUCAAAUAUACAUGAUCAAAUCUAAAUAAUCUUGUAGUAAAGAAUAUUAUGCACUAGGUACCUAUUAAUCACAAUGAGCGUUUUUGGUAUUAUUCAUAAUGGCUACGUUGGCUUUUUCAGUUUUAAAAAUUGUUAUACUGUUUUUGAAAUAUUUACAAAUGAUAGACAAUGCACACUUUUGACAAUAAUAAUCUACGUCAAAGAACGAAUAUAUAAAUAACUAAACUCAAAUGUCCUAUAAGUCCAUUAAAAAAAAUUAUAGUUUUCUAAAUUGCAAGCAACAAAUUUAGAAGUCACCAAUUUAACGAUAGCUUAACAAGUUUAAAAGUUAUUAACUCUAUUAUGCCCCUCGAUAUUACUAAUUACUUAUUAUAUUUGUCAUAUUUGUAAUAUGAAAAAAAAAAAAGUAUCACUUUUUAAAUAUUUUUUUUGUCAUUUCCAUAUAAUUUUCCACCCCAAAUUUAUUUAUAUAUAGUAUUAGAUUUAUUUAUUCUUGGUUCAACUCUAAAUAUAGUAUUAGAUUUAUUUAUUCUUGGUUCAACUCUAAAUUAAUAUUAUUUGACCUUUAUUCUUGGUUAAACUCUAAAUUAAUAUUAUUUGACCUUUAGAUACUUACUAAUUGAAAAAUCUAAACAAAGGAUAAAUAACAUAUAUAUAACUAAUAUGAACUUAGCUCAACUAACCAACAUGAACUUAACUCAACUGACCUAUAUGUUCUCGUGCUCAAGAGGUUUCAAGUUCAAAUUCCCACCACAAAAUUUAUUACAAUACCUUUGCAAAAAAAAAAAAACACAUACACAUAACCUAAUUCUUAAAUUUAGAAAUAUGAUAAUUUAAAAGAGAAUCAUUUAUAUGAUUCAUGUGAGUGGAAAGUUCCAUAACCAAGAAAAUAUAAAGAAUAAAAUAAAGUAUACAAAAAUUCCACAUUCCUAAAUCUUUGAUAUGUUACAAUUUUUUUUUAGUUUAAACACAAUAUCAAAAUCAAUCUAGGAUGAACAAUGGAUCAAAAUAGGCUAUCGUUCAUGUCUGUCUAUGUCAUGAUGGAUAGAAUAAAUAAUAAGAUGAAAAGUUUUUUGUUUUGGGGUGUAAUUAUUAUUAUCAGUACUUGACAAUUCCCCUAAAGCAUUAACAGAAUAAAAAAGCAAAAUCAACACAGAACAACACUCAAUGGAAUUGCAAUUAAAGAGCAUCUGUCCAAGGAAUUGAUUUGGGGAUUUGUGGCCACCACCCAAAAGACAAAGAGUGCUGUUUUGCAUUUAUCAAACACUGUCCAAUUGAAAUUGAAAGAAAAUCCACAAACAAAAGAGAGAAGAAGGCCCACAUACAAAAAAGAAAGAACUACUCUUUUUCAUUCCACUAACAAAACCAACAACAGUGACUACCUAAAAAGUUGAAAUAUUAAUAUUUACAUAUUAGGGCUAAAUUUGCUAUAAUACCCCUCAUCUCUACACAUUUUCCAACAUCAUCUUCCUCCUUCCUACAACACCUUUUUUGUUCCUAACAACUUCCAUUCUGAAUUUCAUAUGGCCAUACACUAGAUACUACAGCAGCCGCAUAUUACAGUACACAAAAAUUACAUAUAGUGAACAAAUAUUCAUGUAAGGGAGAUCGAGAAUAGCUUUAGAUCUCACAUGUUGUGAGGAGAAGAAGGGCUCCCGGAUCCACCAUUGGUUGUCUUCGUGUAUACCUCCGAGAUCGACCUUCUUCGAAACCGGAAGGAUUCUCUACCUCCAAAAGAGAGAAAUUACUUAUAAACAAACACAAAUUGAAAUAGGCUACACAUGAACUCAAAUUCUCAAUAUGACAAUCUCUUACAUCACCCAUUGACUAAAAGUUAAAGAUAACGAGGGAAGGCAAAUAGAAGACCAACAAGUGAAAAUCAAAGUUAAUUGGGAAAGAAAUAAGCAUUGCAAGAGCUGCUCUAAUGUCUCACCAAUUAACCCAAAAACUUAACUAUGCAAAGUUGAUAUAAUAUCAUCCAACCCAAUCCAAGAGAUAACCCAACAAACAAGCAUCAUUUCUAAAUACUUCUUUGGAAAAAUCAGAGACUAGACACUAAGCUGUGAAACAUCAAACAGAAUUACAAAGGGAAUUCUUCAAAAUUUGAUAAAUUCCCAGAUGAUAUCAUUAACAGAAUAUUCAAGCCGUAAGAGCAAAAGCUUAUCAGUCAACAGAGUAAUAAUGAUCACCAAUCUGCAAUAAUGUUUCAACAAGAUCGAGAUUUUUUGUUUGACUAACAUGCAUGUUUAUGAAGUAAGCUCUACGUUUACAACCACUGCUCUCCACCUACUCCCAUCAAACUUUUUGUAACAAAGAGGCAGAUCCACACGAUCUUUUUACUUGACAAGACCUUCCAACCAACCAACAAGGGAACCCACUUUCCACUCCAAAGAACAGAAGAAUAGUGGUGCAAAAUGAUCCAAUUUUCCACAUUAGAGAUUUGUGACUAUGUCCACAAGAAGAUAAGCAUGCAAUGAAUUGAAAACGAUUGAAUUGAAAGAUGCUAAGGAUUCCCAUAAAUAUGACAAACCAUUGCAUUCACUAUUCUAUGGAGUAUGGAGAUCAAAUUUAAACGAGCAGAAGUGCUUUUCAAUGGAACCAUGAUCUGAAAUUCAGGCUUAAUUAGAACAUGUGCUUGUCAGAUCAUCAAGACGCUAUCACUAAAGAACAAAAGUCACUCCCUCGUGUAAUUCAUUCCAGCUGGUACUGGCAAGAUAAAUCUUAACCAUUUGGGUAUUUUUUUUUUUUUUUUUGGAUUCUAUACGAAGGACAUAUUGGUCAUUUCAGAUAAAGAGAAAAGGUAAAAGGGGCGACUCUGUUUCUUACCAGAAAAGGGAGAUGCCGGAGAACUGGAUCCGGCCGGUGAAAUAGGAGGCGAACCGUUCUGAUAUCCUGGAGGCCUCACUAUCAUAAUACUUCUUGUGAUCCUCACCGGCGAUUCCGAAGAAUCUUCUCCGUAUGAUCUAGCGCGGCCACCAUCGAGCUCUGAUCCGAAAAGAGUUCAUUAAAAAAAAAAAAAGAAGAAAAAUAAGAAAAAGUCAACGAGGAAAUUAAGAAGUUUGAGGUAUCGAUUGGGCAUAUUUUCAGUUCAAAAGUGUAGAUCCGUCUAAUUGCAAGAUAAAUCCGAGCUGCCGGCUAUUUCUUAAUCAAAAUCAACAGUAUGUUUCUCAUUAAGCGAUUUAUAAUUAUAACAAGAAAUUAGAAUCUCAAUUGGAUCGACGGCCAACAGUUUAAAUACUUUUAAUCAAGAAAAAUCAAAUCGAAUACUCAAUAUUCCAUGAUUGUCUUAUGAUUAGGGUUUUGAGUCGAAGUUUAUCGAGUUCGGUUAAGUGUCCGCCAUGGCAACAGUGGAAUAAAAAGGGCGUAGCAUACCCUUGUUGCCGGAGGUAGGUCGACCAGAAAACGUUGAGUGUUUCCGAAGCUUGCCGAGGCCACUUUCCGGCCGCGGUCCGGCGAGUGUAUCGUCCCAGAGCUGGUCGAGUAAGCCCAUAGGGAACUGCGAAUGAGAGAGAAAGAAGAAAUGGGCGGAGGAUGAAGUUCCGACACGGCGAAGAAAGUUGCGGAAGUGAGUAUGGAAGAGCUUUGAAGGGGCAGUGGGAACGAUAUUUAAAGAGAAAUUUGAGGGGUUAAGCAUCGAACAAGUCGUCCAAGGGUAGACAUGAAAUGUACACCGUUGGAUUGAUCUUUUGGACAAUGGCUUGGACGGCUGAGAACAGGUGAUGUUGAAGAUAAGAACGUUUUGACGAGUGGACCCUACAACUCGGGGGUUCUUAAGAAAAUUAAGCGACACGUGGACUUUGGGAAGGAAAGAGUGGGACCAGUUUUGUCAGAUGGUAAAGUACCAGAAUACCCUUAAGUGAAGAUACUUACAAGGGGGCAGUAAUUUUUUUUAAAAAGUGAAAUUUUAGUCACUUAUUAACCUAUGGAAACAUUAAAGUCAAAAUAUCGAGUUAAAAUAAAGUCGUUUGACAUCGUGUUUAUACUACUGUGACGAUAUAAAAGAGAAUAAAAAAUUUGAACUAUAGACCUCAUGGUUCUCAAGUAUAUAAUAAUGUCGUUAAUUGAUCUCAUGAACAAAAUUAAAUGAUAUUUUAGUUUUAAAAAUACAUUUUAAAAUAGAGUGUAAGUUUUUAUGAUUGCGAAAAAAACAUGUGGUAGUUGAGUUAGGUUGUUUUAACAUAGAAGUAGUUAAAAAGGUUCAUUAAUGUCUCACUUGUUCGGCUUUUUUUGAACUUCUUUUUUUAGUACAUAGUUGUUCAUGAUUCAACUUAAGAAUAUUUACGAAAAACUCAAAGAGAAAGGCAAGAGAUUGGUAUAUUAUAACAAAAAGAUAGCAUAGGUUCACUGGAAUAAGGAAUAAGAAUGAGAUUAAUCGUUUCUUUGGGCAAAAUCCAGGAUUGGAAUGGGGUUCGAUCUCAAGUUUGAGUUGAGUCACACAUUUUAUUUUCAUUAUAGAUCUUGGUAAACAUCGUCGAUAGGAAUAAAUUGGGUCUAACAAGAUUUAUUCUCAUUCAUGGGGAGUGUACGAGUACUAAAUGUAAGUCGUCCUAGGAACAAAAAAAAAAGGGUACAUCAUCCUUAGAGAUCAUUUGUUUCCUGGGUAAUCCAAUACUCUCUUACAGAAUGUGUAUCUAGAUUAACAUGUUUGUUUUAUGGUAAUAUAAGAUGUGUGAGCAUCAAUGCUCUUAUAGGACACAUCUCAAGAGUUUUAGAUGCUUUUCUAUAUAUAGUACGAGUUUUUCCCAGAUUUAUAUGUCGAUCAAAGUUUCAUUCUUAAUUUACUUUUUGUACAUCUAUGCAUAUUCAAACUACAUUAAAUUAAUUUAUAAAUUGAUCAAUCGUUACCGUAAGAGCGUUUUUCCCUUCUUCAAACUGUUAAUUUGGUUGUUUAAGAUCGUAUACAAAAUAUAAAAGACGAUGAAAAAAUCAUUGGGAUAUUAAAUAGCCAAAUCUAAUAUAUGUACCAAAGAAUCUUAAAAAAAUAAAUUAGAUUUGGCUAGCCAAAUUUGAACUAAACGAUCAAAUUUAAACAAUUGUGCUCCUAAUAUAAAAAAAAAUCUUGAAACAAACUUUGAGAUUUGGCUACUCAAAUUUAAACUAUUAUAUAUCUAAAUGAUCGUGUACAAAAAUAGUACCAAAUUUAAACUACCGUUUACCAAAUAUAUUAGGCGCCUUCGAUGUCAAUUAAUCACGAACAUUUUUUAUAUUUUUUUAUUGAAGGUCCGUGAGUUUUUUACUUUUUUGAAAUUGUUUGGUGUACAUAUUUUGUAACACAAAAAUCCCUUUUAUAAAUUUAUAUUUUUUUUUCUAAAAAAUAUUAAAUGGACUAAACACACGUUAGUAAAAUGGAAAGUUUGAAGAUCUAAAUAAAAUUUUAAGUUUAUUGGCUCCUUGGAAUUUUUUCCAACCAUAUGAACUAUUGAUAAAAUCCUAAAUCAUUUGAUUUUUUUUUAAAACUAACCAUAUAAACACCAAUCUCAUUCAUAGGUUUCUUUAUUUUGUUAGAUUGAAUUUAAAUUUAAUAUGCUUAUCAAUAUGGUCCAUGACCAAUAUUUUCUCUCUAGUAAGUUAGACCUAUUAUUUUACUAAGCCCUUCAAUAAAAUGUAAUUUCUCUAAUUAAACAUGAAAGGUAUCUAUAAAGAUUAAAUCAAAUUAAUAAUAAUCUUAUGAAUAAAGGGUUUUAUUAAACAAAUCAAGUUAUAAUUCAAUGAAUAUGAGAAAUCAAUGUCAAAUAUUAAGGUCUCUUUGUUUCCACUAAUUUCUAACUAAAAGUGGUGGAAUGCAAAAUUACUUAUUUAUAGUAUAAUACCAUGAGAAUACGAGCAUUUCACCUCUAGAAUGAAAAAUUAUGUCAAUUACCAUUAAACUAAAUUUGUUUUGACAAUAUACAUAGAAAGAACAUUAGUAAUAUAAGGUGUGUUACUUAUAAAUUAUUUCAAAUUGGUUUCAAAAUGAUGGUAGAAAAAUAAUUACAUGCACGUUUGGGGUUAGAAUAUCAAAUAUUUUAACUCGUGUAGGACAGAUUGAACCUAUAUAACUUAUAACAGUAAAUAAGGAAAAAUUUAUAUACAUGACCUAAAAUAAAAUAAAAGGCCAAAUAAAAAAUGUGUAUUUUUUUUUAAACGAAAAAAAAAUGACAUUUUGCUUAUGGCAUCACGGUAUGAAAUUAUCACCUUAAUCUUAAAUGUGUUUUCUUCUUCUCUUUUCUUCAUUUUACAACUUUUUAUUGUUUAUUUGCAUUUUUUUUCAUUUGUAUUCUUCCAUUUUUAGGGUUUUUUCGUAUUUUUACGUAUCUAGUAUAUAUCAUAGAGAAUAUAAUAUAAAGCAUAGAUAACAUAGAGCAUAGAUCAUCAAUUAUCGUGCAUCGAGUAGCGUUUUCCAGUUACAAGCACGCAUUAGUAAAUUCACAGCAGUGCGAAAGCAAGUAGAAGACCACUUUUCAUUCAUUCUCAAAAGCAGAGUCAAUUUUCAUUUGGGUCUCUAAAUGAAGGCUAUCCAUACGUACAAAUAACCUUAAACAAGCAAACAAUUUUUUUAUCACCAUGAAAAUGGAUUAGGGUUUUUUCAAUUCUGUAUCGAUAAUUCUUUUGAAAAAUAUUAAUUUAUAUUCUUAAUUUUGAGUGUUUUAUAUCAAUAUCAAUACUUGUUCAAACAUUUAGAAAGUCAAUCUAAACAUGUCUAAGACCAUGAAUUAAUUAUGAAAAACGUACGUACAAUUAAUUGGGUGUAAAAAGUAAUGUGUUUAAUUAUCAAUUUUCAAAGGUAACUUUAAUAAAUAGAGUUUAAAUUGAUUCAUUAAUUAUGAAAAUUAAGAAGUUAAAUUGAAAUAGAGAAGAUUCACAUAAGUUUUCGAAUGAAAUAUGUUGAACGGUAGGAAUUGGUACACUUUAACAUUAAAUUAAUUGAUACAUGCUUAACCAUUGAUGUUGAUAUAUUAAUUGAUACCAACUUAACAUUGAUAAAUUAGAAAUCGAGCAAAACAAAUAAUUUUCUUAUUUAUUGAAAUUAGAGGUGUUGAUGAUAAGUACAUGCUUAACCGUUGAUGUUGUUUGUUGUUCAUGAUAACACAAUACGUAAACGAUGAAACAUGAAUUUACCAUCGUUUUAUUAUUUUUAUACGUAUAAUAAUUUUACAUGUCAAUUAUCGUUAACAAGUUGUCGGAAGCUGAAAAAAACGCGUUCCCUAACAAAGAAAAAGAAAAGAAUUGUAGUGAUGAUUGUCAACCUCAAGGAGGCUGCUACCAUCGUUUAGGUGAUUUUCAUGGUGCAAAAUCCAUCAUUAUCAUAUGAACUAAUUCUUUUGUCCAAAUUUUCAUUAUCAAUUGCAUUAUAUCAAAAUUAAUAAUAGACCAUUUUAUUAUAUUAAUAAUGAUGGUAGGACCAAAAAGAAAAGUGCUUCAAAGUUGACUAAAAAUUACAAUUUUCAAUAACAAUUACAAAUAUAUUAUCUAAUUUAUUUGUCAGUUUAACUUUACUUCAUAAUUACAUAUUGCUCUAUAAUUUUAUAACGUUACUAUGGAUGAAAACUUCUAUUCCUUCUUUUGCUCUUACAUAUUUUUUAACUCAAUAAAGAAAAGCUUUUCUAGAAAACUUAUUUUUAUUUAAAUAUUUAUUACAAAAACAAAUUAAAUAUACUCCAACCUUUGUUUAAAAUGAUUUAUCUUUUAAAUUAAAAACUUGAAAAUACGUCUUUUUGGUUCAUGCACGAUAAUAUAUAUACACAUUAAUAUAUAUACACAUUGAACUCUUACAUUAAUUCAUGUAUAUAUGUAUUCGUGUUCCAUGUAUAAAAAAAAUGAUUCUUCAUGUUUAGUGUAUUCAAUAUAAAAAAUGAUUUCUAGGUGCAUGCAUAAAAAGAAAUGUUAGUAUUCUCAACAUAUUUAUACCUUUCACUAUACUUUAAAAGAAUGAAUUUAUUAAAUAUUUAAAUUUAUACUAACUUUUUUUUUACAUGAAAUAAAAUAAUAAGUAUUUCAUGCAAAGUUCAAAUCACAAGACGUAUUAAACUAUAUAUCUUUUUUUAUUCUAGAUGAAUUAGUGUGUUAAUAGAUCAAUACUAUCAUUUUUCUUUUAACUUUAAUAAAGGUUAGUUUUAAAAAAUAUAAUAAAUUGGUAAAAUAUUUAAAUGUAACCAAAUGUAAAAACCCAUUUAACUGAUCUAUUCAAUACUAUAAUUCUUCAAUUCUUAUGCAAUUUUUUUCUUUCAAUUUUUUAUUUUUUUUCAAACGGUUAUUUGAUUGUUUAAUCUCGUAGAUGAAAUAUAAAUAAAGAUCAUAAAAAAAAGUUUGGCAUAUUGGAUAACCUAAAAAUAGUCAAAUCUAAACUAAAUAAUUAUAGAAAAAAUUGUUUAGAUGCAUAUAUAGUUAAAUUUAAAAGAUUAAAUUUGAAUGCAUGUACAAAAAUCUUGAAAAAUAAUCAUUCUUAUUUCACUAUUCAAUUCUAAACGUGUAUCAAUUUUUUUUUAAUAAAAAAAGCGUUCAGAUUUAACGAUUAAAUCUAAACGAUAUGUACCAAAAAAAAUCAUUAUGAUAUCAAUUAAUCACGAACCAUUUUUGGUAGUUAGAGUUUUUUUUUUUAAAUACAAUAUAUAUAUAUAUAUAUAGACACAAUUGAGUUAAGUUAUUUAAUAACUUAGGCUUAGUCACAUUAUAAAGACAUAAAUUUUAAAUUAUAUUGGGGCAAUACUUUGAUCAUAUAGAGGGUUUUGUUUCUUAUGAAACUAAAUAUCUUUAUAUAUAUGAUGUGCAGUUUAUAUUUAAUAGAAAAAGUUAGUAUAAUUUAUUUAAGGUUAGAUACUUUUCAAUUUUGUUAUGAUGUAUACCUAACAAAAUAAAUUUUGAUAUUAAAUUUUUGUUAGAAGAAUUUUAAUAUUAAAUUAAUACAACUAACCAUAUUGUAUACAUCAUUUAAAACAAUUUGAAAUUCAAGAAGUGACUUUUGAGAUAUUAAUUAUUAAGUUUACAAAGUUGAAGUAAAGUAAGUGGUUGUGUGACACUAUUUGAACUUCUCUUGUGAUUCUUUUUCUUUUUUAAAAAAUAAAAUAUAUUAAACAAAUAAUUUUAUAAAUGAAUAAUUGUAACCUUUCACAGUUACCCAUUUGCUUGUCUUAAAGGUUUAUUAGAAAAAAUAUUGUUCCUACGAACGAACACUUUCUUGGAACUGACCUAACAUAAAAAAUUUUAACCUAAUUAAGCACGCUUGACUUUGAAGUUUAUGUGAUUGAGCUAUUGAAAAUGAAUGUAUGUCUUGUUGGGAUGGAUAAUGACUUUCAAUUCUUUAAAUUUUUUUUAAUCUUACUUUUAUGUUUUCAGGGUCUCUCUCAUUUAGAUGUGAUAUUUGUUCAUUCAUGUUUCUCUCAUAAUCUCGGAGUUACGAUAAUAGUAUACCUUUUAAUCUUAAAUAAUUAUAGUUCUUUGAACACUUAUUUCAAAGAGUAUUUUUCCCUCUAAAUCUUAAACACAAUAAAAUUAAAGCAUUUUUUUUAAUUAAAUCACUGAUGCAUGUGAAUGAUUGUUUUAAAUGAUAAAAUUAUUGAAAAUAUUUUCGAAUGUAACAAAAUAUCACUGUUUAUUAGUGAUAAUGAUAGAUGUCUAUCAAUAUCUAUUCAUCAUUGAUGAAUAUAGCAAAAUGUCAUUUUCUGUUGUAUUUGUAAAUAAGUCGCUGUUCAUUUUUUUGUUUAUGUUUGAAAAUAACGCUAUUUGAGAGUCCAAAUUUAUGGAAUUACUAAUUUGUAUGAUUUUUUGUUGAUCAACUUAUGAAGAAAAUUUGGAAACGAUUGUGAAGGAGUGUGAAAUCGUGAAAAAGAAAGAAAUGGAUGAUUAUGAAAAAAUAACCGUAAGUUUUCUAUAAUCAAGUCCCAAACGUGAAGUGGAUUAACAUAGCUCACUUCACUCUGCCAUAGUUUGGUACCCAAGCUGUUGUUUAGGUUGGAUCAGAAGUUGUAGUCUAGACAACCAUCUAAUAAAAAGUUGUUAUGAUAUAAUUUUGUUCAAAAUGAAUGAUUGAUUUGCAAAAUCAUUACCCACGACUAAUUUGAUCUUUUUAUGUAAUAUAUUAAAAAAAACCAUUACUUUUACUAUUUUUUUAAUAAAAUAUUGAAUGAAAAAUUGCAUUAGAUGAUUAAAAAAAAAAAUCAUAACACCUCUUUUUUGCAUAUUCCAAAUUUGACUAGUAAUUGAUGGUAAUUAAACAGUAGUCGAACGAUAAUUUACUUUUAAAUUUGUCAUUUUUACAAUUUAAAAAACGUAGAUGACAUGAACUCUAUUAUCAUAAAUUUAUUUGGGUGUUUGUACAAACGGAUGAAUCAUAAGAGAGAAAAUGAGUCCAAAAACCCAAAAAGUGAAAGGCAACCACAAAACUAUUGAUUAUUUUGCAAUAGCACCAAUCAUGCAUCAACAACAUCAAAAAUUUAAACAUAUAGUUGAAUUGAUUAAGACACCUAUCAUCAACAAAACAAGUCUUAAAACUGAUUUACACAUUUUUAGAUUUUCCUGAAUUUUCUAAUUUCUCCAUUUUAAACAUUCAUCAAAAUCUUUGAUACAUCACAUCCCCAUUACUUCUCCUAUAAACAUUUGUUAACCUAUCAUCUCACCAUUAUUCUUCGUUGUCCAAUUUUUUCAAGGAAUGGCUCCCAAACGAAUUUCCAUAGGAUAUAUGACAAUGUCUAUUUAUAACAAUCUCAUGUUUGUCUCUACACCUCUUAAGGCAUCAUUCAACCCCUGGAUUUGAAUACACUACCCAUCCUCCUUGCGUUUAGUUAUAUACUAAUAUCGAUAGUUUAAUAUCCACAAUAAAUGAGACAACAAUAGUGAUGUUACGUUCGGUUGAAAAUCCAAUGAGAACCCAAAGAACAUCUUUUUUCUUCAAAACGACUUACAAUGAAGUGUCUAGAAAUUGUAUUACCAAGAACAACUUUGAUUCCCUUUCCUCGUUUAAAAAAAUUAUUCACCUAUGAUAACCAUAUAUACCCUGAAAUAAAUUUGGCUUUAGAUGUCAGUUGACAUAUUCUUUUAAAAUGGUGACAAAUGAAAGUAUUUUGUAUUUAAACAUAUAUAAAUUUUAUAGAAUCUGUCAUGGAAAAGUUACAUAUGUUCAACCUACAUUUCACAUUUUAAAAUUUGUUAGAGAGUGAGCCCAUGGAGGAAUAAAGUUAAAAUUCAAAAGCUAAUAUGAGGUACAUGCUUUUAACUUUUAGAUCAGGUUGGAUAGUUAAGAUAUAUCAUUGGAAUAAUUUAUUUAUGCCUGCACAUGAUUUUUUUUAAAGGAAAUGUAUACACAAAGUUUGGUUGGGUUAAAUCGAGUGAUCUAUUAAUCUAUCAAUGAAAACAAAUAAAUUAUUGGUUAUAUUUCAAUCAAUUUUUUAGGAUAGAUAAUUUUUGUUAGUAUUAGGAUCACAAAUUGAUUCUAUGUAAAUUUUUUUAAAAUUUUUAGUAAAUAUAGUAGUUAGACUUAUCAACCGAUAUAAUGAUAGAUAUAAUAAAAUUAAGAUCAAGCUUAGAUCAUUGAUGGGAGCCUAACAACAAUAGAAUCACUAUAAAUUUUUGCAAUAUAUAUUUUUUUGAAAAGGAUUGAUGUAAAUAAAUUUAUUGAUCUUAAAAAGCUACCCAUUGUAAUGUUCUUUCUUUUUUUCUUUUAAAUUAUUUUUUUAUCAAGAUUACUCUCAAUAUAAAAUUGAACCAUGAUUUAGAUACCUUUGAAAGGGUUCUAAUUUUUUUUUUUUAAUUUUUAUAAAAAGAACAUUUAGAAGAAGAAAGAGGGUAAGAUAGGUUUGUUGAGUUUUUAAAGGUGGGAUCCUCUCAACAUUCAAAACAAACAAAUAAAGAAGAUUUAAACUGCUUCCAACCAAAAGCCUUUUGAAACUUUAAGCUUCCUUUGGUGAGAUUUCGAGACAACACUCUCAAAAGCUCUUCUGUUUUUUUCUUUCUUUUUUUUUUGUAAUUAUACAUAUGUAAGCAUUUAGGAUUUUGAAUCUAAGAUUUAGAUGAGUCCAUAUAUAAUCUCUCUAAUUUAAUGAUGGGGUAUUGUAUUAUUAUGAAAACAUGUAUUUAGAAAAGUUAGUUGUAGGGAUCCGUUAAUAAACUUUUAAAUCGCUAACACAUAUAUAUAUAUACGAAAAUCUAAAAGUAAAACUGCAUCUUUAUUAAUAAAAUUGAGAAGUUUAUAUAAUUUCCUAACUAAAUAACAGAAAAUUAAAAACUUAAAGAAUGCUGCAAUGCAAUUUAGGGAAAAUGUGAUGGAUGAGCCAAUGAGUCAUGAACUUGUAAGUGUUUUGUGUCAAAUGGACUCCAUCCCAACUGAUAUGUUCAUUAGGAUUUGGACAAGCUUCAACUCCAGCUGCUCCACACAUUUUCAUCAGGUUAAACUUGUAAUCUCCUCCAAUCCCACAGCAUGAUUUUUGCAAUGAUUCUUCGUCAUAUCCUGUUUUUAUAUAUACAUAUAUAUAUAAGUAACUAAGUUGAAAAACUAAACUAAAAUUAGAUUCAGAUAAAUUAUGUUGCAAUUGACAGUAGUACAGAGAAACAAUAAUCACAAUAAUCACGUACCUAGAACAAAAGCAUGACGAAUAACCCAUAGAAAUGCAUUGUAAUAAUCACCAUAUACGAUAACCGUCUGUGGAUUCUCCUUUUUGAGUACUUCAAUGGUUUGUUUGAUUUGAUCGUUAUGAUAGGUUGCUAAACCAUUCAAAUCCUUUAGACAGUGAAGCUCGUCAUAAGCGGAUGUGUCGUUAGUAUGGAAUCCAGUGAGAUAGAUAGGGAAGCAUCCAAUGGGAAAGUUUCCAGGAACAACAACUCGAGUAGCACCGUAGCUUAUUACUUUCUACAAAGGUUACAAGCAAAAGCAAGGUAAGUAAUCAUCUCAUUCAUAUAUGGGAUAUAUAUAUGAUCUAUAUUACUGUGUUAAACAAAAUUAACAUUACCUCAACCGCACUCUUAAUGGUUCGAACAACAUCUGGUACCAUGUGUUUGGCCUCUUGUAUAGUUUUUCCUUGGAAUAAGGCAUAGUUAUAGUCAUUGCCACCAAUCUCACCCACCAAGAACAAAGCACUCCUUAAUUUCUCAUUGCAAUCUACACAGUCAAAUGCAUAAAGACAUAUAUGAAAACAUCAGAAAAAAUAUCAUCGAAACAUGCAUAAAUCUUAGCUAGUAUAUAUGAAAUGUAAGUAGCCAGUAUGCUAAUUGAAUCAGUCACCUCUUUGAUCGUGACAAAUAGAGUUGAAAUGAGAGAACAUCCAUUCAAGUUGAUGGUCGAGAGAAGAGUUGGUAACCGGAGAUAAAAUUUUGUAAUUUGUAGAAAGAUAUUGAGAAGGUAAAGCUGUAGAACCAGCCACUGCGAAGUUGACUCCAUGAUCCAUCCAACCAUCUUUAUUCAAAUAAGGAGUCACCAAAGGAAGUCCGGCAUCUAAGGCUACAAAUAUAUUGGGAGUCAUCAUUAUUAAUUAUUAGUAAUUUGCAGAUAUAAAAACAGUAACUAAAAAUAGAAUAGAUAUGGAAGGUCAUGUUUACCAAAGAAAUCAAGCAUAAGUAGACCAUUGGAGCAUCGACCGGUGGGAUUGUUGAAGAAAGAUUGGCCGUAAGGAAGAUGAGAAAAAGGAGUGUUGGGGUUUUCACGAAUGAGAUUUCCGGUGUCGGAGAUUGAGUCGCCGAGUUGGUAUAUAGCGUCAAACAUACAAGCUUUAAGUGGAUGAGCUUUGGACGAACCCAAAACAACGAGGAGGAGAAGAAGGAAAAGAAGAGAAAGAAGAUUUGGUAGAAGCCGCCAUUGAUGAAUACUUAAUAUGGAAUUGUGUGUUUGAAGGUAGAGAGAAGUGAUGAAGGAAGGGAAUGAAGAAUGGUUUAUUUAUAGCAUCCAUUAUUUCUUCCUAUCAUUUUCGGAUUAAUUAAUUUCUUAAUCCUUUUAGGAGAGGGAAUUUCCCAAUUCUCCGAUAAUUUUAAAAAGUUAUAAAGAUAUAUAUAUAUAUAUAUAUAUAUAUAUAUAUAUAUAUCUUUUAUAGUAAAUAUCAUUUAAAACGUUUUUUUAGAUAUUUCUUCUAAAUUAUAAAUAACCAAAAUCAUAAAUGUUUAUAUUUAUGUAUAUAUUAGUUAACACAAAUGAUAAAAUUUGGUAUAGCAAAAUGAAAAAUAACCAUUCUAAAAAAUAUUAAGAAAAUUGGUGGUUGCAUAAUUUUUUUAAAUUUUUUUUAACCGUUUAUACUUUUAGGUAGGAUAAUAGAUGUUUUAGAUAUACUAUAUUUACAUACAAAUAAUGAGACUAAAUAUCACCUAGUCACAAAUAUUGUGUAUUUGUAAACUAUAAUUAGUUUUAAAAAAUAUCACAAAUAUUGUGUAUUUGUAAACUAUAAUUAGUUUUAGAAAAUAUUAACUAUGAUAUUAUAAGGUUUGACAAGAUUUCUCCAAUAUCUCCUAAACAUAUGCUUAUAAUUCAUAACAAGUUUUUGGAAUUUUAGUAUUUAAAUCAAAUUAAUUAACUUUUAUUUAUUUAAUUUAUAAAAGUUAUGUUUAUUAAAGAUUUAUCCUAAAAAAUUGCUAAAUAUCUUCCACCAUUCCUUAUUCGCUAAUUCAAAUAUCUUGAAUUCAAACAUUUUGAAUUAUUAUGAAAUCUAAUCCUUCAACCAUCACUAAUUCAAUAUUUUUGUAUAAUUUAUAUUUCAAAUUAUUUUUAAAAAGAUAUUAGAUAAUAAAUAGUACGUCAAGUAUUUAAAAUGACAAACGUCAAAAAGAGUCUACUUUUGUAGUAGUGUGUUGUUUCUAUGGAUUCACAAAUAUUGAAUCUUAUACAUGUACGUUUGGGCUUAAUGGGCUAUGAUAUCAUAUUUGAUUGUAUGAAGUUCCAUCUUAAAACCAAAUGGCAAUGAGAGGAGUAACUCAUCAAUCUUAUAAGGAGUGUGAGUCUCGUUGGUUUUAAGUUCAAUGUGAGAUUCUUUAACCUCUCAACAUAACCCAAAUCAAUUUUAUUUGUUCUAAGUGAUGUACGGGUUGUUUGACACAUAUUUAGAAAGUUUUUUACUAUUUUUUUUUAUCUCGCAAACAUCUAGCUACUUUUGAACAUUAAAUUUUUAAUCUCAAAUCAAUAUAUAUUUGUUUUUAUUUGAUUUCGGGAGAUUCUACACCUGUUUUGGGUUAACUACUGUGUUUUUGUAUCUUGCAAAACAUCUCGCACACAUCUAGCAAAUAUCAUAUACACAACUCGCAAAUAUCUCACAAUGUCCAAGUUUGAAAUAUCCAACUCCAAAUAUAUUUUAUACUUGUUUUAUUUGACUUAUUGUGAAUUUACAACAUAUUUGAAUGGAGUUUUUCCAUAUAUUUUUUAAAAUAAUCUUGCAAAAAUGUCGCAAUGCAUGAAUUUGAAAUACCGAACUAAAAAUCAAUUAUAUACUCUUUUUAGGUGAUUUACGAUGAUUUUAUAUAAGUAAUUAAGUUGAAAAAUUCAACUAAAAUUAGAUUCAGAAAUUAUGUCGUAAUUCAGAGUAGUAGAAAGAAACAAUUACGUACCUAAAACGAAAGCAUUACAAAUAAUUCAUAGAAAUGCAUAGUAAUAAUCACCAUAUACGAUGACGGUACUUGGAUUCUCCUUUUUGUCCAUCCUCCCACAUUAAGUUUUACCUACUCUUCCAAAGAAUUUUUCUUUUCCUUAAUUAUUAUGCUUCAUACUCCACACAACUAAAAGCAAAAUCUUCUUACCAUAUAUUUGAUCUGUUACAAUGGAUUUGAAUAUUCAUUUUAUAUACGACACAAUAAAAAUCAAAGGUUACAUUGUCUUUAAUUUCCUUUCCUCGGAUGAUUAUCAUUUCUAUUAAGCUUGAGAUAUUUAGCAAUUUUUUAGGAUAAAUCUUUAAUAAACAUAACUUUUAUGAAUUAAAUAAAUAAAAGUUAAUUAAUUUGAUUGAAAUACUAAAAAUCCAAAAAAUUGUUAUGAAUUAUAUGUAUAUAUUUAGGAAAUAUGGAAGAAAUCUGGUCAAACCCUAUAAUAUCAUAGUUUAUGAUAUUUUCCAAAACUAAUUAUAGUUUACAAAUACACCAUAUUUGUGACUAGGUGAUAUUUGACCUCAUUAUUUGCAUGCAAAUAUCAUAUAUCUAAAACAUCUAUUAUUCUACCUAAAAGGUAUAAACGGCUAAACAAAAUUUAAAAAAAUUAUGCAACCACCAAUUUUACCAAAUUUCUUAAUAUUUUUUAGAUUUGUUAUUUUUCAUUUUGCUAUACAAAAUUUUAUCAUUUGUCUCUAACUAAUAUACACAUAAAUAUAAACAUUUAUCAUUUUGGUUAGUUAUAAUUUAGAAGAAAUAUCUAAAAAACGUUUUAAAUGAUAUAUAUAUAUAUAUAUAUAUAUCUUUAUAACUGCUCAAAAUUAUCGGAGAAUUGGGAAAUUCCCUCUCCUAAAAGGAUUAAGAAAUUAAUUAAUCCGAAAAUGAUAGGAAGAAAUAAUGGAUGCUAUAAAUAAACCAUUCUUCAUUCCCUUCCUUCAUCACUUCUCUCUACCUUCAAACACACAAUUCCAUAUUAAGUAUUCAUCAAUGGCGGCUUCUACCAAAUCUUCUUUCUCUCUUUUCCUUCUUCUCCUCCUCGUUGUUUUGGGUUCGUCCAAAGCUCAUCCACUUAAAGCUUGUAUGUUUGACGCUAUAUACCAACUCGGCGACUCAAUCUCCGACACCGGAAAUCUCAUUCGUGAAAACCCCAACACUCCUUUUUCUCAUCUUCCUUACGGCCAAUCUUUCUUCAACAAUCCCACCGGUCGAUGCUCCAAUGGUCUACUUAUGCUUGAUUUCUUUGGUAAACAUGACCUUCCAUAUCUAUUCUAUUUUUAGUUACUGUUUUUAUAUCUGCAAAUUACUAAUAAUUAAUAAUGAUGACUCCCAAUAUAUUUGUAGCCUUAGAUGCCGGACUUCCUUUGGUGACUCCUUAUUUGAAUAAAGAUGGUUGGAUGGAUCAUGGAGUCAACUUCGCAGUGGCUGGUUCUACAGCUUUACCUUCUCAAUAUCUUUCUACAAAUUACAAAAUUUUAUCUCCGGUUACCAACUCUUCUCUCGACCAUCAACUUGAAUGGAUGUUCUCUCAUUUCAACUCUAUUUGUCACGAUCAAAGAGGUGACUGAUCAAUUAGCAUACUGGCUACUUACAUUUCAUAUAUACUAGCUAAGAUUUAUGCAUGUUUCGAUGAUAUUUUUCUGAUGUUUUCAUAUAUGUCUUUAUGCAUUUGACUGUGUAGAUUGCAAUGAGAAAUUAAGGAGUGCUUUGUUCUUGGUGGGUGAGAUUGGUGGCAAUGACUAUAACUAUGCCUUAUUCCAAGGAAAAACUAUACAAGAGGCCAAACACAUGGUACCAGAUGUUGUUCGAACCAUUAAGAGUGCGGUUGAGGUAAUGUUAAUUUUGUUUAACACAGUAAUAUAGAUCAUAUAUAUAUCCCAUAUAUGAAUGAGAUGAUUACUUACCUUGCUUUUGCUUGUAACCUUUGUAGAAAGUAAUAAGCUACGGUGCUACUCGAGUUGUUGUUCCUGGAAACUUUCCCAUUGGAUGCUUCCCUAUCUAUCUCACUGGAUUCCAUACUAACGACACAUCCGCUUAUGACGAGCUUCACUGUCUAAAGGAUUUGAAUGGUUUAGCAACCUAUCAUAACGAUCAAAUCAAACAAACCAUUGAAGUACUCAAAAAGGAGAAUCCACAGACGGUUAUCGUAUAUGGUGAUUAUUACAAUGCAUUUCUAUGGGUUAUUCGUCAUGCUUUUGUUCUAGGUACGUGAUUAUUGUGAUUAUUGUUUCUCUGUACUACUGUCAAUUGCAACAUAAUUUAUCUGAAUCUAAUUUUAGUUUAGUUUUUCAACUUAGUUACUUAUAUAUAUAUGUAUAUAUAAAAACAGGAUAUGACGAAGAAUCAUUGCAAAAAUCAUGCUGUGGGAUUGGAGGAGAUUACAAGUUUAACCUGAUGAAAAUGUGUGGAGCAGCUGGAGUUGAAGCUUGUCCAAAUCCUAAUGAACAUAUCAGUUGGGAUGGAGUCCAUUUGACACAAAACACUUACAAGUUCAUGACUCAUUGGCUCAUCCAUCACAUUUUCCCUAAAUUGCAUUGCAGCAUUCUUUAAGUUUUUAAUUUUCUGUUAUUUAGUUAGGAAAUUAUAUAAACUUCUCAAUUUUAUUAAUAAAGAUUCAGUUUUACUCUUAGCUUUUAGCAUAUAUUGCGUUGCUUAAAUUUUAUUUUCGUGGUGAUGGUGUGUUUUAACGAUAAAAAGAUUCAGUUAUUUGUUUGUUCUAAAUGUUGAGAGGAUCCCACCUUUAUCAACAAACCUAUCUUACGUACACUCUUUCUUGUUCUAAAUGUUUUCUGAAAAAAGAAAUAGAUACCUAAUAAACGUAAUUAAAUCUUCAUUCUUCUCUGCUUUUUAUCACUAUUUAAAUCAUGAUUUAAUUUUACAUCCACAAUAAUCUUAACAAAAAUAAUUUAAAUUCUUAAAAAAAAUUAGCUAAUCUUUCAAGGGUAAUAAUUGAUGUAUACCAACUAUAUAUUUUAAAAAUAUACACAUAUAUAUAGUAAAAUCUUCGAGUGAUAUAGACUUCAUUAUAUAUUGAUAGGGCUCCUAUCAAUCUCAACUUUUUAUCACUGAUGAUGAGCUUGAUCUAAAUUCUAUUCUAUCUUUCAACAAGUCUUACAACUAUAUAUUUGCCUAUAUAGAAUCAAUUUGUGAUCUUAAUAGUACUAACAAAAAUUGUCUAUCCUAAAAAAUUUAUUGAAAUAAAACCAAUAAUUUAUUUAUUUUAAUUGAUAGACUAAUAAAUCACUUGAUUUAGACCAAGUUAACCAAACUUGUGUAGACAUCUCCUUUAAAAAUAAUAAUAAUGUGUAGGCAUAAAAAAAAUGGAUUUUUUCAAAAAUAGAAAAUUUUGCCAAACUUUAAAAAAAAAUUAGCAUGUCCUUAAACUUUUAAAAAUGGUUCAAAAAAUUUCGUGCAAUAUUUUUAUUAAUCCAAUUUUUACACAAUUUUUUCUAACUAGCUUCCAAUUUUUUAGUUUUUAUUUUUGGAUAUUUGUGUGAUUAAAAAAUAGCUAGAAAACACUUUCGAACAUGCUAUAAAAUCACCAUAAAUCGUCAACAUGAGCUCAAUUAUUAAUUAGUACAUGUUUGUACCUGAGAGCAAGAGGUCUUGAGUUCGAAUCCUCUCACCCUAAAUUGUUGUAUGAAACCUUUUCAAAAAUAAAAUCACCUAAAAUAAGUAUAUAAUUGAUUUUGAUUUUGGUAUUUAAAAUUCAAACUGCCAAAUUUUUGUGUUAUUUAAAGAAAAAAAAACUAACAAAAUGAGUAUCAAAUAUGGUACCAUAGCCUAUUAAGCCAAGAUGAGUAUUCGGUCUAAGAUUAGCACAUCCAAACUAUACAUUAUCUUAAGACUCAUACUCGUUAUAAAAGGAUUACAUACAAAAAGUUGCAAAUGAUCGUCUUUAUCUUAUGAUUAAUCAUACUUGAUAAGAUCUUUUGUAAUAAAUUAACUAAAAAUUUGAUUAAAAGAGAGAAACAAAAUCUCCGCUUGAAUCCUUUCCGCCUUCAAUAUAAGUUUACAUAAAAUCAUAAAAUUAUAUAUUUUUUUCCAAAACCUAAAAGGAUUUAAAAAUUCAAAACCAUUUUCGGAAACGUAUUUGGAAAAAGAAAAUUAAACUUAUAAAUAACUUUGUUGCCAUUAUUAAUAUUAUUGUUAUUCCCUCUCAUAUCCAAAUUCUCAACACUUGAAGGUUAAUCUCUUAUUCCAUCACUAAUGACGCCUUCAAUAACAAUCAAAUCUUCAUUCACUCUUUUUCUUCUUCUUUUGGUUUUUGGUUCAUUCAAAGCUCAUAAUUCAUUAGCCGUCGACGACUCUAUUUACCAAUUCGAUAACAACAAUAACUCAAUCUCCAACGUUGAAUAUCUCACUUACGAAGAUCCCAACGACAAAACUUCCCUCAACGAUUCCCUUGAUCAAUUCCCGAUCGAUGACGAUGACUUUGGUAAACGUUAUUUCUAACAUCCUAAGUAUUUUUGGAAUAUAUUUUCAAAUAUUUAAUUUUAAAAGAAUAACUAGAGUGUUUGGUAAUUAUUAACCGUUCAAAAUCGGGUUUUCAAUGAUUUCGAUUUGUAGAUUCACUCGAGCUUCUCGUGACGAGUCCUUAUUUCAGUGAAGAUGCAUUUUUGAAGUAUGGGAUGAGUCUUGUAUUGGCUACUUUUGCAUUUAUAUUAUUCAAUGAAAGAUUGUUAGAUGAAGGUGUUAGAAUUAUAAGGGUAGUGGAGACUUUCUUUAAUAUGGUCUUGAAAACUUUUAUGAGAAUUGCUUGAGAAAAUGGCAGUUCGUGUAAUGAGAAAAGGUGAAAGAAGCUUUUAUCAUUUUGAAAAUAGUUGUUCGAAUUUUAUUAAGGAGUAUAUUAUUAUUAUGGUUAUUUGAUUAUUUAAAUUCUAUGGAUCAAAAUCAAACUUGACACAAUAAAUUGUACGUAAUCAAACACCUUAUGUGCAAUGCAUGGCACUUCUCGAUCCUUUAGUUUAUUUUUUGAUCCUUUAAGUAUCGGUUUACUUCAAUCAUGUUUUAGUAAAUAUAUUGAUCUUGACGUCGUUUUAAAAAACAUCAAGUCGAGUACAAUUUGACAUUUUGUAAUUGUUGAAUAGGGUAAAAUUGAAGUAAUUAGCAAUCAAUGAAAUUUUUUGAUAAAGUUAUUGAAAUGUUGCAAUAAAUAAAGCCUAAAGUUCCAAUAAUAGGGAAUUCAAGAAGUUCAUAACCUACGCACUUUUGAGUAUAGGCAAUCGAACCAUAUUUGUGUUAAAUGAGAAUAUUAAUUGAAGGAGACAAUUAAAAAUAAAAAGAAGUGAAAAUGUCUAAACACUAAAUAUAUAUAUGGAAUCUAGUGUUUGAAUUUGUUCUUUCCAGAGAUUUCAUAAUAUUGUAGUAAUACAAUGCAAAUUAAAUAAAGUAAUUUAUUGCCAACUGAAACUUAGUUGAAUGUUUGUAGUUUGAAGUAAGAAGUUUGAUUUUCAAGUACCAAUUGAUACACUUAUUAAAACAAAUCUUCAAAUUUAAAUAUAUAAAUUGUUAUUGCUUUUGUAAAAUUAAUGUUGUGACGAUUGGUUCGAUGAAAAUUGACAUGAUCGUGUGUUAAACUGGGAAUGGGUUUUGGUCCAACCUUUAAUUUCCAAGCUCAUAGUCCAAAAAUCAUACGCGCAUGUCAAUAUUUUGCUAAAAAACUUAUUCCAUACAGAUUUUGCUAUAUUUCCAACCAUGACCUCCAAAUGCCUCUUAUCAAACAACAAUAGCAAUCCAUAAUCAUAUCCAAUCCAAGGUAUAAAUUGCUUGACUUGGGUUGGACACGUCAAACGAUCAUGACAUUAGACAAGACUGGGCUUGACUCACCCUUGUAGUUUCAAGCCCUUGAUCAUCAAGUCGAUCGCUUCUAUACAUAUAUUUUGAACGAUAAUUCUAAAUAGUACUAGCCAGGAUAUUUAUUUUUUAAUGUUAUAUAUUUUAAUCUUUCAAAUUUAACCGAAAAUACUUUAGUUUUAUGUUAAUGAUUUUCAAAAGGGUAUUUUUUUUAUUAUUGGUUACAUUUUAAUUAUUUGCUAAAUAGGGUGUAGGCACAAUCUUGAUAGACAAGAAUGAAGAAAAGUUUAGUAGAAGAAAAAGAAAAAGAAAAAGAGACAUUCAUUUAUUUUUCUUAUUUGUUAAUUUAUAAAUAAACUUUAAAGAAGAAUAAUAAUUAUUUCCAUUUAGUGAGAGUUAAUGAAAGUGAGGAUGAGAUUGAAAAGCUGUCAUAAUUUAGUGAAAAAUAUCAAAAGAAUAUCAAUAAACAUAAAUGUUUAAAUUUAAAUAAUAUGAUACAUCAAAUCAUCUUCAAAUUUUCAAAUAUUAGACUAUUAGACACCAAAUGGAGUAAAUUGCUUACACUUAAUUGGUAUAUGUGAUGCCUUUCCCAAGAUUUUAUAAGGCACUCAUGAUUGAGCCAUUUCUAGAAACUUUUCAUUUCUAACUUCAAAAUCAACCCUACAAUACUAAUCAUUUUAUUCGUAAUCUUUACAAAUACAACCAAAUUUUGAAGUUUAUCGAAUAAAUGUACGUUUGUAUAAUAUUUUGUCGUAUAUAAAAAUAUUUUGAUCUAUUUUGUUAUAAUAUUUUUAUUUUUUUCCUUUUUCCAUUUUCUAUUUUCACUCGAAGAGAUGUGAGUAUGUAUUUAUUUAUUUUUGUUGUUAUUAAAUAUGGAUUAAGGUUUUAACCUUCUAAUAACCUCAACCUUAUGGAAAAACGGUUGAAAAUAUUUGAUAUAUUUUAUAAACAUUUUGGUUUAUUUUGAAGUUUAUUAGUGAUAUAAUUUAAAAUUUUGUAAUCUUUUGUAAACAUUUUAGUUCAUUUUGGUGUACUACAAACGUUCUUAAUUUUUUUUAAAAUUUUGUUAUAUUUUAUAAAUAUUUUCAAGAAUAUGAUAGUUUAGUAUCAAAUUUGUGGAUUAAGUUAGUUUUGAUUAAAUACAUAACAAAUUAACAACGGGAAUUAAACUUCUUUUUUUAAAUUUUUCCUUAGAGACAACGCCAUCACACUCUUAGAAUAUUAGAGAAUUUAAUUAAUUUUCCUAAAAGGAAAGUGAUGGUUUUGAUAGGUUGGAAUUUUGAUUUUUUUGAAGAAUUAGGAAUUGAAAAAACCAAAAAGUAAAUUUUUUUUUCUUUUUUUGUGAAAGGAAAAGAAAUUAAAACCUAUAUUAACUAUAAUUAUAAAUAACGUUCUUAUGAAUCCAUCAUUUUUUUUAAUUCCAACUUUUCUUUUUUCUUAUUUUUCUUUUUCUCUCUCUCCAACGAUAUGGCUUCUUCUUCUUCUUCUUCUUCUUCUAUAACUUCAUUUGUUUUUCCAUUUCUCUUUCUUUUUCUUCUUCUUUCUCCUUCCUCUAACGCUGAUUCACUAAAAGCUUGUAACUUCGAUGGUAUUUACCAACUCGGCGACUCCAUCUCCGACACCGGAAAUCUCAUUCGAGAAAAUCCCAACACCCCUUUUUCUCAUCUUCCUUAUGGUCAAACAUUCUUCAACAGCACCCCAACAGGUCGUUGCUCCAAUGGCCUACUUAUCAUAGAUUACUUUGGUACGUAACGUUUUUCAAACUUUUUCUUAUAACCUAUUUGAAAUGACUUUAAUAAUUAUGAGAUUUGAUCAACAUAAAUGGUGGCUAUUUUGUAAUUUUGUAGCUUUAGAUGCAAGACUUCCAUUGGUGAAUCCUUACCUUAACAAAGAUGCAUUGACAAGGCAUGGAAUCAACUUCGCAGUAGCUGGCUCUACUGCUUUGUCUUCUGAACUACUUUCGAAGAAGAAAAUCUCAUCUCUACUCACUAACUCUUCCCUCGACCUUCAACUUGAUUGGAUGUUCUCUCAUUUCAAUUCCAUUUGCUACGAUCAAAAAGGUUUGCUUUUUUUUCUUUUUCUUUUUUUACUGUUAUAAUCUUCAGUAUUCUUCUGCUAUAUGUGUAAUCAUUUUCUUCCUUUAGACUUUAUCAUACAUACAUACAUGUUUGAUUUUAGUUCGUAAUUAUGUUUGUAUAUCUCAUAGAUUGCGACGAGAAGUUAAAGAAUGCUUUGUUCUUGGUGGGUGAAAUUGGUGCAAAUGAUUAUAAUUAUGCCUUGCUACAAGGAAAAACUAUUGAAGAGGUAAAAGAAAUGGUACCAGAAGUUGUUCAAGCCAUAAAGAAUGCAGUUGAGGUAAAAUUAUACGUUCAAACAACAGUGUUAUUUCUAAUACAUUUUCAUUAGUAAUUAGAAUUGGGGUAUGUUUCUUUCUUUUUAUUUAUCAAAACUUAUCUUUUUUUGGUUAUGAUUUUGUUUGUAGAGAGUGAUAAGCUACGGUGCUACUCGAGUUGUUGUUUCUGGAAACUUUCCAAUUGGAUGUUUUCCCAUCUCCCUCACUGUCUUCCAAACCAAUAAUACAACAGAUUACGACGAAUACGACGAAUAUCACUGUUUGAAAAGUUUGAAUGCGUUGGCGAGUUAUCACAAUGAUCAAAUAAAACAAGUUAUCGAAGUACUCAAGAAAGAAAAUCUACACACUGUUAUCGUAUACGGUGACUACUAUAACGCAUUUUUAUG